GUUGGUUGUGAGAACUGAAGUUGCUAAUCUAUCUGAAUGUUUCAAGUACUAGUACUUUUGCUGAAUUUCGUGGGAAUCGCUGAAUGCUUGCUGUCGUCUCGUUGGUAGUAAGACCUGAAUUCUGUGGUGCAAACAGUAAUUCAGAAAUAGUGAUGCAUCUCUGUAUUGGUAGAUUUGAUUUUUACUAGGGGCUUAAGCUAAUCUCUGCCAUGUUGUGCUUUCAUUUCUUAGCAAUGCAAGCCAAGUUUGCAGAUUCCUGGUUCUCCAUCGUCAGGUUCCGUUUGCGUUAGGUGCAGAGCCUAUAGUCUUGUUCAGUCUUGCGGACUUGGUGAACCUAGCCUUGUUCAAUCCUCCAUGAUUAACAUAGCAUAUCAGCAAUAGCUUGGUGUUAUACAUGAGCGUGUUACUCUAACAACAGCAAAUGUGGUUCGUUCUCUAGAAAAAUGAAAUGCAAGUUGCCGUCCAUUUCUUGUACUGAACAAGAUUAGGCUCUAGAGGGAUGCUUCUUUGUUUUAUUUUCGCACUGCCCACUGAAGAAACUUUACAUGCCUUGUGUGCACAUUUGGUGUACCAUGGAGCUGAAUCUAUCAUCUUGUCCUGUGGUUGAACUAGCAGCGUCAGACUUGGCUGCUGUACAAAAUGUUCUGCAUUGCCAAACCGACCCGUCUGUUUUGUUAAUCUUGGAUUACUUAAUUUUCUUAUUCUUCAAAGUCCAAUACAUGUGCAGCUGCCGAGCUGCGUGAUGGAGACGGUGUGAAGGUGCAGCAGUGGUUUCCGCCUACGUCGUCUCCUGCAGAAUCUUCGCCACAACGUGAUUAUAGUCGCCAACAAGCUGAAGCUGCAGGACAUCCACCGAGUCGUCCAGGGAAACCGAUGGUUGUAAAACAGAGCAUACAAGUAAGUGUGUUUGCUUCAGUGUCAAGACCACACUAGGAGGCAUUAAUUUGGUCAUCUUUUGCUUGCCCAUGAAUUGCUUUAGAACGCAGAAAGAGAGAUCACCUUUGCCAAUUUUCAGCUGCCAGUUCUGUAAAUCUCAGUCAACCAAGAAUUACCAAAAUCUGAGUUGCUAGAUGUAGCCUCUCCAUUUUCUUAAUCUUGGAUUACUUCAUAUCUAUUCCUUAAGCGAGUGAUGCAGAUGAAGGAACUGGACAGACAGGGUGUAAUAGGGACAAUCAUGUAAACCACCGAGUGGCAGACAUCACAAGAAGAAAUCGUACAUAUUAAUACAAUUAUCUGAUGACAGGAUUUGAUAAAUCGACCACAACAAUUGGAAGGUGUUGCAGAGAGUUUCAGGCGUAGAAGCGACACAUGAACUCUUAUCAAUAAACCCCCCGAAUAAUAUCUAGAUCAUAUACAGCCCAAGACCAAUCAAAUAGUUUGUCAGGUUUUGAUUAUUUUUGAAACAAGCACCAAACGCCGCUGCACCCAUUCGCUCGUACAUCAAGCUUACCAACUAGUCAUCGUCUUCAACGACGCUGCGACACCUCUGAAUCUGUUAAACAUACUAGAGUUAGCAUGAAAGGCAAAGGGGGAUAAAGCUGACUGCACUUUUUAAGGUUAUUUUUCAGAUGCCUAGCCAUCUGUUGCACUGUAAGAAUCACAAAUGCAGAGAAAUUUGCACCUCAGAUCAUAUCGGGUUUUAAUGAAGGUAGACUAAACCCACUACUGGAAGCUAAGUAAUUUUCCUUAUGUGCAGUGACUCUACCGCCACUUUGGUUUGUUUGCUUGUGUGGGUGUUGAUUUGCUUCAGAAGUGAGAUAAGCCUUUCUUCAGACACCUACAGACCAGCAAAUGCAAUGUUUUUACAAGUAAUUUCUACCGAAUAUUUGACAUGCUGAAAUUUGGGAUGGGCUAUAGGCCCAUAUAGCAAUUUCUGAAAAAUCUCUAAGGGCCUAUGUGGGUUUAUAGGCACUAGGUGUAGUGGGAAGUUCAGUCCCACCCCGGAAGUUGGAGAGGAGUUGGAGCUCAUUAUAAGGUUCUCUUCUACAUGCUAUUGGAGCUUGAUAAGAGAAGAGGCCCUCGCGCACUUCUCCUUCGCCGCCCGCCUCGACACGCCGCGAGUUGCGGGAAUGAGCCGAGCCGAGCUCACACCUACGCGCUUAUUUUUGCUAGUUAGUGACGGAGAGUUUUCUGACAGCUGGGCCAUGAUAUGAGACGUCGGAUUGUGGGCUGUCACAGAUUCGGACGUGGGUCGAGCCCACGUCUCUUCAUGCGGCUGCGCCUAUAUAAGUGCGAGAUGUCUCCUAACCCUAGCCGCCACGAUCAGAUCGCAUCUGCUCCACGCGCACGCCCAUAGUCGUUCCUUUGCUGCUGCUGCCGUCGGUGUCCGCCGCGUAUACGGUCGAGGGAGAGUAGGUCUUCGAAACCCCGCCUCUCCGGAUCCUGUACGAGAGAGGGGCGAAUAGGUUUUUGGGAAGCGACUAAGCGACUGCUCAUCGUUCGUCUACUUCCUCUACGUCCGUGGCGCCCUCGUCAUCAUCAUGUCCACCGAUGCCUAACAUGCUGCCGCCGAGAAACUUGAAGCUGACAAGAAGGCCGCUGAGGACGCCGCUGCUGCCAGCGCCGCCACGACUUCUGCCUAGCCUACUGGAGGGUAUAACACGUUUAUCCCGCUCCUGUUUAUUUUCGUAUUGGCAGCACUAGCAGUAUGUGUAGAUGUGUCUACUGUUUGCUUAGUACGUGCAUGUUUAGAUCAGAAUCAAUAUGUCGUCAAUUCAGUCAAUGCCAUGCUAGUGAUUUAUCUAUGGAUUAAAUUAGUCAAAAAAUUGCAUAUUUACUCAACAAUCGAAAAACCUAUUAUGUGUAUGAAUUUUUCCGCAAGUGGCUUUGCCGCUGCACUGAAACCGGAUAAGUUUACCAGUACGUACUUUAAGCGUUGGCAGCGUAAGACCACUUUAUGGCUCAUGGCUACGAACGUGUUCUGAGUCGCUGGUGUCUCCACGGGAACGAUUGCUCCUGAACAGGAGAAGGCAUUCAGGGAGGUCAUUGUUGUAUUCCUCGGACCAGCUCUUAGCGUGAUCGGAGAUAAACUGGUCGACGCAUAUUUACAUAUGCGUGUCGCCAAGGGCUUGUGGGAGACGCUCGAAUCUAAAUUCGGGGCCACCGAUGCUGGGAGCGAAAUGUAUAUUAUAGAGUAGUUCCACGAUCACAAGAUGGUUGAAAACCAUCCUGUACUGGAGCGGGCUCAUCAGAUAAUAUGCAUCGUUAAGGAGCUUGAGCUUCUUAAGUGCGAUUUACCGGGCAAGCUUGUCGCGGGCUGCAUAAUCGCUAAGCUCCCUAAUUCCUGGAGGAACUUUGCCACCACUCUGAAACAUCAGAGGCAUGAAAUCUCUGUGGAGGACGUCACUGGCCAUCUGAGUGUUGAGCAGAAUUUGAGGGCAAAGAACUCGCACGGAAAAGGGGCUGAAGGGACUUCUAUCGCCAACAUGGUGAACCAUAGGAACUUCAACUCCCACAAGCCCAAGGGAAAGAACGGUGUCCAACACAAUACCGACUUUAAAAAGAAGGGUAAGAAGACCUUCAAGAAGAACAAGAAGGAUGGGGGCUGCUUUACUUGUGGUUCGGUUGAACAUUGGGCCAACAAGUGCCCAAACAAGCUUAAGAAGUCAGGACAGGACUCCCAAGUCUGUCAACAUCAUUGUGGGCAACAAUGAGAAUGGUGCAUCUAGGUACAUUAAUUUAUUUACUAUUUUUUCAGUGUUUUAGCCCACCGAUUUGUGGGUGGACACAUGUGUAUGUGUUCAUGUGUGUGCUGAUAUUUCAUUAUUUUCAUCUUACCAGGUCACAUGCCACGGGUCCAUAUUGAUGGGGAAUGGCACGAGUGCUUCUGUUCAUGGUGUUGGCACGGUUGAUCUGAAGUUUACUUCAGGAAGGAUCGUGUAGUUGAAGAACGUGCAACAUGUCCCCGCUAUCAAUAAGAACCUGGUUAGUGGCUCCCUUCUAUGUAGACAAGGGUUUAAGUUGGUCUUCGAGUCUAAUAAAUUAGUUGUUACUAAAUAUGGACUAUUUGUUGGAAAAGGUCAUGAGAGCAGAGGGAUGUUUCGCCUUUCCCUCGCUGAUUUUUGUAAGAAAGUCAUGAACCAUAUUCAUUCGAGUGUUAAUGAAUUUGAAGUUUGGCAUUCACGUCUUUGUCACAUUAGUUUCGGUGUUAUGACACAGCUAGAUAAGUUGGAUUUAAUCCCGAGUUUCACUUUAGCCAAAGGUUCUAAGCGCCUUUCAUGUGUGCAAGCUAAGCAACCUCGCCAACCUCACAAGGCUGCGGAGGAGAGACACUUGGCACCAUUAGAACUCAUACAUUCUGAUCUUUGUGAGAUUCAUGGUGUGUUGACUAAAGGUGGAAAGGAAUAUUUUAUGACAUUGAUAGAUGAUUCCACUAGAUAUUGCUAUGUUUAUCUGUUAAAUACUAAAGAUAAGGCUCUACACUACUUUAAAAUCUAUAAGGUAGAAGUUGAGAAUCAACUUGAAAAGAAAAUUAGAUGAGUCCGAUCAGAUCGUGGUGGAGAGUACUUCUCGAGUGAGUUUGAUUCCUUUUGUUCGGAACACGACAUUAUUCAUGAGAGGACGCCUCCCUAUUCACCCCAGUCAAACGGGGUUGCUGAGCAGAAUAACCAUACUCUAACUGAUUUGGUUAACGCCAUGUUAGAUACAUCGGGUUUAUCCAAGGCAUGGUGGGGGGAGGCUAUAUUGAUGGCAUGUCAUGUCCGGAAUAAAGUUCUGACAAAGGAUAAUGAGAUCACUCCCUAUGAGAAAUGGGCAAAGAGAAGGACAACACUCUCGUACUUGCGCACUUGGGGCUGUUUGGCGAAAGUGAAUGUGCCGAUCCCCAAAAAGCAUAAGCAUGGACCAAAGACUGUGGACUACGUUAAUUUGGGAUACACUAAGAAUAGCUUUGGCUAUAGAUUUCUAGUAGUGAAAUCUGAGGUACCUGACUAGAAGGUCGGUACAAUUAUGGAGUCUAAGGAUGCUACAUUCUUCGAGGAUAUUUUUCCUAUGAGAGAUAUGCAAAGCACUUCUAGACAGGAAUUUGAGGAGACUCCUGAGCCUGCCAUUCCUAUGGAAUAAAAUGAACGAACACAUGAUGAUAUCCUGAGGAGGAUGACGAGGAAACCCUUGGUAGGGGCAAGAGACAAAAGACUGCAAAUACCUUUGGUGAUGAUUUCUUCGUGUACCUCGUGGAUGAUACUCCCACUUCUAUUUCAGAAGCGUAUGCCUCUCCAGAAGCUGACUACUGGAAGGAUGCGAUCCAUAGCAAGAUGGACUCCAUCAUGGCUAACGGGACAUGGGAGAUCACUCCCGUCCCUAUGGUUGCAAACCAUUGGGAUGUAAGUGGGUGUUCAAGAAGAAGUGUAGGCCUGAUGGUAUGAUUGAUAAGUACAAGGCUAGGCUUGUGGCCAAGGACUAUGACCAGAAAGAAGAGGAAUAUUUCUUCGAUAAUGAUUCACUUAUGGCCAGGCUGACCAUCAUUCGAGUAUUACUCUCGUUGGCGUCCUCACAUGGUCUUCUCGUUCACCAGAUGGAUGUUAAGAUGGCUUUCCUGAAUGGAGAGCUAAAUGAGGAAAUCUACAUGCAAUAACCAGAUGGCUUUGUGAUAGAUGGUCAGGAAGGAAAAGUGUGUGGGUUGCUGAAAUCUUUAUAUGGCCUGAAACAAGCACCUAAGCAAUGGCAUGACAAGUUUAAUACAACUCUGACAUCUCUUGGCUUUGUUGUUAAUGAAGUUGACAAAUGUGUAUACUAUCACCAUGGUGGGGGCGAAGGAGUUAUACUGUGCUUGUAUGUUGAUGACAUACUGAUAUUCAGAACCAACCUCAAAGUCAUUGAUGAGGUCAAGUCAUUUCUAUCUUAGAACUUUGAGAUGAAAGACCUUGGUGUGGCUGAUGUUAUCUUGAACAUCAAGCUACUGAGAGAUGAUGAUGGUGGGAUUACACUUCUACAAUCCCAUUAUGUUGAGAAGGUGUUGAGUCAUUUUGGAUAUUAGGAUUGCAUACCAUCUCGAACACCAUAUGCUCCUAGCAUGUUGAUUCGAAAGUUUGAAGGCACGACUAAAGAUCAAUUGAGAUACUCUCAAAUCAUUGGUUCACUUAUGUACCUAGCAAGCGCAACGAGGCCUGACAUCGCAUUUGCUAUAAGCAAACUGAGCCAAUUUGUUUCCAAACCGGGUGAUGUACAUUGGCAUGCCGUUGAAAAAGUUAUGCGCUAUCUGAAGGGUACUAUAAACUAUGGACUUCACUAUAUCAGAUACCCAUCGGUACUUGAAGGAUAUAGUUAUGCUAAUUGGAUCUCUAAUGCUGAUGAGAUGAAGGCCACAACUGGGUAUAUGUUUACUCUUGGAGGUGGCGCUGUUUUCUAGAAGUCUUGCAAGCAAACAAUCUUAACCAGAUCGACAAUGGAAGCAAAAUUAACAGCAUUAGACACAUCUGGUGUCAAAGUAGGAUGGCUUUGAGAUCUUUUGAUGGACUUGCCAUUGGUUGAUAAGCCGAUCCCGGCUAUCCUUAUGAACUGUGACAAUUAGACUAUCAUCACCAAGGUGAAGAGUUCAAAGGACAACAUGAAGUCCAACAAACACAUAAGAAUGAGGUUAAAAGCUGUCAGAAAAUAAAGAAACUCUGGAGUGAUAGCGUUGGAGUAUGUCCAAACGGCUAAGAAUCUGGCAGAUCCCUUUACAAAAGGGCUAUCACGUGUUGUGAUAGAUAAUGCAUCAAGUGAGAUGGGUAUGAGACCCACAUGAGUUGCCAUGGUAGUAACCCAACCUAUGUGAUCAGAGAUCUCGUGACGUAGGACCUGGGAAAACAAGCUAGUGGUGAACUGAGAAGAGUAACUAUAGUAACCCACUCAGUUGGAGAUGCAAUACUCUCGAUGCUGUAUGAUAGGAUGACUAUUGUCUUAAUGUGUUCCAAAGCUUAUGUAAGCAAGAUGCUAUCCUACAGAGCGAUCUUUGGAGGAACACACCUAUAUGAGCCUGACUGCUGGUUACAGUCUAUGAGAUUGGGGUGAUCUCUAGUAAGCUCAUGAAUAGGCUAGGAGUGUGACCUAUAUGCUCCACCCCAGGGGUCAGCCUUCGGCAGCCUAGUACUAGUAAGACAUGUGGUGAAGCUUCUUUACGCCAAACCGACAAUUCAAGGCAUAUUCCAUUGUUCAGUUGUGAAGGAGUGUAGCUACUUGCUCUAUUUGAAGCUCAACCUUAACAGGUCUUCACUAAAACACUAGUAUAUUGAAACAUCAAUUGGAACAGAGGACACAAUGGGACCUCGAGAUCUGGUGGGGGAUUGCUGAAAUUUGGGAUGGGCUAUAGGCCCAUAUAGCAAUUUCUGAAAAAUCUGUAAGGGCCCAUGUAGGUUUAUUGACACUAGGUGUAGUGGGAAGUUUAGUCCCACCCUGGAAGUUGGAGAGGUGUUGGACCUCCUUAUAAGGGUUUCUCGUCUACAUGCUAUUGGAGCUUUAGAAUAGAAGGGGCCCUUGCCCACUCCUCCUCCACCGCUCACCAUGCCAUGCUUCGUCACGACGCGUCGUGCCGUGCCGUGGGUUGCGGGAAUGAGCCGAGCCGAGCUCACACCUACCCACUUAGUUUUGCCAGUCGGUGAUAGAGAGUUUUCUGACAGUUGGGCCACGAUCUGAGACGUCGGAUCAUGGGAUGUGUCGGACUCGGACGUGGGUCGGGCCCAUGCCUCUUCACACGGCUGCACCUAUAUGAGUGUGAGAUGUCUCCUAACCCUAGCCGCCACGAUCAGAUCACAUCUCCUCCAGGUGCAUGCCCACUGUCGUUCCUUUGUUGCUGCCGCCACCGAUGACUCCACCCCGUUCGCCAUGUACACGGUCGAUGGGAGAGCAGGUCUCCGAAACCCUGCCUCUCCGAAUCCUGUAUGGGAGCGGGGCGAAUAGGUUUUUGGGAAGCGACUAUGCGACUGCUCGCCGUUCGUCUACUUCCUCUAUGUCCAUGUCGCCCUCGUCAUCAUCAUGUCCACCGACGCCGAACGUGCCGCCGCCAAGAAACUUGAAGCCAACAAGAAGGCCGCUGAGGACGCCGUUGCUGCCACCGCCGCCGCGGCUUUUCCCUGGCCUACUGGAGGGUAUAACACGUUUACCUCGCUCCUGUUUAUUUUCGUAUUGGCAGUACUAGCAGUAUGUGUAGAUGUGUCUACGGUUUGCUUAGUACGUGCAUGUUUAGAUCAGAAUCAGUAUGUCGUUAAUUUAGUCAAUACCAUGCUAGUGAUUUAUCUAUGGAUUAAAUUAGUCAAAAAAUUGCCUAUUUACUCAAGAUGACAUACGAGAGAGGUGUGCCACGUAUCUAUUACGGCAUUACCUUUUUAGAUGUUUCACCAGUUUGUGCAGCUCUCAGUAGAACAUCUUUCACUCCCCUUUGAGGGAGUCCUGGAUAAGGGGGUAUCCGGAUAGCCGGACUAUAUACUUUCGCCGGACUGUUGGACUAUGAAGAUACAAGAUAGAAGACUUCGUCCCGUGUCUGGAUGGGACUCUCCUUGGCGUGGAGGGCAAGCUUGGCGAUUCGGAUGUAGAUCUCCUUCUCUGUAAACCAACUUUGUGUAACCCUAGCCCCCUCCGGUGUCUAUAUAAACCGGAGGGUUUAGUCCGUAGGACUCACGAUCAUCAUCAACAAUCAUACCAUAGGCUAGCUUCUAGGGUUUAGCCUCUAUGAUCUCGUGGUAGAUCAACUCUUGUAAUACUCAUAUCAUCAAGAUCAAUCAAGCAGGAAGUAGGGUAUUACCUCCAUCGAGAGGGCCCGAACCUGGGUAAACAUCGUGUCCCCAGUCUCCUGUUACCAUUAUCCUUAGACGCACAGUUCGGGACCCCCUACCCGAGAUCCGCCGGUUUUGACACCGACAUUGGUGCUUUCAUUGAGAGUUCCUCUGUGUCGUCGCGAUAAGGCUUGAUGGCUUGUCUCGCUAUCAAGGACAACAUCAUCUCCAGGGGAGCCCUGGCUUUAGGCCAAACUCUCCGGCUGGGCGGCUUCGUUUUGACCGCCCGAUCGGCUGUCGCGCCGACAAUGACUUCUCAGGUCAUUAAAAAUAGCCUCCACGUUGAUUCAGAAUUUGCCGAGCAGAUGGAUCCAAUGGAGCUCUCCUCCCUCAAUGAGCUCUUGGAUCGCAUCGUCGCCCUGGGCGUUGCUACGGACUAUGACCGGAUCGGGCUUAAACCUGAUCAAAGGGAGAUUCACUCUCCACCGGUCACCCAUGAGAUAUCGGUAGUGGAAGAGCAUCAUCCUAAUUCUCCCUCCACUUUGAGGACGAACUAUGUCCGGAUUUCCGAGCUCUCUGAGCUGGACACCCGCUCGCGGGAAUACAUGACCCCGGUCCCGGACUCAGGAUCAGGGGGGGGGGGGACCGAAGAAAUUGGGCAAUGCCCCAGAACCCGAGCCAUUAAGCUCAGAAGCUUCUUUGCCCCUGGGUCCCAGAUCGGGUCGGGAUUCGGAUUCAAAUCCACCCACCCACCCAGAUUUAUCCAAUCUUUCCCAUAUCAGACAAGAGCCCCAAGAAACAAUACAUCACUACUGGGCCAGAUUCCUCCUUGUGAUAAACAGGGUCAAGGACUGUCGUGAGGCAGAUGCAAUCUCCCUCUUUUGCAAAAAUUGCACGGACAAAGGGAUCCUGAAUGCUAUAAGCCGCCGCGACAUAGUACACUUCGCUGACUUAGCGGCCACAGUGCAAAAGUACUGUGCGAUGGAAAGCGCCUGGAAAACCCAAACAAGUUUCUGGGACAGUCCGACUCUGGCCAAAUCCCCUGUCCGAACUAAAAGGAUAAGCUAUCGUAAGUCACCCGAUUCAAGUACCAAAAAAAUAAAUCCCGCCGCAAGGUGAGGAACCAUAUUGGAAGAAUGGCUAAACGGACCAUGCAAGAUUCAUAGCACACUGGAUACUACGCCAACGCAUAGCCUUAGAGCAUGUUGGAUACUCCGGCAGGUGGCAAAGAGCGGUGAAGAUCUCCUCAUGAAACAUCCCGCCGGAGACAACAAUAUGGUAUUUACAGUCUUCGAGACCUUCGCCUCAAAUAAUAGGCGAAAGCGAGCUCAGCGUAGCCUCGCAGAAGUUUGCCACAUGGCAACAACAAACCCAUGGAACGACACGGCUAUAACCUACAAUGCCAGUGACGAACCCCAAUGCCGGACAUUCCGAGCACCAGCCGCUUUGGUCCUUAGCUCAAUCAUGGAUGGCUUCAGGCUUACUAAAGUGCUCAUGGACGGCGGAAGCGGACUAAACCUCAUCUAUGAGGAAACCCUCAACAAGAUGGAAAUUGACAAGAGUCGCAUUGAACGAAGCAGCACUACCUUCGGGGGAAUCAUCCCCAGUCGAGAGGCACAAUGCGCGGGAAAAAUCACACUGGAUGUGGUAUUCGGCGCGCCGGAGAAUCACAGGUCCGAAGAAAUUACAUUCCAAGUAGCCCCGUUCAGCAGCGGAUACCACGCCCUCUUAGGGCGGGAUGCAUUCACGAGUUUUCAGGCUAUACCCCUUUACGGGUACAUGAAGCUCAUAAUGCCCGGGCCCAAUGGAAUCAUCACUCUAGCUAGUGAUUUGGACGUCGCACUCUGUGCAGAAAACAGAACUGCCGCCCUCGCCCUGGAGGCAUUAUCAGAAGCCCUCGCGGCCGAAGAGCUGACAACACUACGAGCAACAGUGGACAGAGACGACGUGAUAUUCGACAAGCAACCUAAAUCCACCUCCUUCAAGCCUGCGGACGAGAUAGUCAAAUUCCAGGUCCACCCAACGGACCCUUUAAAAACAGCUUCCAUAGGGACACAGCUGAACUCCACAAUAGACGCCGCACUGCGAGAUUUCCUGCGUGAAAAUUGGGAUAUUUUCGCCUGGCAUCCUUCAGAAAUGCCGGGCAUCCCAUGCAAGCUGGCCGAACACAGCCUCAAUAUAGUAAAAGGAUACAAGCCAGUCAAGCAGACUCUUAGGCGCUUCUCAGAACCUAAGUAGCAAGCCAUGGGAGAAGAGCUAGGCAAGCUACUCGAAGCCGGAAUCAUAAGAGACAUCAAACAUCCGGAUUGGCUAGCAAACUUGGUAAUGGUGCCAAAAAAGGACAAAUCCUGGCGCUUAUGUGUCGAUUUCAAAGACCUCAAUAAAGCUUGCCCCAAGGAUCCCUUCCCCCUCCCCAGCAUUGAUCAGAUAAUCGAUGCCACCAUAGGACAUGAUUCAUUGUGUUUCCUCGACGCAUACUUCGGAUACCAUCAAAUAAAGAUGGCGGAGUCCGACCAGGCUGCAACAGCCUUCAUCACCCCGUACGGCCCCUUCUGUUUCAACACCAUGCCCUUCGAGAUAAAAAACGUCGGCGCAACCUAUCAACGCAUGAUCCAGACAUGCCUGGAAAAACAAAUCGGCAAGAUAGUAGAGGCCUACGUAGACGACGUGGUUAUCAAAACAAGACACGUUGAAACCUUAAUAGACGACUUGAGGCUUACGUUCGAUAAUCUCCGAACAUACGACAUCAAGCUUAACCCGGAGAAGUGUGUCUUCGGAGUACCCUCCGGAAAAUUACUCGGCUUCAUCGUUUCCAAUAGAGGAAUUGAAGCCAAUCCAGCAAAAAUCCGAGCUCUGUCACAGUUGGCUAUCCCAACAGACCUCAAGCAGAUCCAGAAACUAACUGGAUGUGUGGCUUCCUUAAGCCGCUUUAUCUCCCGCUUAGGAGAAAAGGCACUACCCUUGUAUCGCCUUCUUCGAUGCACCGAACACUUUGAGUGGAUGGAUGCGACCACGGCCGGACUAGAAGAAAUUGUUGGAAAUAUGCCCUAGAGGCAAUAAUAAAAGUGUUAUUAUUAUAUUUCCUUGUUCAUGAUAAUUGUCUUUUAUUCAUGCUAUAACUGUAUUAUCCGGAAAUCGUAAUACACGUGUGAAUACAUAGACCACAAUAUGUCCCUAGUGAGCCUCUAGUUGACUAGCUCGUUGUGAUCAACAGAUAGUCAUGGUUUCCUGGCUAUGGACAUUGGAUGUCAUUGAUAACGGGAUCACAUCAUUAGGAGAAUGAUGUGAUGGACAAGACCCAAUCCUAAGACUAGCACAAAAGAUCGUGUAGUUCAUUUGCUAGAGCUUUGCCAAUGUCAAGUAUCUCUUCCUUCGACUAUGAGAGCGUGUAACUCCUGGAUACCAUAGGAGUGCUUUGGGUGUAUCAAAUGUCACAACGUAACUGGGUGACUAUAAAGGUGCACUACAGGUAUCUCCGAAAGUAUCUAUUGUUUUACGCGGAUCGAGACUGGGAUUUGUCACUCCGUGUAAACGGAGAGGUAUCUCUGGGCCCACUCGGUAGGACAUCAUCAUAUGCGCAAUGUGACCAAGGAGUUGAUCACGGGAUGAUGUGUUACGGAACGAGUAAAGUGACUUGCCGGUAACGAGAUUGAACAAGGUAUUGGAUACCGACGAUCGAAUCUCGGGCAAGUAACAUACCGAUAGACAAAGGGAAUUGAAUACGGGAUUGAUUAAGUCCUUGACAUCGUGGUUCAUCCGAUGAGAUCAUCGUGGAACAUGUGGGAGCCAUCAUGGGUAUCCAGAUCCCGCUGUUGGUUAUUGACCGGAGAACGUCUCGGUCAUGUCUGCAUGUCUCCCGAACCCGUAGGGUCUACACACUUAAGGUUCGAUGACGCUAGGGUUAUAAAGGAAGUUUGUAUGUGGUUACCGAAUGUUGUUCGGAGUGCCGUACGUCACGAGGAGUUCCGAAAUGGUCCGGAGGUAAAGAUUUAUAUGUGGGAAGUCCUAUUUUGGCCACCGGAAAAUGUUCGGGAUUUUUCGGUAUUGUACCGGGAAGGUUCUAGAAGGUUCCGGAGUGGGGCCCACCUGCAUGGGGGGACCCACAUGAACGUGGGUAGUGGGGGCAAGGCCCCACACCCCUGGUCAAGGCGCACCAAGAUUCCCCCUUAGAAGGAAUAAGAUCAUAUCCCGAAGGGAUAAGAUCAAGAUCCCUAAAAAGGGGGGAUAACAAUCGGUGGGGAAGGAAAUGAUGGGAUUUCUUUCCUCCCACCUUGGCCAACGCCCCAAUGGACUUGGAGGGCAAGAAACCAUCCCCUCCACCCCUAUAUAUAGUGGGGAGACGCAUGGGAGCUUCACACGAAGUUCUGGCGCAGCCCUCCCCCUCUCCCAAGUACUCCUCUUCUCCCGUGGUGCUUGGCGAAGCCCUGCAGGAUUGCCACGCUCCUCCUCCACCACCACGCCGUUGUGCUGCUGCUGGAUGGAGUCUUCCUCAACCUCUCCCUCUCUCCUUGCUGGAUCAAGGCGUGGGAUACGUCACCGGGCUGUACGUGUGUUGAACGCGGAGGUGCCGUGCGUUCGACACUUGAUCAUCGGUGAUUUGAAUCACGACGAGUACGACUUCAUCAACCCCGUUCACUUGAACGCUUCCGCUUAGCGAUCUACAAGGGUAUGUAGAUGCACUCUCCUUCCCCUCGUUGCUGGUUUCUCCAUAGAUAGAUCUUGGUGACACGUAGGAAAAUUUUGAAUUUCUGCUACGUUCCCCAACAGUGGCAUCAUGAGCUAGGUCUAUUGCGUAGAUUCUUUGCACGAGUAGAACACAAAGUAGUUGUGGGCGUUGAUUUUGUUCAAUAUGCUUACCGUUACUAGUCCAAUCUUGUUUCGACGGUAUUGUGGGAUGAAGCGGCCCGGACUGACCUUACACGUACUCUUGCGUGAGACAGGUUCCACCGAUUGACAUGCACUUGGUGCAUAAGGUGGCUAGCGGGUGCCAGUCUCUCCCACUUUAGUCGGAACGGAUUCGAUGAAAAGGGUCCUUAUGAAGGGUAAAUAGCAAUUGGCAUAUCACGUUGUGGUCUUGCGUAGGUAAGAAACGUUCUUGCUAGAAACCCAUAGCAGCCACGUAAAACAUGCAACAACAAUUAGAGGACGUCUAACUUGUUUUUGCAGGGUAUCCUAUGUGAUGUGAUAUGGCCAAGAGGAAUGUGAUGAAUGAUAUGUGAUGUAUGAGAUUGAUCAUGUUCUUGUAAUAGGAAUCACGACUUGCAUGUCGAUGAGUAUGACAACCGGCAGGAGCCAUAGGAGUUGUCUUUAUUUUUUGUAUGACCUGCGUGUCAUUGAAGAACGCCAUGUAACUUACUUUACUUUAUUGCUAAACGCGUUAGCCAUAGAAGUAGAAGUAGUCGUUGGCGUGACAACUUCAUGAAGACACGAUGAUGGAGAUCAUGGUGUCAUGCCGGUGACAAGAUGAUCAUGGAGCCCCGAAGAUGGAGAUCAAUGGAGCUAUAUGAUAUUGGCCAUAUCAUGUCACAACUAUAUAAUUGCAUGUGAUGUUUAUUAUGUUUAUGCAUCUUGUUUACUUAGGACGACGGUAGUAAAUAAGAUGAUCCCUUACAAAAAUUUCAAGAAGUGUUCUCCCCUAACUGUGCACCGUUGCUACAGUUCGUCGCUUCUAAGCACCACGUGAUGAUCGGGUGUGAUGGAUUCUUACGUUCACAUACAACGGGUGUAAGACAGUUUUACACAGUGAAAACACUUAGGGUUAACUUGACGAGCCUAGCAUGUGCAGACAUGGCCUCGGAACACGGAGACCGAAAGGUCGAGCAUGAGUCGUAUAGUAGAUACGAUCAACAUGAAGAUGUUCACCGAUGAUGACUAGUCCGUCUCACGUGAUGAUCGGACACGGCCUAGUUGACUCGGAUCAUGUGAUCACUUAGAUGACCAGAGGGAUGUCUAUCUAAGUGGGAGUUCAUAAGAUGAACUUAAUUAUCCUGAACAUAGUCAAAAGACCUUUUGCAAAUUAUGUCGUAGUUCACGCUAUAGUUCUACUGUUUUAGUUAUGUUCCUAGAGAAAAUAUAGUUGAAAGUUGACAGUAGCGAUUAUGCGGACACUAGAACGCUUAUGUCCUUAAUGCACUGCUUAGUGUGCUGAACCCCAAACAUCGUUUGUGGAUGUUUCGAACAUCGAACAUACACGUUUUGAUAACUACGUGAUAGUUCAGUUAAAUGGUUUAAGUAGAGGCACCAAAGACAUUUUCGAAACGUCGCGGAACAUAUGAGAUGUUUCGAGGGCUGAAAUUGGGAUUUCAGGCUCGUGCCCACGUCAAGAGGUAUGAGACCUCCGACAAUUUUCUUAGCCUACAAACUAAGGGAGAAAAGCUCAAUCGUUGAGCUUGUGCUCAGAUUGUCUGAGUGCAACAAUCACUUGAAUCGAGUGGGAGUUGACCUUCCAAAUGAGAUAGUGAUGUUUCUCCAAAGUCAUUGCCACCAAGCUGCUAGAGCUUCGUGAUGAACUAUAACAUAUCAGGGAUAGAUAUGAUGAUCCUUGAAAUAUUCAUGAUGUUUGACACCGCGAAAGUAGAAAUCAAGAAGGAGCAUCAAUUGUUGAUGGUUGGUGAAACCACUAGUUUCAAGAAGGGCAAGGGAACAAAGGGAUACUUCAUGAAACGGCAAUUCAGCUGCUGCUCAAGUGAAGAAACCCAAGGUUGAACCCAAACCCGAGACUAAGUGCUUCUGUAAUAAGGGGAACAACCACUGGAGCAGCAUUACCCUAGAUACUUGGUAGAUGAGAAGGCUGGCAAGGUCGAUAGAAGUAUAUUGGAUAUACAUUAUGUUAAUGUGUACUUUACUAGUACUCCUAGUAGCACCAGGGUAUAAGCUACCGGUUGCUAAGUGUUAGUAACUCGAAAUAAAGAGCUACGGAAUAAACGGAGACUAGCUAAAGGUGAGCCGACGAUAUGUGUUGGAAGCAUUUCCAAGUUUGAUGUGAUCAAACAUCGCACGCUCCCUCUACCAUCAAGAUUAGUAUUAAACCUGAAUAAUUGUCAUUUGGUGCUUGCGUUGAGCAUAGAUAUGAUUGGAUUAUGUCUAUCGCAAUACGGUUAUUCAUUUAAGGAGAAUAAUGGUUACUCUAUUUAUUUGAAUAAAACCUUCAAUGGUCUUGCACCUAAAGGAAUGGUUUAUUGAAUCUCGAUCGUAGUGAUACAUAUUUUCAUGCCAAAAGAUAUAAGAUAGUAAUGAUAGUACCACUUACUUGUGGCACUGCCAUGUAAGUCAUAAUGGUAUAAAACGCAUGGAGAAGCUCCAUGUUGAUGGAUCUUUGGACUCACUCGUUUAGAAAAGUUUGAGACAUGCGAACCAUGUCUAUUGGUGUAUAUGCAUGAAGAAACUCCAUGCAAAUGGACCAUUUGAACUCACUUGAUUUUGAAUCACUUGAGACAUGCAAAUCAUACCACAUGGGCGAGAUGACUGAAAGCCUCGUUUCAGUAAAAUGGAACAAGAUAGCAAUUUGUUGGAAGUAACACAUUUUGAUGUGUGCAAUCCAAUGAGUGCUGAGGCAUGCAGUGAAUAUCGUUAUGAUCUUACUUCACAGAUGAUUCGAGUAGAUGUUGAGAAUAUUUACUUGAUGAAACACAAGUCUGAAUUAUUGAAUGGUUCAAGUAAUUUCAGAGUGAAGUUUAAGAUCUUCGUGACAAGAUGAUAGAAUGUCUAUGAUAUGAUCAUAGAGAUUAAUAUCUGAGUUACGAGUUUUGGCACACAAUUAAGACAUUGUGGAAAUUGUUUCGCAAUUAAUACCGCCUGGAACACCAUACUGUGAUGGUGUGUCCGAACAUCAUAGUUGCACCCUAUUGGAUAUGGUGCGUACCAUGAUGUCUCUUAUCGAAUUACCACUAUUGUUCAUGGGUUAGGCAUUAGAGACAACCACAUUUACUUUAAUAGGGUACCACGUAAUUCCGUUGAGAUGACACCAUAUGAAUUAUGGUUUAGAGAAACCUAAGUUGUCGUUUCUUAAAAGUUUGGGGCUACGACGCUUAUGUGAAAAAGUUUCAGGCUGAUAAGCUAGAACCCAAAGCGGAUAAAUGCAUCUUCAUAGGACACCCAAAACAGUUGGGUAUACCUCCUGUCUCAGAUCCAAAAGCAAUAAAGGAUUGUUUCUUGAAUCAGGUCCUUUCUCGAGGAAAGGUUUCUCUCGAAAGAAUUGAGUGGGAGGAUGGUGGAGACUUGAUGAGGUUAUUGAACCAUCACUUCAACCAGUGUGUAGCAGGGCACAGGAAGUUGUGCCCGUGGCACCUACACCAAUUGAAGUGGAAGCUUAUGAUAGUGAUCAUGAAACUUCAGAUCAAGUCACUCCCAAACCUCGUAGGAUGACAAGGAUGCGUACUACUUGAGAGUGGUACAUAAUCCUGUCUUGGAAGUCAUGUUGCUAGACAACAAUGAGCCUACGAGCUAUGGAGAAGCGAUGGUGGGCCCGGAUUCUGAUAAAUGGCUUGAGGCCAUAAAAUCCGAGAGAGGAUCCAUGUAUGAAAACAAAGUGAAGACUUUGGCAGAAUGGCUCGAUGGUCGUAAGGCAAAUGAGUACGGAUGGAUUUUAAAAGGAAGACAGACAAUGAUGGUAAGAAUUACCAUUAAGAAAGCUCGACUUGUCGUUAAGAUGUUUUCCGACAAGUUCAAGGAGUUGACUACGAUGAGAUUUUCUCACUCGUAGCGAUGCUAAGAGUCUGUUGGAAUUAUAUUAGCGAUUACUGCAUUAUUUAUGAAAUCUUGCAGAUAGGAUGUCAAAACAUUGUUUCCUCGACGAUUUUCUUGAGGAAAGGUUGUAUGUGAUACAACCGGAAGGUUUUGUCAAUCCCGAAAGAUGCUAAUAAGUAUGCAAAGCUCCAGCAAUCCUUCUAAGGACUGGAGUGAGCAUCUCGGAGUUGGAAUGUAUGCUUUGAUGAUGAUCAAAGAUUUUGGGUUUGUACAAAGUUUAUGAGAAACUUGUAUUUCCAAAGAAGUGAGUGGGAGCACUAUAGAAUUUCUGAUGAGUAUAUGUUGUUGACAUAUUGUUGAUCAGAAAUGACGUAGAAUUUCUGGAAAGCAUAUAGGGUUAUUUUGAAAGUGUUUUUCAAUGGAAAGCCUGGAUUAAGCUACUUGAACAUUGAGCAUCAAGAUCUAUAAGGAUAGAUCAAAAUGCUUAAUAAUACUUUCAAAUGAGCACAUACCUUGACAUGAUCUUGAAGGUGUUCAAGAUGGACCAGUCAAAGAAGGAGUUCUUGCCUGACUUGUAAGGUACGAAGUUAAGACUUAAAGCUCGACCUCGGCAGAAUAGAGAGAAAGGACGAAGGUCGUCCCCUAUGCUUAAGACAUAGGCUCUACAGUAUGCCAUGCUGAGUACCGCACCUGAAGUGUGCCUUGCCAUGAGUCAGUCAAGGGGUACAAGAGUGAUCCAUGAAUGGAUCACAGACAGCGGUCAAAGUUAUCCUUGGUAACUAGUGGACUAAGGAAUUUUCUCGAUUAUGGAGGUGGUAAAAGAGUUCGUCGUAAAGGUUACGUCGAUGCAAGCUUAACACCUAUCCGGAUAGCUCUAAGAAGAGAUACCGGAUACGUAUUAUAGGGCAACAAUUUAGAAUAGCUCCAAGUAGAACAGUUAUUUGGAAUAGCUCCAAAUAGAGCGUGGUAGAUACAUCUAGGAGAUGACAUAGAGAUUUGUAAAGCACACACGGAUCUGAAAGGUUCGGACCCGUUGACUAAAACCUCUCUCACAAGCAACAUGAUCAAACCUAAAACUCUUGGGUAUUAGUCACAUGGCGAUGUGACCCGUGAGUGUUAAUCACAUGGCGAUGUGAACUAGAUUAUUGACUCUAGUGCAAGUGGGAGACUGUUGGAAAUAUGCCCUAGAGGCAAUAAUAAAAGUGUUAUUAUUAUAUUUCCUUGUUCAUGAUAAUUGUCUUUUAUUCAUGCUAUAACUGUAUUAUCCGGAAAUCGUAAUACACGUGUGAAUACAUAGACCACAAUAUGUCCCUAGUGAGCCUCUAGUUGACUAGCUCGUUGUGAUCAACAGAUAGUCAUGGUUUCCUGGCUAUGGACAUUGGAUGUCGUUGAUAACGGGAUCACAUCAUUAGUAGAAUGAUGUGAUGGACAAGACCCAAUCCUAAGACUAGCACAAAAGAUCGUGUAGUUCAUUUGCUAGAGCUUUGCCAAUGUCAAGUAUCUCUUCCUUCGACCAUGAGAGCGUGUAACUCCUGGAUACCGUAGGAGUGCUUUGGGUGUAUCAAACGUCACAACGUAACUGGGUGACUAUAAAGGUGCACUACAGGUAUCUCCGAAAGUAUCUAUUGUUUUAUGCGGAUCGAGACUGGGAUUUGUCACUCCGUGUAAACAGAGAGGUAUCUCUGGGCCCACUCGGUAGGACAUCAUCAUAUGCGCAAUGUGACCAAGGAGUUGAUCAUGGGAUGAUGUGUUACGGAACGAGUAAAGUGACUUGCCGGUAACGAGAUUGAACAAGGUAUUGGAUACCGACGAUCGAAUCUCGGGCAAGUAACAUACCGAUAGACAAAGGGAAUUGAAUACGGGAUUGAUNNNNNNNNNNCGGAGGUAAAGAUUUAUAUAUGGGAAGUCCUAUUUUGGCCACCGGAAAAUGUUCGGGAUUUUUCGGUAUUGUACCGGGAAGGUUCUAGAAGGUUCCGGAGUGGGGCCCACCUGCAUGGGGGGACCCACAUGAACGUGGGUAGUGGGGGCAAGGCCCCAUACCCCUGGUCAAGGCGCACCAAGAUCCCCCCUUAGAAGGAAUAAGAUCAUAUCCCGAAGGGAUAAGAUCAAGAUCCCUAAAAAGGGGGGAUAACAAUCGGUGGGGAAGGAAAUGAUGGGAUUUCUUUCCUCCCACCUUGGCCAACGCCCCAAUGGACUUGGAGGGCAAGAAACCAGCCCCUCCACCCCUAUAUAUAGUGGGGAGACGCAUGGGAGCUUCACACGAAGUUCUGGCGCAGCCCUCCCCCUCUCCCAAGUACUCCUCUUCUCCCGUGGUGCUUGGCGAAGCCCUGCAGGAUUGCCACGCUCCUCCACCACCACCACGCCAUUGUGCUGCUGCUGGAUGGAGUCUUCCUCAACCUCUCCCUCUCUCCUUGCUGGAUCAAGGCGUGGGAUACGUCACCGGGCUGUACGUGUGUUGAACGCGGAGGUGCCGUGCGUUCGGCACUUGAUCAUCGGUGAUUUGAAUCACGACGAGUACGACUUCAUCAACCCCGUUCACUUGAACGCUUCCGCUUAGCGAUCUACAAGGGUAUGUAGAUGCACUCUCCUUCCCCUCGUUGCUGGUUUCUCCAUAGAUAGAUCUUGGUGACACGUAGGAAAAUUUUGAAUUUCUGCUACGUUCCCCAACAAAAAUAAAGGCACUCUUGGCCACCAACCCAGUCCUGACCGCGCCAAAUAUCGGCUAACCUAUGCUAUUAUACAUAGCCGCAACAAACCAAGUUGUGAGCGUAGUGCUUGUUGCCGAACGAGAGGCAGACGGACACAAGUUCCCGCUCCAAAAGCCGGUAUACUACGUGUCCACUGUCCUCACUACAUGCAAAUCUCGGUACCCACACUAUCAAAAGAUAGCGUAUGCGGUCUUCAUGGCAUCCCGGAAACUACGACACUACUUUCAAGAGUGUUCGAUCACGGUGGCCUCCGAAGUUCCACUCAAUGACAUUAUAAAUAACCGCGAUGCAACCGGCUGAAUUGCUAAAUGGGCUAUUGAGCUCCUUCCGUUUGACAUAACUUACAAACCACGGCGGGCCAUUAAGUCGCAAGUACUGGCUGACUUCAUCGCCGAAUGGACAGAGUCCGAACUCCCUAAAGAGUACGACGCAUAACCAAAUUGGAUCAUGCAUUUCUACGGAUCCAAAAUGCUGGCCGGAUUGGGAGCGGGUGUCAUCCUGACAUCCCCCACCGGAGACACGGUGCAGUACGUCCUCCAAAUACUAUUCACAGACUCCAACAAUGUAGCCGAAUACGAGGCUCCGUUGCAUGGUCUUCGGAUGGCAGUCUCCAUGGGCAUUCAACGCCUCGAAGGGCGCGGGGACUCGAACCUCGCAAUAUCUCAGAUAAAUGGAGACUUUGAUGCCAAGGACCCGAAAAUGGCGGCCUAUCGCAAUGCCGUCCUCAAAAUGUCAGCUCGGUUCGAGGGGCUCAAAUUCCACCAUGUGGUCAGAGAAAAUAACCAAGCGGCCAAUAUCCUCGCCCGCAUCGGUGCUAAACGCGACCCCGUCCCACCUAAUAUCUUCCUGGAAAGGCUGUUCAAGCCGUCUGUGGCAUGGGAAGGGGAGUCCUGCACCAUUAGUACGGCUCCGAACAAAACCCCAACUUCUGAACCAUGUGAUGUAAUCGGAGGCUCUGCCACCAAAAUAACAUCUUCGGCCCACGAAAUAAUGGUUGUCAUCGCCCAGUGGACCGAGCCCUUCUUGGCCUACCUUAAUAGGCAGGAGCUCCCCGAGGAUCAAAAUGAGGCACGCUGCAUCGUGCGACGCUCUAAUGCCUACAAAGUCCAUGAAGGAGAACUCUACAAGAAGAGCGCCACCGGAGUGCUCCAACAAUGCAUCUCCGAGGAGGAAGGGCGGCAGCUCUUAGCCAAAAUCCAUUCCGGACUAGGCGGGAACCACGCGGCAGCCCGAACUCUCGUAAGCAAGGCCUUUUGGUCAGGAUUCUACUAGCCGACAGCCUGGGCGGACGCACAGGACCUUGUCCAACACUGCGUUGGUUGUCAACUAUUUGCCAAUCAGAGCCAUAUGCCCCCUACCGCUCUCCAAACAAUCCCCAUAACUUGUCCCUUCACGGUCUGGGUGCUGGAUAUGGUGGGACCCCUCAAAGGGGGAAGCCAUAAGAAAAAAUACUUAUUGGUCAUGGUGGCCAAGUUCACCGAAUGGAUAGAAGAAAAACCAGUUAAAACGGCCGAAUCUGGACCAGGGAUAGACUUCAUAUCGGAGGUUGUACACCGUUAUGGUGUCCCCCACAGUACUAUCACCGACAAUGGCUCAAAUUUUAUAGCCGAGGAGGUGAAAGCCUGGUGUAGCAAAAUGGGCAUUAAGCUCGACUAUGCCUCUAUCUAUCAUCCCCAAACAAACGGUCAGGUCGAACGUGCAAAUGGUCUUAUUAUGAGUGGCAUCAAACCCAGACUAGUGCGAUCCUUGAAGGAAUCAGACAUGCAUUGGGUCGAGGAACUCGAUUCCAUACUCUGGGGGUUGCGGACCACGCCGAAUCGUACCACCGGAUCACCAUUUUUUUAUGGUGUACGGCAUAGAAGCAGUGCUGCCCUGCGAUAUAAUUCAUGACUCACCUCGCGUGCGCAUGUACGAAGAGAAGGAAGCCGAGCUAGAUCGGCAGGACAACUUAGACGUUUUGGAGCAGGAGCGUGAUGUCGCUAAAGCCCGUUCCACAUUCUAUCAGCAACAGGCUCGAAGAUACCAAAGCAGAGAAGUAUGGGCCAAAACUUAUAACAUUGGCGAACUCGUUCUACGCCUACCUGAGAAGAAGAAGGACAAGCUCAAACCCAAGUGGGAGGGUCCCUUCAUCAUUGAUCAAGUUCUCACCGGAGGAGCGUACCGUCUGCGCAACGCCUCUGAUAACAGACUCGAGCCAAACCCAUGGAACGAGGCCAGACUCCGGAGAUUCUACGCCUAGCACCGAACCAAGUGUUCAUCUCCUCAUCUCCGCCUCUUCAAUUAUGUUCCUUUCCCUCCUUUCUCACCCUUUUCUUUCCCUUUUUUAUACAUACAUCCUUAAAAAUGUACGGAUGCCCUGAGCACUCCAGCCGCAUUAUGCGCGCACACUAUACCUGGGGGCUUCCUAUUCGAAAGCUAUAUAUAUACUUUAAUGGCCUCUUGCCAAGCCACAUAUGCAUUUUUCUUUCCAUAUGUGCCUUUUAUUCACCAUUAUAUGCAUCGAUAUGACUUAAGUUUUGGCCAUGCUGGGUUGCCUGGCUCUUGUAUUUAUGCCCUACGUUCCCGUUAAUUUGGCUAGGGCAUAAGGGGAGCACCUCUGCGAUUGUUACUGCUGGUUGAGUUAGAUGUGUACCUCAGACUGGGUGAAGCCGAAAGCUAGCAUUCUUAAGGGAAUAUUCGGUCGGUGAACAAAAGAUGUUCUCAUUCCUAACAACGAAAAUACCCAGAUAUUUUGUCUCCUGCAUUGUCGCUCGCAGUUCGGACAUGCACACCGAUGCAUGCGUACCCGGAGAAAGGAACCCCUAACGGAACUAUUCUCUCUGGAAGAUGUUUCUUACUAUCCAUGUAAUAUAACAUAACUAGUUGGGUACUUGUCUGUUAACGCACUUAUGACCCCGACGCCUGGUUUUUAAGCAUGCCCCGGUUUUUCAUAACUGUGUGGGUAUUUGGAUACACCCCGGACUAUCGGAUCUGGGGGCUGAAGCGAAAUGGUCCGCCAUGACAAAUGAUUUUCAAUCCGUCUAGAAAGUACACGAGCCCAUUCAAAAUUACAUAAUCAUACUGACUGGCUGUACUCUUCCUCUAUACCAUCCAACAGGCUGUCUAGCUUACAAUCCUGCUGAGAAUACUUUGCAGCUAAUGCUACUUGAUCAUAUACUAAACUAACUGGUAUCUCUUGUCCAUCUGGCCCAGCCGGUCCGACUUCGGCCAUAUGGUUCGGGUCAGCUUUGACGUAUCGCGUCUUCACCAUGGCCCACGCUUCUCUCGCACCUUGACGGCAGGCUGAUAUCUUCCAUAAUCGGAAGCACCGCCGUGCUCCUUUGAGCAUCUCUACAAGUUCACCCAUGCCUCCGGGCAGGGAAGCGGACGGCCACAAAGCCUGGGCAAUACCCUGCAUCACCUGCCAAGCUCAUUCGUGCAUCUGUGAAAGCUCUUGCAGCAUAUCGCCUGCGGAGCCGAACAUCUCCUCUUCAGGGCGUCCUGUCAACAUACCUGCAGACAUAACUCUGUCAGUACGCCUCCUCACCAAACUAUACCAUAGUUCGUUCAAGCAUUUACUAUAAAUGCUACGUCGAAGCCUCCGGUUCUCCUUCACGGAGUCCGCGAGUUGAGACUGAACAUCUUUUAGUUCGACGCUUAGUUGGAGAUUAGCAUCUUGCAGCUUAUUCUUCUCCUUGAGAGACUUCGUCAGCAUGCGUUCGCCCGCCUUCAGCUGACUUCGCAGAUGUUGCUCAUCACCUCCUACAAUCUCCGGAUUUCCCCCGGGAUUGUCUGCCGAAACAUUUUGUCAGAUUUUUAAACUAUGCCAAACACACAAACUGGCAGAAGAAAUUCUUACCAGAAGAAGUCCUUUUGGAUCCCUCUUGUUGAGCUACAUUACCCUUCAUUUGGGCCUUACACUCCUCCAGCUCCUAAGACAACUGGGCGUUCUUCUCUACAAGAACCUAUGCAUUUAAUGAUCCUUAAAUCAGUUGUGCCAACUGUUUCAAGUCUCAGGGGCUACUACUAUACAUACUUGUUAAAUUUCCUUACCUGUAUGUCCUUCACAUACUGGUCCAUUGCUCUGGCAAGUCCAUCUUGAGCAGCACAGAUAUAGGCAUGUCCGGAAUUGAAGGCGUUGAACACCUCUUCGGAAAAAAUACCACCGCGGAGUACAGCCCGUCGGCGCCGGUGAUUCAUGGCGCUCUCCACUUCUGAAUUUGUGGCAGAAAGCAUAUCCGUAUCCUCCGCAGGAGGAGAAUUCGGCACUGUCCCCACAUCAACCUUCGCUUGGGAAUCCGGUCUAGGAAUCCGGCUGCUGGAGGCAUGGCCGGUAGGAUCCCCGGACGCAGUUCGGUGUUUCCUGACAGGAUAUAAUUAAAGCUGUCAUGUCUCUACAAUUCGACUAAACAAGAUCACGGGGCAAGUUUGAAUACCUCUGUGCCUGCGUGUCGCUCCUAACCGCCUUCCUUUUAAGCCUACCUUGUCUAGGCGCCCCUUGUUGAGAAGGCCCCGUGGGUUCCGCGUGAUGUCCCGACUGCCGUUUCUGUAAAAAUACGGCAUGUGAGCGUCAGGAACUCUUUCGAAGGAUUGGAACCCCUACAUUACUUACGUGUGACACAGGAAGCAGUCCGGGAUAAUCCGCGAUGAUGGCCACUAAGGCGCCGUCACUGCUCGCCUGAUAGAAAAUCCUGUCGACGAAUUCCACGGAUAUGUCCGGAUCUUCUUCAAAUCCGGGAUCGAGAGCCCGGCCGGGAUCCUCUGGCUGCGGAGAGGGGCUGUUGAAUCCUUUCACGACCCUCCUUAGCUCCUGUUUUGAAGCGACAAGAUAAAUAAUGGUGGUCGAGAAGGUGAGAACGAAAAGAGUCAAGUAAAAAAUAACGACUUUCUCAGCUUCGGGGGUUGUACAUGGAAAAUCCAUCCUGCGGUUUAAUACGGAGGAACUCCUCUUCUUCUCCCUUGUACAAUUCGGAUAAUAUCUUUGCCAAAGAUGUGGCGGAGUCCGGACCUUUGCGACCACAGCGGGAGGCAUCGUCUUCUCCAUUGAAGUGCCACAUGGGUUUUCCCCUAUAUUGAAGUGGCUGCACUCCCCUUAUGAUACAUAUUGACAUCACUUCAAUUAUUGUCAAUCCUGAUUUGGCCAGGGUGUGUAUCCGGCUCAUUAGAUAGAAUACUUCCCUGUUUUCCUCCUCCUGGGGGCUCCGAGGGCGCCAGCUUUGGCGUUUCUUCAGCGGAGUAUUGGUGAACUCAGGAAGUCCCGUCCCGACUGGGUCCGGAAGGGGCACGUCAUCAACACAGAACCACUCCGAGGGCCAGUCUUCAGACGCCUUCUUUGGAGUACCGGACAGGUGUCCGGUCUGGGCGAUGCGCCAUAUUUCGGCUCCGCCCACUUGAUAUAUAGACCCCUCCUGGUUGCGUGGGACGAGGCAAAAUAACCUCUUCCAUAGCUUGAAAUGAGCUUCACAGCCCAGGAACAGCUCGCAGAGGGCAACGUAGCCCGCAAUAUGCAGUAUGGAGGCAAGGGUAAGAUUAUGCAACUGGAGACCGUAAAACUCCAGGAGCCCACGGAGGAAUGGGUGGAUUGGAAACCCGACGCCUCUUAGUAGAUACGGGACAAGGCAUACCCGCUUCCCCAGAGAAGGUUGGGGAAUCUCUCCACUUGCUCCCCGCCAUUAUAGGUGGCUAGUCCGGAUCGGACGGGGACCAUGUACGCGGGCGGAAGAAACCCUUUGGUUUGCAGCUCUAUUAGGCGGCUGUGAGGGAUGGAACACUUCUCCCAAACCCCUGGCUUUGGGCUGGGGGGCGGCUAGCAGGGCUGCGGCGACCGGUCAUGAUGGGAUGGCCUCUUUUGGGUGCGCUCUGCGGAAUGCUUGCUAGGGGGAAGAUGGUGUGAUUUGGAUCUGAAGAUCCCCGCCUCCUCAAAUAGACGGUUCAUCUACGGGAUUAGGGUGUCAAAUGCAAAAAUGCCCUGGCCCCUCGCCUUCGAUCAACACAUGGAGGUGGCCAUUAUUGAAGCACAGAAGCCGAGGAGUACAACCGUAUUGAGGCCGAACACUAUUUGCUACAAUGGGUGCACCAGAUCUGGAGAAGAACCCGCCUUGCAAUGCCGAAGACAAUCUGCGUGCCGGACUCAUCAUCAUUGAAGCCUGGUUCGGGGGCUACUGAGGGAGUCCUGGAUAAGGGGGUAUCCGCACAGCCGGACUAUAUACUUUGGCCGGACUGUUGGACUAUGAAGAUACAAGAUAGAAGACUUCGUCCCGUGUCUGGAUGGGACUCUCCUUGGCGUGUAAGGCAAGCUUGGCGAUUCGGAUGUAGAUCUCCUUCUCUGUAAACCGACUUUGUGUAACCCUAGCCCCCUCCGGUGUCUAUAUAAACCGGAGGGUUUAGUCUGUAGGACUCACGAUCAUCAUCAACAAUCAUACCAUAGGCUAGCUUCUAGGGUUUAGCCUCUAUGAUCUCGUGGUAGAUCAACUCUUGUAGUACUCAUAUCAUCAAGUUCAAUCAAGCAGGAAGUAGGGUAUUACCUCCAUCGAGAGGGCCUGAACCUGGGUAAACAUCGUGUCCCAAGUCUCCUGUUACCAUUAGCCUUAGACGCACAGUUCGGGACCCCCUACCCGAGAUCCGCCGGUUUUGACACCGACACCCUUGCUUUAUCAGGCUUGACCAAAGCUAUGCGGGAGACUGCCAAUUUUAUAGGGUACGGAUGUAGUAUCAAGUUGCAUUUUCUGCUUAAAUUAUGCCACUUUAAAAGGAGAUUCUUGGUUAUUCCCUAGCCUGGCAUCAUCUUUUAUUAGAAUGUUUGCUUUGAGAGUGGAUAUUUUGCUGUCGAGCUCCAUGAAGCCCUUUAUUUUCAAACAUUUAAAAAUCAAAAUUUUAGGUUUCAAAAAGAUCUAAAAUAAAUACACAAGUACUUAUAGAUGUAUACUAGAUGUGUGUGAAAUUUCAUCACGAAAUACAUUUUUAUGUAUCCUGUACAAAAAAUAUAAUCACUGAUUUUAUAGUGGAUAGCACAUGCGCAGAUGUGCUAGAAAUACGUGAUUUUGUCAUUUUUGAGUAGCUCGCAUAAAAAGGUAUUUCAUCAUGAACUUCGCAGACAACUAGUACACAUCCAUAUGUAUAUUUCUUUUCCAGAAUUUUUUAGAACUUAAAAAUUUGUUUUUUCAAGUUUUCAAAUAGAGGGCUCCAUGAAGCUCAAGCUCCAUUAGGCAUUUCUGGUUUACUCCCGAAAAGAAAACUACUUGCAGAACCACCUGAACUUUUUUGAAAUACCUGAAGGUUAAGUGAUCUAACUUGUCACUUGUUAAGAAAAGCAAGUGCCUUGGCUUAAAUUAUUUGGCUUCACAAUUAUAGUUCUUCAAUUGAGUUUUUCUCUUCAGCGUACAAUGUAUGAAGAGUUUGCCAAUGGCGAGUUUACUAAUUAGUCACCUCUCAUAGUCAAGUCAAUUGUUCAUCUCUGGAGGUUAUGUAUGUCAUUGUUCAUAUCAUCAAACCCCAUCAAAAUAGUUUAUGUAGUACUCCCUGUGUAAAGUGAUAUUAGACUUUUUUAGACCACUACUUUAAUGAUCUCAAAAAAGUCUAAUAUUACUUUACACAGGGAGUAUACUCAAAGUGUUUUUGAACUUUGAUGAGGUGUUUGAAAAUAUUUGCUUCGGUAUUGGUUUCAAGCAAAUAUCUUAAUCUUGUUUGAGAAGACAUUUAUAUGCACCCAUUCUUGAAACAGGUUUUCGCAACCUUUAUAAAUAAAGCAAAUCACCACAUCCAAACAUCAAGACCAAAUGUAGAAAAAAAUAACAAGUCUGCUGGGGCAACAACACAAACAUGCCCAAAAGUAAAAGAAAGGGUGAUACAAGGCUCCAUGGAGCUGACAAAGAAUCUCAACUUUGGGGUACCAUGGUUCAGAGUUUAGACUAAAAAUCAUCAUAAUACCCAUAAAUAGUCUUAAAAUAGCAUCAGUUUGAUAGUAUUAGUAUUAACUAUUAGUUACAUAUAAAAUAUAUUUUACAAUUUUGUAGGGGGUGCCAUGGCACCUACGGCAGCCCCACUAGAUCGGCCCCAGAGUAGAGUAGACCAACUUGUAUGUUGGUUUCUCUCCAUCUUCAUUAAUAAUCAGUGGCAGAGCGAGGAAAAAAGAAUGAGGGGGCCCGAGUGUUACUAAGCCUUGUCACUUGUCAGGGAGGGCCAGCCCACCAUAAUACACCAUUUCCAUACCAAUAAUUGCUUGUUCGUAUGUAUAUUAGGCNNNNNNNNNNNNNNNNNNNNNNNNNNNNNNNNNNNNNNNNNNNNNNNNNNNNNNNNNNNNNNNNNNNNNNNNNNNNNNNNNNNNNNNNNNNNNNNNNNNNNNNNNNNNNNNNNNNNNNNNNNNNNNNNNNNNNNNNNNNNNNNNNNNNNNNNNNNNNNNNNNNNNNNNNNNNNNNNNNNNNNNNNNNNNNNNNNNNNNNNNNNNNNNNNNNNNNNUUUGUUAAUAAUGGUGAGAUUAAACUCUUUGCACAUGCAUUAGAAAAUUUAAACCUUGUUGGAAAAAAUAGAAAUUUAAAAGUCAAGUAGAUGUUUGAGAUUUUCAGGAUUUUAUUAGACCCAUAAAACCUAACAAACUUUGCAAUAGAAAAAAAAUGUUUCAUUCAUUUUGAGAACCCAUGAAAUCCAAUGGAGUUACAGCUGAUGCUGAUAUUUUAGUGUGAAACCGAUGGACGACCCAGCUUAAUUAUCACCUUCCAUGCGGCGCUGAAUAGCUUACUUUGUUGGGUUCACAUUUUGGAACGAAUCAAGAAUGCUCUGCUUUGCAUCCCUGCCCUGUUUUAGCAUAGGGAAGAUGGAACCGGUAUCAUCGACAAACAUCAGAGGUUGAGUGCAUCUACAGUCGGGCCCUUCAAACCGGCCUCAAACGCCCAGGCGGCUCGCCCGGUCACUUACCGAUUACGAAAAAUUGACCCACAUGGGAGCUUCAAACCAGCCUCUAACGCUCGGGCUGUCCGGCACCCCUGAUAUCCAACCCAAGUAUGGGGCGGAUAUGGGCGGCCUAGGCGUGUUCGCCACACAUCGGAAUUGACAGGCCCAGCUCACUACCGACCCCACGGAUGCCCCACAAAAAAAAUCAUCCGGCUCCUCGCUCGGAACUCUAGCUCACUCACUCCCCUAUCUCGCUCCAACCUCUCCUCUUCCCUCCCCGAUUCCGAUCCAUUCUGGUGCAAUGUCCAGCUCUGGCAGCGAAUCCGGCUCCUCCGCGCAGGCAAUAAUGGGUGCUAGUCCUUGCGCCGCCGGCCCGGACACGCACUCUAGAAUCGGAGGCGUGCGCCACCCGCCGCGAGAGGCAGUGGACAAGGAGAGGGAAGCGGCGGAGCAGUCCGUGCGCCAUCGCUGCGGUGUGUCGGCGGAGCCCAACAAGGACGAGCGACUCCUCGCCGAGGUCUGCCGUCAGUCGCUCACGAUGGCGGAGAUGAACGCUCGCCAACUCUAGCGGAAGAACGCAAUGACCUUGUGGCUAGCCGUAGAGCAGUAGGAGUGGGAGGCGAAGGAGGCAACGAUGGAGGUGGCUCGGGUUGCCAAGCUGAAGCAGCAGAAGGACAAGGCCGUACGACAGAUGAAGGGGCUGGUAGUCAUGUCCUCCUCUGACUCCAACGGCGGCGGCGACGACAGCUCCACCUCCGACGACGACGAAGAUCCUCCAUUGGUUGCGGACGCCUACAACUACGCCGACGACUGGAAGGGGAAAGGCAAGGCGAGGAAGUGGUGAAGAAGCUCCCUCUUGUGUUUAAUUAUCGUUUAUAGUCGUUGAACUUGUCCGACGAUGAAAUAUGUGCAUUUCAUUGUUCGUUUGAUGUUGAUUUUUUGUCCAUUGUUUGAUCACAUAGAGUUGUUCAUCACAUUGCAUGCAUAGUAUCGAUAUAGGAUGCCGGAGAUAUCCGGAUGUGGAGAGGGAAAUAUGAGGCGGCCCCGGUCAGUGCUCGCGGACACGGCCGGGCGCGUCUAUGGGUGUUUGAGGGCCCGGAUUUGCUGGUUGCGGCUGUAGAUGCUCUCAUGUCCCUUCUGCAUCUCGCUCCGGUGCAAAUGCUUGACGUGACUUCUCACCAAGAUGCUCCCCUUUGGCUUUUGCAGGGUCCUUUUAUCAAAGGAGAGAACUGUGUGUUAUACAUCUGAUCUUAUCAAGAUUGUAAAACCAUUUCCCUCUACUUUGAUAUGAAUGUGCCUGGAUUUGAUUUAAUCAUCUUUUUAAAAAAUGGACAUCAUAGUUUUCCAGAAUGCAUCUUGAAUUUCUUGUUCGACAUCCACAUCUAGCUUGCAGGUGGCGUGAUGGCAGAAAAGCAGUUGCUCCCUAAGCUAGAAAUAGAACACUCAAUUUCUAGCUAGUCAGUAUGUGCAUCAUCUCACUUUUGGAGUGCUUAAUCUAGGUGGUACAUGUCACCGGAGCAUGAAAGUGUUGGGAAACCAAGACCACCAUGAUUGUUAUGUACAAAAAGGCAAGUGUUCCCUUUACUGAGACUUGGAAUUUACAUGACCCAGAACUUGUGGAAAUGCUAGACCCAUAUUACAAGCGACACCAUCAUCAUGGACGCCAACACUUAGGAUGCAUUUGGUAGGCUGCAUUAGGUCCAGCCAGGCCUGGGCGGACAGUUUUUGUCCCAUUUGGUUGCCUGGGCUGCAUCUAAAACAUGGCUUGCACGAACCUCAAAACAGGUUUGGGCCUGACUCUCGAGGAACAGCCAAAUCGACUAUUUUUUGCGAGCCAGGCUCGCUCGAACCACGCGUGGCGAGUGCCUACACGCGUGGGGAAGUGCGGGAUAUGACAGGGCGUCUCAUAACUCCCUUUGCUCCUUCCCGUCACCACACUCAGCAGUUCACACACACUCUCUCCCCCUCACCGCCCAUACGGUUUCUCCGAUGGCGGAGCCGCCAUCUCGCCGUGCCCACCCACUCCAGUCAUCACCGGUAGCAAUCGCAUCCAGGAGAGGUGGAUUGCCGGCCUCGCAGCCUCCGGAAGGGAUCUCGUGGCGGCAAUCCAUGCACCCUCUCUGUUCUGCACCAUGCCGCCGCCACGGGACAAUGCAGCGCCACCGCGAGUCACUCCGGCACCGCCACCAGAGCUGGAGCUCCUCUUCUUGGGCUCAACGCCGGUGGGUAUUCAAUACCAAUCGACUCCGUCAUUUGUCGACCCCUCUUAUGGGGGUAUUUUUACCCUCAUUCAAGGGUUUUAUCCCCUGCGUCCGGUGCAAGGGGAGGGGAGCUCGAGGACGGCAGGCUCCUUGUCCAGCUGUCACGCGAGGAGGUCGACGACAACGACCAUCGGAACGGCCGGUUCUUCUUCUUCUUCGGUGGUGGCACCCCUCUUCCUGCCGGUGUUUUCUCCAUGGCCGGCAUCCGCUCCACAGGCACCCCCCAUGGCGAGCUUCUUUGAUCUCCCUCUUGCUUCGUAGUUAGGGUUCUUGGGGUGUAGAUUAGGUUGUGAACAGUGGAUUAAUUCGACCCGAUUCGAUUUGAUUCGAGAGGAUUCGAUCCAAAUCCAUUGUUUUGGGGAUGAAUCUUGAUGCUGUUCUUGAUGUUUAUGUUGAAUGUUAGGGUUUAGAUUAGAUUGAUGACUGUGAAUGCUAGUUUAUUCACUCCAAAUGGUACUGUUCUUGAUGUUGCGAGUGAUCUUCUUAGCAUAGUUAUUAAUGUUGAUGUUGUUGUUAAUGACUGUGAAUGCUCAUACGAUGUUGUUGUUGUUGUUGUUGUUGUUGUUGAUAAUGAUGAUGACUGUGAAUGCUAGUUUGCUCACUCCACAUUGUUCAUGCCUCUGUUCUUAGCAUUGCUCUUGUUGUGUACUGAUGUUCUUCAUAGGAUGAGGUAGUGAUGCUGCUGUUCUUACCAUAGUGUGUAUGUUGUGCAAGUGUGUUGGGUACGUGAAUGCAUGAUCGACAUAGGACAUUGCUCUUGCAUGCUAUUAUUAGGCUACGUGAAUGCAUGAUCAACAUAGGACAUUGCAUGUGCAUGGUAGUAGGACAUACCUGAAUGCAAAAUUAGUAGUAGGGCAAUGUAUGUGGAUGUGCAUUUGUGACCAUUGCUUGCUCUGGUCCUAGUUCAAUCUCGUUACCCACAAGUCUCUUUACUCAUUCCGUAAUACAAGAUCUCGUGACUAACUCAUUAGCCACAUUGCUUGCAAGAUCUUUACGAUAUUGUAUUACCGAGAGGGCCCAGAGAUAUCUCUCCAUCACACAGAGUGACAAAUCCCAGUAUCGAUCCAUGCCAACCCAACAGACACCUUCGGACAUACCUGUAGUGUAUCUUUAUUAUCACCCAGUUAUGAAGUGAUGUUUGAUAGCACACAAUGUAUUCCUCCGAUAUCCAAGAGUUGCAUGAUCUCAUGGUCUUAGGAAUAGAUACUUGACAUGAAGAAAGCUAUAACAAUAAACUCAAGUGAUACGAUCGAAUGCUAAGCUUACGGUUGGGUCUUGUCCAUCACAUCAUUCUCCUAAUGAUGUGAUCCCAUUAUCAAAUGACAACUCAUGUCUAUGGUUAGGAAGCCUGAACCAUCUUUGAUCAACGAGCUAGUCUAGUAGAGGCUCACUAGGGACAUAUUAUUUGUUUAUGUAUUCACACUCACAUUUAAGUUUCCGGUCAAUACAAUUCUAGCAUGAAUAAUAAACCUAUAUCAUGAACAAGGAAAUAUGAUAAUAACCAAUUUAUUAUUGCCUUUAGGGCAUAUUUCCAACAAUUAUAUAUAGUAAAUACCAGAAAAAAGAAAGCCUAAAUAUAGUCAUAGCCAGACAAGGUGAUUCAUAGUUCUGGUGUGAGACCUUAAAACAUAAAGACCUUUUCCUUUCCAUAUGCAGACUUACUGUAGGGAAUGGAAAUAAUGUUAGAUUUUGGGAAGAUUGGUUGAUAGGACCCACAACUUUGAAAAAAAAGCUUUCCAAGACUUUACAGUAUCUGUUUUGAUAAAACAAAACUAUCAAGGAGGUGUUGGAAAAAGGAAUAGAUAUAGUUCAGUUUAGAAGGACCUUAACUGGUGACUCUCUUGAACUGUGGGAACACAUCAAAGAGGGAACCUCUUAUGCAUUAACUGACAGGAGAGAUGAAAUCAAAUGGACUUUAACUAAAAAAGGUGUCUAUUAUGUUAAAUCUUUAUACAGACAUUUGAUUGAAAAUGGGAUUAAAUACCCACACCUAUUUAUGUGGAAGGCCAAAAUGCCUCCUAGAGUUAAAGUUUUCAUGUGGUUAGCUCUCAGAAAUAACAUUGUCACUAAAUAAUUUGCUACGCAGAGGUUGGAAAGGGGACAAAAAGUGCAUGUUCUAUGGAAAAAAUGAAUAUGUUAAUCACCUUUUCUUUACUUGUUCAGUAGCUCGUCGGUUGUGGGAUGUUUUGAAUUGUGCUUUCAAUUUGUCAGAUAUUCUUGACAACUUGGAUAUAGUGGUUGGAUCCUGGGUUAAAAAAUUCAGUAGAGAGGAGAGAGGUUUGGUGAUGGUGGGUAUUUCUGCCAUAUGCUGGACUCUUUGGAAACUACGUAGUGGUUUAAUUUUUGAUAAUAACAAGGUGGAUGAUCCUUUUACUCCAGUUAGCCUUUUUUUAAAAUGGCUUCAUGAUCUGUCAAUUUUGCAAAAACAUCCCGGAAGAAGUGAGCUAAUGGCAGCGGGAGUGUGAUAGGUUGGAAGAGUCGCAGAGGAGGUGUUCAUGGCGGCUCAUGGCUGGCGUCUAGGUGCGAGAAGAAUCAUAACAAGAUAAAAACUGUUGAUAUUCUACUCUUUGGGAUGCUAGCUUUGGCCCGAAGGACAUUCGUGCGACCCUUUUCUCUUCUAUGCGUGGAGAUCUCUCUUUUGUUAGUUCGUUAUGCUAUGAUGUAAUAUGUCUAGAACCUAUCUCUCUAGUUGGUUACUCUGUUCGCUGGUUCUAGACCUAUAUAUGAGCCCAGGUGUCGUGGUGGGUGCACGACAGAUGCCAAGGGAUGGCUAAAGAGAGGAGGCUCGAGGGCACUGGUGGGCUCCAAAGGCGAGGUUGGCAUGAGCGAGCGAGGGAUGCAAGACAUACCCAGGUUCGAGGCUCUCCGGAGAGAUAACACCCCUAGUCCUGCCGAGUGUGGUUUAUAUGGUACAAUACAGAGUUGCUCCUAGAACUGUUUGGAGGGAGGAGGAAGGCAGGCCAAGGCUUAGGCUACUCCCUUUCCUGGUGUGUGUGUGUGUGUGUUCUACUGACGAUCUAGUUGCUAGUGUUCGCCCCGUACUUGGAGGCCUCCUAGGGGUUUUAUAGGUCAACCCCCCAGGGCUACAAUGGUAAAGACAGAAGGCCAUGGGGCCGGGAUGUCAGCGUCCAGGAAGCUGGUGCUGGGGCCCGCCGGGUGCCAGGGCUCUCCGGUCACAGGCUCCAUGCACCAUGGGACACUAUUCUCCGUCUUGUCGAACAUCACGGAGUGGCCGGGUCGACUCGGCUACAGUGGUGCACAGCCUGGUCGUCGUCGGCCUGCGUCAGCAAUGAUGAUUGGCGCAUUAUAGCCAUGCUGACCUCGGUGAGCGGGGUGGACGGGCCACUGUUUCCAUGCCUCUGCUGGUCAUAGGAGUUGGUGGCGUACUGUGGCCAUGCCAGCCUCGGCCAGCAAAGUGAACGGGCCACGGUUGCCAUGCCUCUGCUGGUCAAAGGAGUAGGUGGGGCACUGUGGCCAUACUCUUGUCCCAUUGUACGCCUUGGAUGGGACGGGAGCUGACCCGUGUCCGGGUUGACGGUGGCGCCACGCGGGAGCCGGCUUGCUGGGGAAGCCUUGGCUGUGCCGAUCGAAGGACUUGGCCAGGUUGAGGGUCUUGGCCGUGUUGACGAACCUGGCCAAGUGCGCACCGGCUUGAGGGGCGAUGUCGGCCCUGAUAUUUUUGAAAAGGAUUCGGGUUCCGUUGCCUGCCCGGGGUUCACCCCCCCGACAGUAGUCACCAAAGCUGUGAAGGCUCGUCGGCUUUAAGCAGGGCGGCCUUUUCAGUUUUCCCCCCUGAGAAGGCGGCUGUUGAUGAAGCUUGUGACCGCAGGGUCCGGCAACACCCACUGUGUGCCAGCUUCCGGAAGCUGGAUCACGGCAUCCUUGCAUGGGCGAGAAAUCGAGGAGUCCGCCGAAUCUUGGGCAUCAUCUUCCUGGGUUGGGCGCGGGUGCCACGUGGUGCUCGGGAGCUGAGGGGGCCUGACAGGCCACACAUGCAAUGGACAGGGAGAGGAUCUAGGGCCCGCCACUUCACAUCCUUGGUUCAUGCGUGCAGAUUAAUUGCGGCAUCAACGGUCGGUUGAUAUUCUCGAUGCAGUUACUGCGUGUGGUACAUGCGCACUUAUUGAAGGGAAGUGGGAGGGGCGGGUGUCGCUAGGAAACGACACCUAUGGGAUCACAAGAAUCCCUAGUAUGGUUGCAGGGCGUGGGAUCUUGAGAAGAGCGGGACUAGUAAUCAGCACAAGGGGGGUUUACCCAGGUUCGGGCCGAAAAGAUGCGUAAAACCCUACAAUCCUGCUUUGGUGGUUGUAUUCAGUGUUCUUGAGCUCCCGAACUAGCUAUGGGUGCUGCCUGGUUCCAAAGAGCCAAAUCCUUUUUCGGUGCGCCAUGGGCCUCCUUUUAUAGGUGAAAGGGGCUGCCACAGUGGCACACAGGAGGUGGAAAGGCCUACAGUGUUGUGAUCUUAUCGCCCGUAUUACAGGACAAGACACAUUUAAUGCAUGGCUUAGGUGUCCCUCUACUUUAUCGGGGACGGGGGAGAGGCCUGUCCCAUCCAUCGCCGCUCCUUCUUGCUUCCACACCCACCCUGGCCAGCGAUGCAUGCGGUGCCAUGUAGGCAGGCAAGCAGCUGAUGUGGCAUGGUGGUGGAGCGUCCACGAAGGGCUGCAUGCUGCCACGCAGGUGCCUGCCGAGCUGGUUGGGUCGAUAGCUGCAUGCGAACGACGGUGGAGACUGGGCUGGUGCGGGCCUGGCAGUGCCCCCGCUGGCGCCCUCGGCAAGGAUCCUGCCGGGUGGCCCGGGAAGGGUCUUGCCAUGGCGCACUGUUGUCCCUGGCAAGGACCUUGCCGGGGGCAUCGUGGACUUCCUCGGCAAGAACCUUGCCGAGGAUUGUUGCCUUCCAAUCCUCAUCUGAUCUUGAAUAAUCUUUGUCUUCACAAAGAUCUGCAUGCCACCAUGGAGGUGCCUCCCGAGCCCUGUCCCAACGUAGUUGCUAGCGUUGGAGACUGUGGGCUUCUAGGGUGGCUCGCUCCGUUGGUGUGGGCGAGCUGCCCCAGCAAGGGCCUUGCCGGGGUCGCUGGGGCUGCCCCAGCAAGGACCUGCUUCGCCCAUUCAAUCUUUGUGGCCUUGGUCCUUGGUGUUGCUUUGUUUGCUUCGUGCCUUCGGCUUCUCUCCGGCUUCCCUACCUUGCCCUGUUAAGCGUGGCCGUGGCGGGUGGCUCUGACUGCCCGUGCACAAGUAAAGGGGUCAAAAGGAGAGCCCCUACUUUUGUACACCGAUAGGAGCCCCCGGGCCUGGGCCACACAUAAGCGCGACACAUUGUUGGGCCAGGCCCAGAACGGUGCGCGGGCAGUCGGGGCAGAUUUUACCACGGUAACUGUUCCGUCCGCUGUGCUUCCCCACGACCCGUGUUGAACGCGCGACAUUGGGGUCGUGCGUGCAUGUGAUGUGGGAGGCAUGCGUGGGACUGUUCCCGCACGCAUGCAUCAUAUCGCAGUUAAUAGGAAAGGAGGCGGCUCGCGCCAUCCCCGUAAAAAGGAAUAACCGCGGGCGCGCUGCUCACUUUACCCCUCCCCCGCAUCCUCUCCAAUCUUGGAACCGACACUCCCUUUCUUCCUUCUCAAGCCCCCUGCUCUCGUCCAUCGCCGCCGUGCUCCCGCCAUCCUCUGACCUCUUGCUUCUCACAGCCGCCAUGGCGCCCAAGUCCACCAAAGCCAAGGGAGUGGCCAAAGACGCCGGGGCGAAGAAGCAGCAGGAGAGCGAGCUGGUGGCGCGACGGGCGCAGUUCGCCUACUUCUCCCCCUCGACGGUCGACGUGCCCGAGCUCCGAGAGUUCUACAAGCUCUUGUGGGGGGUGAAGACGGGGGGAGAAACGACGGGGCAUCCAGCCACACGCGUCGUCCCUGCCUGCGCCGGGCCUGCCCCAAACCGGUACCCCUUGUUCGUCGACUACUUCUCCUGCGGGCUCUGCCCCCCUUCUCUGAUUUUUUCAAGGACAUUAUGCACACCUUUGGCUUCCGCCUUCUGGAUUUCACUCUGAAUGCCGUGGCGUGCAUGGCUCUUUUCGCACACCUCUGCGAGGGCUUUGCCAGGGUGCACCCCAACACGACGCUCUUCCGCCACUACUUCUCCCCUCGGAUCGAAAAGGGGGGCACCAUCUCCAGCUGCCUCGCCUGGAUCUCAAGGGCCAAGGUGGCGUAUCCGGAGGGCGCCACGAAGGAGAGGUGGGAAGAGUGGCGAGGCCGGUUGUCGGUGUCAAAACCGGCGGAUCUCGGGUAGGGGGUCCCGAACUGUGCGUCUAGGCGGAUGGUAACAGGAGACAAGGGACACGAUGUUUUACCCAGGUUCGGGCCCUCUUGAUGGAGGUAAAACCCUACGUCCUGCUUGAUUGAUAUUGAUAUUGUGGAUGUUUACAAGAGUGGAUCUACCACGAGAUCAAGGAGGCUAAACCCUAGAAGCUAGCCUAUGGUAUGAUUGUAAUGGUUGUUGUGGCGUCCUACGGACUAGAGCCAUCCGGUUUAUAUAGACACCGGAGAGGGCUAGGGUUACAUAGAGUCGGUUACAAUGGUAGGAGAUCUACAUAUUCGUAUCGCCAAGCUUGCCUUCCACGCCAAGGAAAGUCCCAUCCGGACACGGGAUGAAGUCUUCAAUCUUGUAUCUUCAUAGUCUUGGAGUCCGGUCGGUGAUGAUAGUCCGGCCGAUGAUAGUUCGGCCGAUGAUGGUAGUCCGGCUAUCCGGACACCCCCUAAUCCGGGUCUCCCUCAGCAGCCCCCGAAUCAGGCUUCAAUGACGAUAAGUCCAGCAUGUGUGUAGUCUUCGGCGUUGCAAGGCGGGUUCUCCUUCAAGUUCCACGUACCUGCCGAACAGUGUCCGGCUUCCUCAUCAAUGUUGUGCGUCUUGGCUUCCACGCCUAAUAAUGGCCUUCUUCCACGCGUCGCACGAAUGCGAAAAGCCAGGGUGUCUUUUAUGUUUUACCCCCUAGUUGUGUGAAUAAUCUGCCUAUAAGGGAGGCAAGAAUCCAGAUCCAAGUCACCAUCUUCCUCCCGCAAGUACUCGUCGGAGCGCUUUCGACCAAGAAUCCAUUCCAUCAUGGACCGUCAACGCGGCUCCUCUUCUCGCGCUCCCAGCCCUUUGCCAGGAGAUUGGAGGAGAUGCUCUAUUCCGCACAACGAGCUGGUGAAGCUCCAAGCGGGGGGAUAUCUCCCUCCGGCCUUCAUGGUUCCGGUGCGAGCCGGGCUGGCCACCUACAAAGGUGGGAAGAAAUCGGAGGCUACCCCAAGUCCCAACAAAGGGGAGCGGGUAUGCUUCGUCCCCUAUCUAAUAAGGGGACUCGGAUUUCCUGUACAUCCAUUCCUCCGCGGGCUCCUGGAGUUCUAUGGACUCCAGCUUCAUCACCUCACACCCACCUCAAUCUUGCAUAUUGCGGGUUACAUAGCUCUUUGCGAGCUAUUCCUGGGCGUCGAGCCCCAUUUCGCGCUGUGGAAGAGGUUGUUCUGCCUUGUACCCCGCUCUCACGAGGGGUCCAUAUAUCAAGUGGGCGGUGCCGAAAUAUGGCGCAUUGCCGGGACCGGAUAUCCAUCCGGAACCCCUAAGAAGGCGUCCGAAGACUGGCCUUCGGAAUGGUUUUAUAUAGAAGACGCUCCGCUGCCGGACCCUGUUCGGAUCGGCCUCCCGGAGUUCAGCAAUGCUCCUCUGAAGAAACGCCUUAGUUGGCGUCCGCGGAGCCCCCAACUGGAGGAAGACAAGAGCGUCCAUUAUUUGAUGGACCGAAUAAGGUUACUGGCCCAUUCCGGGUUGACCAUGAUUGGAGUCAUGGCAACAUGCAUUAUGCGGGGGGUGCAGCCACUACAAUAUAGGGGCCACCCCAUGUGGGAUUCCAACAGGGAGGACGAUGCCACCCGUCAUGGCCGCAAAGGGCCGGAUUCGGUCGAAGAUCUGGUGACGAUCCUAUCCAGCCUGUAUAAGGGGGAGAAGGAGGAUUUCCUUCGGACGAACCUGUUAAAACACUCUGAGUGCCCGACCCAUGCUUUUUGAAACUUAAAUUUCUUAUAUUGUGUUCUUCUUUCGACGCAGGAGCUGCGCCGGAUCGUGGAGGACAUGCUAAGUCCAGCUCCGCAACCCGAGGAUCCGGCCUCCGAAGAGGAUCCGAACAUAAUGAUGGAGCUAAUCGACGGGGUGUUCCACUAGCUCAGCAUGGACAAUGCUUUAGUCGCCAUCACGGCCGACUAUCCCGGACUAUAUCCGGCUUCCCAGGUGAUUGCGACCGAAGUCCUGACACCGUCAUUCCUUCCUUGCUUAUUUCUGACCACCGUAUACGAUGGCGCUGUGCAGGAGGCGCCCCUAGGGCGAGAAGCCGAGCCCGCGGUGGCUGGCCAACAAAGGCCAGUCCGGACCAGUAGGCGGAAGAGGAGCACGGCGCGGACUGAAACGUCGCCGCAAAGGUGUAUCUCACAAUUCAUUAUUUAGAGCAGCGUUCCUAAGAAGCAUUUGAGUGCUCAUGACUUUUGUAGGGAAAAAAGCGUCCGCCGGACUGCGGGCGUGGAGUUUGCCAAUCCAAACUCUGCCAGCCAGGCUCCAGCACCUGGUCUGGAGGGGGAGGUGAGCGCAAGGCGCGAGCCGGAUGUUCCUCCGACGGAGGAUGCCGACAGACUGUCUGCCACCAAGUCUGAGGUGGAGAGUGCCAUGAAUCACAGGCGCCGCCAGACAGUAUUUCGUGACGCGUGCUUCUCCCCCGAGGCGUUGAAUGCCUUUAACGCGGGGGACGUGCACCUUCGUGCUGCUCAAGAUGGUUUUACCAGAGCCACGGAGCAGUAUGUAAAAGACAUACGGGUAAGAGAAUUUAAUAGUUGUAUAUGCCAGUAGCCCCCGAGACUUAAAGUAGUUAUAUUAACUGAUUUAAGGAUCAUACGAAACGUAGGAUCUUACCGAGAAGAAUACCCAACUGUCUCAGGAGUUGCAAGAGUGCAAGGCCCAACUUGAGGUCGCACUCUCUGGUACAGGAGGAAACACAGGGACCUCUCCUGGUAACGCAUUAUUUUAGAAAGAUAAGUAGCGUUUGGCUUGUGCGCAAGUCUAAAAAAUGACAUUGCAGGUGCUGCCGGACAAGAUCCGGACAGGCAAGAGCUUCUGCGCCAACUAAAGGCCGGCGAGAGGGUGCUACAUAAGGUGCAGCAUGAAAGGAACAAGCUACAGGAUUCCCAUGCCCAGCUUGGAGAAGAGCUGAAAGGCGUUCGGGCCAAGCUGUCGGGCUCCGUUAAGGAGAAUCAGCGGCUUCAUCGCGGCAUCUAUAGUAAGUGCUUGAGCGAACUCCUUUGAAAAGAAGAGUUCGGCGAGGAAGUCGAUUUGACAGAAUAUGUCUGCAGGUAUACUCAUAGGUUGCCCUGCGAAGGAGAUGCCCGUAUCAACGGGUGAUCAACUUCCUGAAUUGUUGCAACUGAUCUAACGAGUUCGGCAGGCAAUGAGCGGCGUCAUCCAGGCUUUAUGGCCAACCUUCUCCUUACCCGAGGGUCUUGGGGAGCUUGCGGAGAAGCUUCAGGGAGUGCGACAGCGCUUCCAUCUAUGGAAGAUUUUGGCCUGCCACCACGGUGCCAGGGAGGCCUGGGCCAUGGUAAAGACGCGGUACAAGAAGGCGAAUCCCAACCACAUGGCCGAAGUCGGACCUGUGGGGCCCGAUGGGAAGGAGAUCCCUGUGAGUUUAGUAUACGACCAAGUAGAGUUGGCCGCUAAAUUUUCCCAACAGGACUGUAAAUUAGACAACCUGUUAGACGGGAUUGAGGAAGAAUACAAUCAGUCGAUUUGACAAUGUAUUAUAGAAUGACAUGUAAAAUGCCUUCUAGCCGGAUUGUAGAUCGUUUGUCUUUGCCGACCUUUUCGCUUCGACCUCGGGACCCUAGAGUCCGGAGUGUGUCCGAAUACCUUCUCGGUUAUGAAACAACCAGUGUAUGCAUGGAGACCAGGCGUAGGGGUCAUUAGUGCUUUAUCAGACAAGUGCCCAACUAGUUAUGUUAUAUUACAUGGGUAGUAAGAAACAUCUUCCAGGGAGAAUAGUUCAGUUAAGGGUUCCUUUCCUCUGGGGGUGGCAUGCCCUAAAGUGCAUGUCCGGACUGCGAAAAAAGCAGAAAAACAUCUGGGGGCAGAUAAAUAAGUAGAUAAAAAAUCAUCUUUUAAGUCACCGACCGAAUAUUCCCUUAAGAACGCUAGCUUUCGGCUUCACCCAGUCUGAGGUACACAUCCGGCUGACCCAGCAUUAACAAUCGCAGAGGUGCUCCCUUUACCUCCUAGCCGAACAAUCGGGAACGUAGGGGUAAGCACAGGAGCCAGGCAACCCAGCUUGGCCAAAACUUAAGUCAUAUCGAUGCAUAUAAUGGUGAAUAAAAGGUACAUGUGGAGGCUUGACACAUGUGCUGGGCAUGAAGCCCUUAUAAUUAAGCUUCUGGUAAAGAAGCCCCCAGGUAUAAUGAGUGCGGAUAGCACAUCAAUUGCACGCGAACGUUGCGCAAGUAGGCCCUUUAAGGCUUUGGUGAAUAGGGUUGUGAAGAAAAAGAUAAACAAAAGGCAGCUGAAGUAAAAAAGUUUUGGACGGGGGGAAAGGGACGAACUCUUAGUCCGGCGCUAGGCAUAGAAUCUUCGGAGGCGGGCUGCGUUCCAUGGGUUCGGCUCGAGUCGGUUAUCCGAUGCAUUUCGUAGACGGUACGCUCCGCCGGUCAGGACUUGAUCGAUGAUGAAGGGGCCUUCCCAUUUGGGCUUGAGCUUGUCCUUUUUCUUGUCCGGCAGGCGUAGAAUUAGUUCGCCAACAUUGUAAGUCUUGGCCCGUACUUCUCUACUUUGGUAUCUUCGAGCCUGUUGCUGAUAGAAUGCAGAACGAGCCUUGGCGACGUCGCAUUCUUCCUCCAAUGCGUCCAAGCUGUCCUGCCGAUCCAACUCGGCUUCUCUUUCUUCGUACAUGCGCACUCGAGGUGAGUCAUGAAUGAUGUCGCAGGGCAAAACUGCUUCUGCACCGUAUACCAUAAAAAAUGGUGUGAAUCCGGUAGUACAGUUAGGCGUUGUCCACAGCCCCCAGAGUACGGAGUCGAGCUCCUCUACCCAGUGCGUGUCAGAUUUCGUAAGGGACCGCACUAGUCUGGGUUUGAUGCCGCUCAUUAUUAGACCAUUUGCUCGUUCCACUUGACCGUUGGUUUGAGGAUGAUAGACUGAAGCGUAAUCGAGCUUGAUGCCCAUAUUUUUGCACCAUGAUUUAACCUCAUCAGCCGUGAAGUUCAUGCCGUUAUCGGUGAUGAUGCUGUGGGGGACACCAUAACGGUGUACUACCCCGGAUACAAAGUCUAUCAUUGGUCCGGACUCUGCCGUUUUAACUGGCUUGGCCUCUAUCCAUUUGGUGAAUUUAUCCACCAUGACCAAUAGGUACCUUUGCUUGUUGGUUCCCCCUUUAAGUGGUCCAACCAUGUCAAGCCCCCAGACCGAGAACGGCCAGGUAAUGGGUAUAGUUUUGAGGGCGGUGGGUGGCAUGUGGCUCUGAUUAGCAAAGAGCUGACAACCGACACAUCUUUGGACUAAGUCCUGAGCAUCUGCCCGGGCCGUUGGCCAAUAAAAUCCUGUACGGAAUGCCUUUCCUACAAGGGCCCGGGCUGCAGUGUGGUGUCCGCCUAGUCCGGCGUGAAUUUCAGCCAGAAGGUCUCGCCCUUCCUCUUCGGAGAUACACCUUUGAAGGACUCCGGUUGUGCUUUUCUUAUAGAGUUCUCCCUCAUGGACCUUGUAGGCUUUAGAUCGCCGGACUACGCAGCAGGCCUCAUUAUGGUCUUCGGGGAGUUCCUGCCUAAGCAAGUAGGCGAGGAAUGGUUCUGUCCACGGGGCGAUUACUGCCAUUAUGUCGUGGGCUGAAGGUGUUAUGUCGUCGGCUGAAUCGCCGGUUGGUGCGGCUUGUUCCGGUUUGUUAUUUCCGGACUCCUCUUCCCAUAGUAUAGAUGGCUUGAAGAGCCGUUCCAAGAAGAUGUUAGGAGGGACAGCGUCGCGUUUUGCGCCGAUGCGUGCCCAUAUGUCGGCUGCUUGGUUAUUAUCCCAGGCUACGUGAUGGAAUUCAAGUCCUUCAAACCGGGCUGACAUUUUUAGGACAGCGUUGCAAUAUGCUGCCAUUUUCGGAUCUUUGGCGUCAAAGUCUCCGUUUAUUUGGGAUAUUGCGAGGUUUGAAUCCCCACGCACCUCUAGGCGUUGAAUGCCCAUGGAGAUUGCCAUCCGGAGACCAUGUAAAAGGGCCUCGUAUUUGGUUGCGUUGUUGGAGUCCGUGUACAUUAUCUGAAGUACGUAUUGGACUGUGUCCUCGGUCGGGGACGUCAAUACGAUGCCAGCCCCCAAUCCGGCUAACAUUUUAGAGCCGUCGAAGUGCAUAAUCCAAUUGGAGUAUGCGCCGUACUCUUUAGGGAGUUCGGCUUCGGUCCAUUCAGCGAUAAAGUCAGCCAAAACUUGUGACUUUAUAGCUCGCCGAGGUUUGUAAGUUAUAUCAAAUGGUAAGAGCUCAAUGGCCCAUUUUGCAAUCCUGCCCGUCGCGUCGCGGUUGUUUAUAAUGUCGUUAAGUGGUACUUCAGAGGCCACUGUUAUCGAACACUCUUGAAAGUAGUGUCGGAGCUUCCGGGAUGCCAUGAACACCGCGUAUGCUAUCUUCUGAUAGUGCGGGUAACGGGACUUGCAGGGGGUUAACACAGUGGAUAUGUAGUAUACUGGUUUUUGAAGAGGGAAUUUAUGCCCUUCUGUCUCUCGUUCCACGAUGAGUACCGCGCUUACAACUUGAUGCGUUGCUGUGAUGUAUAACAACAUUGGUUCGCCCAGGUUGGGCGCAGCCAGGACCGGAUUUGUUGCCAAUAUGGCCUUUAUUUCUUCGAGUCCGGCGGUGGCAACAUCCGUCCACUCGAAGUGUUCAGUGCGCCUAAGGAGGCGAUAGAGGGGCAAUGCCUUUUCUCCUAGACGGGAGAUAAAGCGGCUUAGAGCCGCCACACAUCCAGUCAAUUUUUGUAUUUGCUUGAGGUUUUUUGGGAUAUCUAGCUGUGACAGAGCUCGGAUCUUGGCUGGGUUUGCUUCAAUUCCUCUACUGGAUACGAUGAAGCCCAGCAGCUUUCCAGCUGGUACGCCGAAAAUGCAUUUUUCCGGAUUCAGCUUGAUGUCAUAUGCUCUGAGGUUGUCGAAUGUGAGCCUCAAGUCGUCUACUAGAGUUUCGACGUGUUUAGUUUUGACGACUACGUCGUCUACAUAUGCCUCUACUGUUUUGCCGAUCUGGGUAGCCAGACAUGUCUGAAUCAUGCGCUGAUAUGUUGCGCCGGUGUUUUUAAGUCCGAAGGGCAUCGUGUUGAAGCAGAAUGGUCCAUAUGGAGUAAUGAAUGUCAUUGCGGCUUGAUCUGCUUCUGCCAUCUUGAUUUGAUGAUAGCCGGAGUAUGCGUCCAGGAAGCACAAUGAAUCAUGCCCUGCAGUGGCAUCGAUGAUUUGGUCGAUGCGGGGGAGGGGGAAGGGAUCCUUUGGGCAGGCUUUAUUUAGGUCUUUGAAAUCGACGCGUAGGCGCCAGGAUGUGUCCUUUUUUGGUACCAUUACCAGGUUUGCUAGCCAAUCCGGAUGUUUGAUGUCUCUGAUGAAUCUGGCUUCCAAUAGUUUGGCGAGCUCUUCUCCCAUUGCCUGUCUUUUGGGUUCAGAAAAUCGUCGAGGAGCCUGUUUGACUGGCUUGAAUCCUUUUAGGAUGUUUAGGCUAUGUUCUGCCAAUCUACGUGGGAUUCCGGGCAUAUCCGAGGGGUGCCAGGCAAAAAUGUCCCAAUUUUCUCGAAGGAAUUCUCGCAGUGCGGCGUCUACAUCAGGGUUCAAUUGUGCCCCGAUGGUGGCCGUCCUAGUCGGGUCCGUUGGGUGGACCUGGAAUUUUACUAUUUCAUCUGCUGGUUUAAAGGAGGUGGACUUGGAUCUCUUAUCGAGUAUCACAUCGUCCCUAUUCAUCGUAGAGCGCAGCGCGAUGAGUUCCUCUGCCGAAAGGGCUUCGGAUAGUGCCUCUAAGGCUAAUGCGGCUGUCUUGUUUUCGGCGCGGAGUGCUAUGUCCGGAUCACUAACGAGAGUGAUUAUUCCGCCGGGCCCAGGCAUUUUGAGCUUCAUGUACCCGUAAUGGGGUACGGCUUGAAAAAUUGUGAAUGCCUCUCGUCCUAAUAUAGCGUGAUAUCCGCUGUUGAACGGGGCCACUUGGAACGUGACUUCUUCGGAUCUGUAAUUGUCCGGCGAGCCGAAUACCACAUCGAGUGUGAUUUUUCCUGUGCAGCGCGCCUCCCGGCUAGGGAUUAUUCCUCUAAAGGUUGUGCUGCUUCGCUCAAUGCGUCUCUAGUCUAUUUCCAUUUUUUGAAGGGUUUCCUCGUAGAUGAGGUUUAAUCCGCUGCCGCCAUCCAUGAGGACCUUUGUAAGUUGAAAGCCGUCCACUAUUGGACUAAGUACCAGUGCGGCUGGAGCUCGGGCUGUUUGGAAUUUAGGUUCGUCACUGGCGUUGAAGGUGAUGGCUGUGUCGCUCCAUGGAUUAGUUGUUGCUACUUGGUAGACUUCGGCAAGGCUGCGGAUUGUUCGUUUCCGCAUAUUGUUUGAUGCGAAAGUCUCGAAGACUGUUGAUACCGUACCGGUAUUGUUGGAGUGGUUUUCCGGGGCUAGAAGCUCCUCUCCACUUUUGGCCACCUGCCGUAAUAUCCAACAUGCUCGAAGGCUAUGUGUUGGGACGGCGCCUUCUGUAUUGUGAAUUUUACAGGGUCCGCUAAGCCAUCCCUCCAGUACAGUUCCGUGCCCUCUAUGAGGUAUUUGCUUUUUGAUUUUUGUAUCUGGUGCCUGAGUGUAAUGCACCCUUUUGUUGCGGACUAGGGUUGUAUUCGGGGCCGGAUUGUCCCAAGACUUAUUUUCGGUUGUCCGGAAACUCUCCAUCGCAUAGUACUUUCAUACUAUGGACGCCAGGUCGGCGAAGCGUGUAAUUUCAUGACGGCUGACGGCGUUCAAGAUUCCCUCAUCCAUGCAAUUAUUGCAAAAAAUUGAGAUUGCAUUUUCCUCUCGGCAGUCCUUUAUCCUGUCCAUAACCAGGAGGAAUCUGGCCCAGUAGUGAUGUACUGUCUCAGCGGGCUCUUGCCGGAUUAGAGUUAGAUCGCAUAUGUUUGGGCGGGUGGGUGGAAUUAAGUCCGGAACCCUACCCAUCUCAAGGCUCGAGGGCCGAGAGGUUUCCAAAUUUGGAAGCUUGGAUUGCUGGACGUUGUCCAACGAGUCUGGUCCGAUGCCUGACUUUAAGUUCAGUGCUUGAUCAAAGUCCGUCCCUCCGCGGGAAUCCGGCAUGGGGGGUUUGGGAGCCCGGACAUGACUGGUUUUCAAUAUAGGAGAAGAGUCGCCGCAUUGUUCCUCUACCACUGCAACGUGGUGGGUGACCUGGGGAGAGUUAAUCUCUCUCAGAUCGGUUUUAGGCCCAAUCUAAUUGUAGUCUGUAGCGACUCCCAGGGUGGCGAUGCGAUCCAAGAGCUCGUUUACGGACGAGAGCUCUAUUGGAUCCAGCUGCUUGGCGAAUUCCGAGCUGACAUGAAGAUUGCUUUUGACGACUUGAGAGGUCAUUGUCGAAGCGGUGGCCGGACAGGCGGUCAUAAGAAAACCACCUAGCCGGAUAGUUUGGCCGGCAGCCAAGGCUCCUUCGGCGAAAAUACCGUCCUUGAAGACGGGAGGAGGCAUCCUUCCUAUCGGUGAUGGCACAGAGGAACUCUCAAUGAAAGCACCAAUGUCGGUGUCAAAACCGGCGGAUCUCGGGUAGGGGGUCCCGAACUGUGCGUCUAGGCGGAUGGUAACAGGAGACAAGGGACACGAUGUUUUACCCAGGUUCGUGCCCUCUUGAUGGAGGUAAAACCCUACGUCCUGCUUGAUUGAUAUUGAUAUUGUGGAUGUUUACAAGAGUGGAUCUACCACGAGAUCAAGGAGGCUAAACCCUAGAAGCUAGCCUAUGGUAUGAUUGUAAUGGUUGUUAUUCUGUCCUACGGACUAGAGCCAUCCGGUUUAUAUAGACACCGGAGAGGGCUAGGGUUACAUAGAGUCGGCUACAAUGGUAGGAGAUCUACAUAUCCGUAUCGCCAAGCUUGCCUUCCACGCCAAGGAAAGUCCCAUCCGGACAUGGGACGAAGUCUUCAAUCUUGUAUCUUCAUAGUCUUGGAGUCCGGUCGGUGAUGAUAGUCCGGCCGAUGAUAGUUCGGCCGAUGAUGGUAGUCCGGCUAUCCGGACACCCCCUAAUCCGGGACUCCCUCACCGGUGGUGUUGGAUUGAGGAGGAGAACUCGCCAGCAUUCUGCGAGGUUUGCUGGGUGGCGCCAGUCCGUGGAAAGGACUGGGGCAAUGUUGGCACCGACGACGAGAAGCUUAUGGUCGCCACCACCAUGAUCCUUCGGCUCACCCAGGCCGGGCUCACCCUCGAAAUGAUCGCGGCGGACUUAAUCUGCCGCCGAAUCGCUCCUCUGCAUGACAAGGGGAGGCCGUCCUGGCUCUUCAUGAAUGUCACCGACAUCAUGAGGCUCCGCCCCGGCCUCGACCAAAAUCUGACGGUGUUGAGGCACGCCCAUCUCUGCCAACGGAUCUUCCAGCUCGAGGUCAAUGAAGAAGGCGAGGUUGAGCCGUUCGGCAAGGCUGCAAGGGCUGCCGUGAAGGCCGGCAAGGUGAACAAGGAACCCGUCUUCAAGUUGUCGGCGGGGGUGGUCCCACUUUGCAACAAUUCUCGCCAGUCGGAGAUUAUUGCCAUGAUGCCGCUCUUCAACGCGCAUGGCCUUGACCCGAGCUGGGUCGAUCCAGACGAACUUAAGGUGCAAGAAUUCUUCGACACCUUGCACGAGGGGUACGUCAGCGCUGAGCCGCGGGUUGUCCAGGACACAUCUCAGGAGGAGCUGGACUACAUCGCCGCCAGGGUGAGGGAGGCGAGGCUUGCUGCGGAGGAGGAAAAGCUUGCCGAGGAGGCCGGAAGCGCCGACGGCGUGAAGGACGUGACCACGGCGAAGGCGGAGGAAGAAGAGCUUGCCCAGUGGGCGGCGGCCGCUAGGGAGGCCAGUGGCGCCGGUGCUGGGGCCCCCCUUGUCGAGGACGUGGUCGAUGAGUCGGAGGAGGAGGACGAGGGUGAGAAGACCGCUGCUGCCGACCCUCUAUUUACUGGAAGGGGCGAGUCCUGCGGCGGGCCGCCUCUGCCGAGCCGGUCCAUCCCGGCCGGGCCGCGCAGCUGCGACUAGCCCAGGAGACGUCUUCGUGCCAGACAAGGGCUGCAGUGACGAAGAAGACGGUGGAGGUUGUGGCGGCGAAGAAGAAGGCAUCCGCUUCUUCGUUGUCCAAGCAUGCCCAGACGCCACCGCCUCCCCCUCCACCGGCAGGUGCUGGCGCGGGGAUCGCUUUUGACUUGGGAUCCCUCAGCCCGGACAGGAAGAAGAAGGCAGUAGAGGAGGAGGAGGAGGAUGAAGAGUAAGCUCUGCUUUCCCCCUCCUUUUCUUUUUUAUUUUAUCCGUUUCCUCGAAUGGCAUGUCUUACUUUGAGUCAUCUUCAUCCCGCAGGGAGGAGGAGACGCUGGCCCAGAGGGUGAAGAGGGCUAGUAUUUUAACAAGCGGCCAGCCCCCGGCAGGCACCUCUGGCACGCCGCUGGUGGUGUUGAGUAGCCCGGACAGCAGCCCCCGGCCCAGCCCCCAACAUGAGUUCACCACCCAUCCUUUCAUUAGUGUGCGUUAUGCGCAAUACUUUGGUACUGACCGUGUCGUGGGUGUAGGAGGGGAGCAGCACCAAGGGGAGCCGUAGAGGGCUUCUCCCAUCGUGCCGCCCCCGUCGACCACGCCGCCCCGAGGGGCGUCCCCAGCAAGGGCACCAAGCGCCGAGGCCACGCACAUGGAGGAGGAGGGGAACACGGGCGCCGGUGGCUUCGCCUCGACGCCAAACCUGGGCAGGGAAGGGACUUCUGCCCCUCGGCCUAGCACGGGUAAGCCACUGGCCUUCCAUUUUUGCUUGUAUUCCUCCUUCUUUCUUCUUUACUGGCUUUGAUCUUGGCUUCGUCCUGUCUUCUUCUUGGCAUUCAGAUUUCUCCUCGAUGGACCCAGAGGACGUCGACACCGUUAUCAGGGACAUCACCGAGGAUGCCACAGCGCAGGCCGAGAAGAUCGCCGCUGAAGAAAACACCGAGGGCGCUGCCAAGGAUGCCACCAAGGGGCCGCCGAGGAGCCCAGUAAUGGGCCUGCCGAGGAGCCCUAUAAGGGGCCUGCCGAGGAGGCUGGCAAGGCCGCUGCCAAGGAGGCGGUGGUCGACGACCAGCCUUCCUCCUCCACUGCCUCUGGCUCCGGCAGGUACCUGAGGGUGAGUGAGGACCUCUUUGUCCAUCUCCCCAGCGUGUCGAGCACCAGGACUCCCAUCGAGGGGGCGGUGUUCGAUGAUGAGGUGCUUGCCAUUGCCGGGCUCGAGGUCAUCGACGAGCCGAGUGUUGGUGGCAAUGGCUCCCAGGAGGAGCGACUGCUCCAAUCCAUGGGCGCCAGCUUCUGGAAACUCCGGGCUCUCCAUCGUGCCUGUUUGGGCAAGGCCAAGUCUAGGGCGGCGGUGGUGGAGAAGGCGGAGGCGGACUUCGAGGGGCGCAUCACCGAGGCACAAGACUGGUUUCGCCAGGCUCAAGAUGAGCUGAAGGCCACCCAGGGCGAGCUGGCCAAGUGGGACGUGGAGCUCACCAUGAAGCUGGCCGACAUCGAGAAGGCCCAGGAGACAGCGAAGAACCUGGCCGCCGAAGCCAAAGCCACCCGGACUCAGCGCAAGGCCGCACUGAACUCCCAGGAGGAGGAUCUUGCCGUGCGGGAGGAGAAACUUGCCGCCAUGCUCCACGGCAAGGAUGAAGAGGUGGACAAGCUCGUCGCACAUCAGACCCGAGAGCUGGAGCAGAGGCACCAGGAGGCACUCGAUGCCCAGGCUCUGGUCAUGCCGGCAAGGUGAAGGAGCUGGAGGAGCAAGCCUUGAAGCUGUCCAAGGAGAAGGACAUGCUUAAUGGCGCCUUGGUGGAGGCGCAGGGUGCAGUCGUCAGCAAGGCCGGAGAGCUCUCCGAUGCCAACAACUCCAUCAGAGACCUCAAGCAGAACCUGGGGGAUCUCGAGAAGAUGUUGUCGGAAGCCAGAGCCCGAGAAGGGAUCCUGACCAAGGACUUGGCGACGGAGAAGCAGCUGCGGAUGAAUGAGACCGCCAACCUCAAGGACCACGUGGCGGGCGAGAAGCGUUGGCUCGAACGCCUUGCCGUUGUUGCGAAUUCGGCCGCCGCGCAGCUGGACAGCAUGGGGAUGUCGGACAUGAGUUACGCCCCGGAGGCGAGCCUGAGCCCCAACGCCAACCUGACCUUGUACUUUGAAAGGGUCCUCCGCACCCUGUAGCGGCUUCACUCCACCUUGGCCAUGACCUCCCGGCAGAGCAUCGAUAAAGUCAAGAGGUUGGAGGGCCAGCGCCGGGACUAGGCACCGCGUUCCUUAUCGCCGCUGUAGGUUCAUGACCAAGACAAUUGCUAUCUUUAGUUAGAACCGCGGCAGCAAUUUAUGUAAUAUGACUCUGCAGUACUCCUGAAACUAUGCAUAUUAUUUUCGUGUUCGAUUUUCCUUCAUAUGUCCACCCUACGCGGACUGGGUAGGCUUGCCGGCGAGUAAACCCAAGGUGGUGUCCUGAGGACGGAUCCCCACUAGCCUGUCGGGUGUGCUUGCUGCCGAGCGAAUCACCUUACCGCCCCUAGCGCGGCCGCUUGAUCUGUCAAGCUUGACUCGAGUCAGGACCAGGGCCUCGCUCUAUAAAUAGGGCUAGCCACCAUAGUAUAGAGGGAUCGGAUGCUGAUCUGAUGGUCGACCAGUCGAACCUUAGCUAGAACAACCAACACAAGAGCUCCUCCCCUCGCGGGGCAGUUCUUCCUUUGUAUUGUUCAUCAUCAGCCCCUGAGGCAAUCCACCACACCACAAACUAUAGUAAGGUAUUACACCACAAUGGUGGCCCGAACUAGUAUAAACCUUGAGUCCCUUGUGUUGUUCUUCGUGUAGUUUAGAUCCUUUGCGAGGCGGCGAGACGUGAGUUGGUAGAGGGAUUGGUCUCCAUGCGCACCCUAGAGUUUGAACCUUAAGGGUUAGCCAGAACCCGAAAUCCGACAUUUGGCGUGCCAGGUAGGGGUGCGCCGGAGCUUUCCCUUCUAUCGACCCGCUCUCCACCAGCACCGCACUUUGCCCUCAUGACGGGCAACGCGCCGCCCUCUCCGGCUGCCGACGUGUGACACUCCAAAAUUUUUAUUUGGUUUUUAUCAAAAACUUUGUGGUUUUGAGGAGAGAUUUUUUUAAAGUGAAGCUCUAUGAAAAUUUGGGAUUUUCAUAUCUUGGAACCACCAUGACUUGGCAUUUUUGCCCAUGUGGUAAAACCCCUCCAAAACCUCCCCUACAACUUGUGAUCAACCUAAGUUCUCUGUCCCAACUAAUCCAAACAAGUUUUGGAUUUUACUCUAAUUUUUUCCCCCUCAAUUCAAUUCUGAAAAUUAUUUGGAGCCUGAGAGAUUUUCAAAGCAAGUGCCCUAUUGCAUUUGAGUUUUGACCUCAAACCAAUUCUCCUGGAUUGUCCUUAGCAUCCAUAACCCAGAACCAUCUUGAUCCACUCCUCCUCUUUUCAAAAUUUUCAAAAUUCAGUCUCUGCAAGUUUGGACCAGAUUUGCCAAAUUUGGUGAAAUUCAUAUCUACACUCCUCCAAAAAUUCCACCAAAAUUCAGGCAGCCUAUUUGAGCAAUGAGAAGCCACUCCACCAAAAAUCAGCUCAAGGAAAAAUCCCUACAUGCCUGGAUCAUUCUGUCGAACACCUUGCAUGCACUGUUUUCCUUACACUUUCAGAAAUUCAGUUAAAUUCAGUUUUCAGUUUCGACAGUUUCAGUCACGCGGCCACAGUGCACUUGGCACGUUGCUCGCGGCCUCGCUUGCUUGUCCGAAGCUUCACACGCGCACUUGGCGCGACCCUGGCGUCGGUGGCGCCCUGGCCCGCCUGCGCCGGCGUGUCUUGCGGCGGCCGGCUCCCCGUAAUGGCCGACAGGGAGGAGAACGGCGGCGCAACGCCGUUCGGCACCGCCCAAAUCCUCUGGUGGCUCCGCGUGGCCGUCUCCGUGCCAGCGCACGCAUGCGGCACCGUCGCCGUGGCGCAGCACGCACGGAGCGCGCUCUCUGCCGCCGACGGGCCCGCGCCACCCCGUUCCGUUGAGCUCGACCCAAACACCCAAACCCCGGCCAGUUUAGCACUAAAACGGACCCAUUGAACCUCCGUGAUGACGCUCGACUCCCUAACCACCCCGACCGAGCACUGCGCCACCGUAAUCGCUCGCCGGAAAUCUCCGUUCACGGCAACCGCCUCGGGCCGCCUAUAAAAAGGGCCCCGAGCUCACCCUCGUGCACGCAGCAUCACCACUCCUCACCAAAGCCCCGCCAGGCCACUAGGGGGACCUUGAGGAGGUUUCCUUCCCCAGCUCCGGCCGCCCCGAUCCGCCUCGGCCUCCAGCUCGAUUCACUUCGGUGAGGCCACCUCCGGCGCCCAAACCUAGUCCGUAGCCCUCUCUUGCACCCAGUAGUCUAACCCCCACCUCAAUUUAAUCUUUGCAGCCCUCUCCGACGAGCUCCAUCCACGCCCGAACCACCGUCCGCCGGAGUUGAGACCGCCGUUGACGUGGUGCUCACCGGCGACCAACACCACCACCCACCGUUGCGGAAGGACACGGUGAGCACAUUGGUAACCUCUGAUCCCCAUGCCUCGCCGUGGAUCGCCGCCGGCGACCACAGCAGCUCUCGGGCGCCGACGAGCCUCGUCCCUCCCAUUUGAAAAUUUAAACAUGACAAGUGGGACCCGCUGUCAGCCUCUCUGUCCUUUCUAAACGAAGCGUUAUCUGAAAACGCCUACUGCCAAAUGUGUUUUCUCUUCGGGCUGGCGUAGUCGCUACCGAAGCCUUUUCUGUUUUUAUAAACUAGCCCCUGGAAAUCUUCUGUUUCAUUACAGAUAAGUCCCUGGACAAAAACCCUUAUAACUUUUAAUCAGAAAAGUAUUUUUGAUUGAUUCUUUGUCUGUUCUCUUUAAAAUUUUGUCUAGUUUUUAUCAGAUUUAUUUGAAAAAUAUUUGGUUUACCUUCUGUGCUCUCCUUGGUAUUUACGUUAGCGCAUAUAUUUUCUUUAAACCGUCGAUACCGAAGGAGGUGACGGAGCCGCGAACUUCACUGCGCUAGGCUCCGACUACUCUGAACCAGGCAAGCAUGUUUGAACUUUUGAUAUGAUGAGUGUCUCGGCAUGUUUUGCAUUUAGUUAGUUUCAUGGCAUGUUGGUGAGCAUACCGAUGAAUGUUAUUUUAUGUGAUAAUAAGGUGAGUGAGUUCAAUGAUCCAUACGUGGAUGAAUGUGAAUAUGAAUGGCCAUGUGUUGGCAUGAGGAUGGGUACGAUGGCAGUGUUGUAGCAUGCCAGUCUUACGCCAGACUAUGUGACUUCAGUGUCAAACCAUAUCGGUCCAGUACCUAUCAUUUCCUUCCUUGUACUACCACAUGUUUUCCGCAAGGAAUAUGGUUUAGUAAGUUGCAAACCACUUUCAUGGUACACACCAAAGAGGAGAGGCCGUGAUGAUGGUUCCAUGGCCCUGGAUUAAAGCCAGUCAUCCGGUCAGGGGGCAUGGGUGUUUCCGGUUGGGACCGAGAGGGGGGCACCCCUUAGAGCGCGCGUAUAUAAAUUUGUUCCCAUGCUAUUCGAGAUUGUGAUCUCCCCGUCUCAAAAUUUUUCUUGGACGAUGACUAGGGUGAUUCCUAGCAUCGAGAGGUAGGAUGGGUGUGUACCGGUUAGCUGUGUUUUCUUCCGAAAUACCAUAAACGGAACUAGUCCUUCGUGACUACGGAAAUCCGUUGACUGUGGGAAAUUUUUUGUACAAACUCUGCAGAGUCAUAUAUUCCUCCAAAUCAUCUCUUCCAUGUCAAGUUUCGUUCCAUCUUAUCCUAAUCAAUUGUCAGCUUUGAUGACAGAGACUCCGGUGAAUCGCAUGAGUGCUAAGUCCGAUUGAAUGAUUAUCCCUGUGGAUGGACUAACCCGUUUAUUCUCAUGGAUUUAAUGUUUAUUAUGAGUAUUGUUUACUGGUGAAUUUAAAGCCCUUUCUGCGAUGUCGCUCAGACGUCCGACUGUGGCAUUUCUUUUAAAACCCUUUCUGCGAUGUCGCUCAGAUGUCCGACUGUGGCAUUUCUUUUAAAGCCCUUUCUGCGAUGUCGCUCAGACGUCCGACUGUGGCAUUUCAUUUAAAGCCCUUUCUGCGAUGUCGCUUAGACGUCCGACCGUGGCAUUUCUUUUAAAGCCCUUUAUGUGGUGUCGCUAAGAUGCCCGACUAUGGCAUCAUUUCCUUAUUUUUAUUUNNNNNNNNNNNNNNNNNNNNNNNNNNNNNNNNNNNNNNNNNNNNNNNNNNNNGAUGUCGCUCAGACGUCCGACUGUGGCAUUUCAUUUAAAGCCCUUUCUGCGAUGUCGCUCAGACGUCCGACUGUGGCAUUUCUUUUAAAACCCUUUCUGCGAUGUCGCUCAGACGUCCGACUGUGGCAUUUCUUUUAAAGCCUUUUCUGCGAUGUCGCUUAGACGUCCGAUUGUGGCAUUUCAUUUAAAGCCCUUUCUGCGAUGUCGCUUAGACGUCCGACCGUGGCAUUUCUUUUAAAGCCCUUUAUGUGGUGUCGCUAAGAUGCCCGACUAUGGCAUCAUUUCCUUAUUUUUAUUUGUUCACCUUUCGAGGCGUCGCUUCAGACACCCGAUCGGUCCUUAUUUAUGCUCUGUGGAAUUUCAGGCGGACUACCGCCGUUUCCCUUUUUACUUACCCGUUAUGCCAAUUUUAUUUAUUGUGCAUUAAGGAAUUAAUCAUGUUGCAUCCAUGCACGCAUUUGUUAUAUCUUACGUCUGAACUGUCUUGCGAGUACUUUCAAAGUACUCACUGGCUUGUUGAUUUGGCCAGAUGCUGACAAAGGCGAUCUCAUGGAUGAAGAAUUCGAUAGCGAGUCCGACACUUAGAGGAGUCCCAGUCAGUCUCGUGCGACCCUGGAUUUGGCCACUGUUUUAUAUCCGCUUCCGCUACCAAAUAAAUUUAUCGAGCCUCACCUCAACGUUCGAUGAAAUGAUAUUCUUAGAGUCUAGUAUUUCCCUUCCCGCUGUGCUUUUCCACCACCAACCUAUCCAUGAGUCAGUAGUAUGUCUCCACACCACUGUGUCCUAUCCGCCAUUAUGUAUGAUUAUUGGCGUGCUUGUAAUAAUUUGGUUGAGCGAUCGCAGUUCAACCCUGUAAUAUAUUUUAUGCUACUGGCUUAUUGUAUGAAGAAAUUGUCUACCAGUGAGGAGGAUUUCUCUCAUACUGGACUCAAAAGACUGGUUUAUCAAUAAAUAUUUUUAUUGGAAAACCGGCCGUGACAAGCUUGGUAUCAGAGCCAGGCUGACUGUAGGAAGCCACUAGGUGCGAUCGCUAAUUAGUUAUUAGCAUGACAGGGCUAUUUUAUGCUUUUGCAAUUGUAGUCAUUUUCUGUCAGUCAGCAUAAAUUUAUGAUCUGACCCUGCAGAAUUUUGCCUACUUUUGUAGAUGGCCGACGUCAGCUGCGAGUCUCAGACCUUCGCCAACGUGCCCGAUGGGUUCGUCAAGCUUCUUUCUUCCAUCAUUCAGGUCGCGAUGGGGCCAUCCGUGCGCCCAGUCUUCACACUCUACCAGCACCGAGUCAACGACAGUCUGACCAUGCACCAGGCCGCGGUGCAGUUCAGGGGAGGGCAUGGUGAGUUACGCCACUUCCGGUUCGUGGGAAGAGCCAUGCCUACGGAGAGGCAUGCUAUGCAGAUGGCAGCCCGCGAGGCGAUAGCUCGUCUCAGGGAUGUCCUUCCCGUGAUGAAGACUCGUCGUUACCGUUAUCUUCCGUGCCAUGUGCCUUACACCUGUCACUACGUAUACUCCUGCCCCAGAGGAGAACGAGACGAGGCUUUUGAGAUGCUCAUUGAGUAUCUCCGGGCCCUGGAGGCAGCCUUCGACAACCUGGUGGACGACUUCGUAGCUACCCGCAUGGACUCAGUCCAUGGCUGUGCUGCCAACAGGAGGGAGCUCCUACCCAUCGCUCCGCCACCGACUUUUGUCUCGUCAUCAGCAUCUUUUACGCCUACUCGUCGCCUACCUUCUACCGAAGAAUUUAACCAAGUCAUUGCACCCACUCCAGCGCACACUACACCAACCUUCGCGCCCACACCUGUACGUGUUGCUCCGCCCCUGGCAACCCCUCCGCCCGCUCUGCGCAACACUACACGUAUGGAGCCCAUUAGCGAGGAGGAAGUCGAGUCCCCAACCUCGCUAUGCCUCGCCCUCGGCAGGGCAAAGGAGGUCGUCAACAUCUCUGCCUGAGUACGCUUAGCUGCCGUGUAUUGUACCACUUUGUAAGAUAUGUGCAUAGGUUGUGAGAAGUAGCCUGUUUGCGCAUCAUGUAGGAUCUGGAGAAGUGCACUAGCCUUAAUAACAUGUCAGGAUUAUGUACGCAUAUCCUGAGUGAUGUACUGUAUAAUUACCGCCCGCGUGUAAGAUAUGUAAUGAGCAGUCCUUCUCCAUGCGCAAGUCGAUUUGUUUUUCUUAAGUAAGCUUGGGUAUUUAAUAAUAUCUGCCAGCUUUAUGCAUUUAUGGUUUUAUUUUUGCGACUCUUUCCGCUUUUCUUAAGAGUUUUACAAAAAAUACUUUUCCCAGAGUGAAAAAUGUCUCGUCCUUGGACACGUUCCAUGCCAACUCCACCAGAGGAAAUUCAUGAUACUCAACCCAACAAUGAGUUCACUCAGGGACAGUCAAGCCAACAAGGCAGUGAAUCGGCACUUUCACAAAUGUGCCGCCUUUAUGAACAGAGUCAGCAACAACAUCGCGAGAUGAUGAACCAAGUCAUCAACAUGGGGAAUCAUCAUGGACAGUAUCAGCAACAUUCCAAGUUAUCUGAGCUACAGAAGACACGUCCUCAAACAUUUUCUCACACUGACAAGCCUCUUGAAGCCGAGGACUGGCUUCGAGAUAUGGAGAGGAAAUUAAUUAUUGCAAAGUGUUCAGACCUCGAGAAAGUACUAUAUGCUCCACACUAUCUCACAGGAGCAGCCGCAUCGUGGUGGGAGAAUUUUCUGCACAUGCAUCCCAACGAAAAUGACAUAACCUGGGAUGAUUUCAAGGAAGGUUUCCGUGGUGCACAUAUUCCUAAGAGUAUUAUGAAAAUCAAGAAGAGAGAAUUUGAUGAACUCAAACAAAGGAACAUGACAAUGUCAGAUUACAACAGUCAAUUUACCCUAUUAUCCCGCUACGCCAAUGAGGAGCGUAUGACUGAAAUCAAGAAGAUGGAGAAAUUCCUUGACGGUCUGGCGCCCGCACUUAAAUGCCAACUGGUCGUGCACACUUUUCCUGAUUUUAAAACGCUGGUGGACAAGGCCAUUACUCUGGAAAAUGAGAGACGCAGUCUGGAAGAUAUCCGCAAGCGAAAAAGGGACCAGACUAAUCACACUCGCAAUCACCGAAGCAAGAUAGAUUUUAAAAAGGGUGGGACACCCAAAUUCUCAUCCAAUGUCUCACGCCCAAUCAAGAAUUUUCAUGCAAGGGACAAGGAAUUCACCUAUCGCCCCGGCGUUACUUGUUACGCUUGUGGAGAAGAAGGGCAUUAUGCCAAACAAUGCCCCAAGCCAAGGAACUCAACCCCAAAGCUGAACAACGGCGGAAAUAAUUCAGCGCCUAAACGAAACAAUUUCAAUCCCAACAAUAACCACAUGAAGGGUCAUCUGAACCACGUAACCAAAGAGGAGGCACAAAAUGCUCCGGAUAUCGUACUCGGUACGUUUCCUGUCAACACAAUACCUGCAAUGGUUUUGUUUGAUUCUGGAGCUUCUCACUCUUUCAUCUCGAAAAGUUUUGCUUUGCAAAAUAAUUUUUCGAUGCUUCCUUUGGAGAAAUCCAUAAUAAUCAAGUCCCCCGGGAUUCAGCAAGUUUCUCAGAAUUACUGUCAGAAUGUGGUCAUUGAGUUUGAAGGAUUGGAGUUUUACGCAAAUCUUAUUGUAUUGGAAAAUAAAGGACUGGAUGUCAUCCUAGGGAUGGAUUGGCUAACCACCAAUAAAGGUUUUAUCGACUGUUUCAACAGGACCGUGAUUCUCACACACCACCAAGGGAAGACAAUAAGAGUAUCAGCCAAGGAAGGAAAAAGACCCCGGCAACCGAGAUUAAAUAAGGUGGACAUUUCUGAGCUAAACAAGGUUCCAGUAGUGUGUGAAUUUCCAGAUGUAUUCCCUGAAGAGCUGCCAGGCAUGCCACCAGAUCGAGAAAUAGAAUUCCGCAUUGAGCUAGCACCAGGAACCACCCCCAUAUACAAGAAACCAUACAGAAUGGCACCAUCCGAGUUGAUCGAAUUGAAGAAGCAAAUAAAGGAAUUACUGGAUAAAGGAUACAUUCGGGCCAGCUCCUCACCUUGGGGAUCACCAAUUUUAUUUGCCAAGAAGAAGGAUGGAACGCUGAGAUUGUGUAUCGACUAUCGAGCACUUAACAUGGUCACAGUCAAAAACAAAUACCCGAUGCCAAGGAUAAACGAUUUGUUUGAUCAACUUGCUCAGGCCAAGGUAUUCUCAAAAAUUGACUUAAGGUCAGGAUACCAUCAAUUGAAGGUACAAACGGAAGAUAUCCCCAAAACAGCCUUCACCUCCAGAUAUGGACUGUACGAGUUCACAGUGAUGCCAUUUGGAUUAACUAACGCCCCGGCAUAUUUUGUUCACCUCAUGAACAAAGUAUUUAUGAAGUUUAUGGACAAAUUCGUCGUAGUAUUCAUCGACGAUAUUCUGGUAUACUCCAAAACACCAGAAGAGCACGCAGAACAUCUCAGGAUUGUACUAGGAGAGCUAAGGAAACACCAAUUGUAUGCCAAGUUUAGCAAGUGCGAAUUUUGGCUAAGACAAGUAGGUUUUCUAGGCCACGUGCUGACUCAAGACGGUAUAGCAGUGGACCCAGAGAAAGUCAAGGCCGUACUUGACUGGAAGUCACCAGCCAGUGUAACAGACAUACGAAGUUUCUUGGGAAUGGCAGGAUAUUACCGCAGAUUUAUUGAAGGAUUUUCCACCAUAUCCAAGCCUAUGACACAGUUACUCAAGAAAGAUAAGAAGUUUGAAUGGACAGAAGCCUGCGAGAAAAGUUUCCAAGAGCUAAAGCGGAAAUUAACAACAGCACCAGUAUUAAUUAUACCCGAUAUACACAAGAAUUUUGAAGUAUUUUGUGACGCAUCCAGAAAGGGUCUCGGAUGCGUGUUGAUGCAAGAAGGCAAGGUUGUCGCCUACGCUUCAAGGCAACUUCGCAAACACGAGGAAAAUUAUCCCACUCAUGAUUUAGAAAUGGCAGCAGUUAUUCAUGCACUCAAGGAAUGGAGGCAUUUUCUACUUGGUAAUCGAUGUGAGAUAUAUACGGAUCACAAAAGCCUCAAAUACAUUUUUACACAGCCAGAACUAAAUUUACGGCAACGCCGCUGGUUAGAAUUGGUAAAGGAUUAUGAUGUUGGUAUCCAUUACCAUCCCGGGAAAGCAAACGUAGUGGCCGAUGCCCUGAGUCGGAACCCCAGCUCCGACGGGAACUAUCUGCACAACUUGAGGCCCGAAUUCCAUCAAGAAUUUGUCAAGCUCAACUUGAUAAUGGUAGCAGAAGGCACCAUAUCAAACUUGGAAAUACAACCACACCUUGUGGAGAAAAUUAAAGAGGCUCAGUCCGGUCACCCCAGCAUUGAAGGAAUUAAAAGGAAGUUGAGUAUGGGCAAGGCCUCGGAAUUCGUCAUAGACAAUGAAGGAAUAUUAUGGUACGGAGAAAGGCUAUGCGUACCAAACAUAGAAGACCUUAAACAGAACUGAAGCACACACCACUCCAUAUUCGAUCCACCCUGGAGGAACCAAAAUGUAUAAGGAUAUUCAGGAAAGAUUUUGGUGGCACGGUAUGAAGAGGGACAUAGCCGCUUUCAUUGCAUGUUGCGACUCAUGUCAACGCAUAAAAGCUGAACAUCAGAGACCAGCCGGACUACUGCAACCUAACAAAAUAUCUGAGUGGAAAUGGGAUGAAAUAGGGAUGGAUUUUAUUGUCGGAUUACCUCGGUCACGACACGGGAAUGAUGCCAUAUGGGUCAUCACUGACAGCUUGACCAAACUAGCACACUUUAUUCCAGUGAAGACAACUUACACCACUCAGAGGCUUGCCAGGAUUUAUCUUUCCCGCAUAGUCUGUCUGCACGGUGUCCCGAAGACUAUAAUUUCCGACAGAGGCACUCAGUUCGUUUCAAGAUUUUGGGAGCAAUUACAACAGGCUCUGGGAACCCAACUAGCCUUCAGUACCGCAUACCAUCCACAGACUGAUGGACAAACAGAACGUGUAAACCAGGUUUUAGAAGACAUGCUGAGAGCAUGUGUCCUCACCUAUGGAACCAGUUGGGAGGACAGCCUGCCAUAUGCCGAGUUCGCAUACAACAACAGUUACCAGGCUAGCCUGCAAAUGGCUCCUUUCGAAGCCCUAUAAGGAAGGAGAUGUCGUACCCCGUUAAAUUGGUCAGAGACCGGAGACAGCCGCAUCUUCGGACCAGAUAUGCUCAGAGAAGCCGAGGAAAAAGUCAAGCUAAUCAGGGACCGACUUAAGACCGCUCAAAGUCGACAGAAAAGUUAUUAUGAUCAGAAACAUCGUAGGGUCAGCUUCGAACCCGGUGAAUUCGUAUACUUGAGAGUAUCCCCGAUGAGAGGAUUGCAACGGUUUAAGAUUAAAGGAAAAUUAGCACCAAGAUUCAUUGGACCAUUUUUCAUAGUGGCACGAAGAGGCACUGUAGCCUACCAGCUAGACUUACCCGAAGACUUGUCCGACAUUCACGACGUGUUCCACGUCUCUCAAUUAAGGAAGUGCGUAAGCAACCCAGAGAAACAAGUAUCUCAUGAGAACAUUGACAUACAGCCAGACCUCACUUAUCGAGAACGUCCCAUAAGAAUAUUAGAGGAGUCUGAAAGGAGGACCCGACAGAAAACCAUCAAGUUUUUCAAAGUCCAGUGGAGCAAUCACACCGACAGUGAAGCAACUUGGGAAAGCGAGGAUUUUCUUCGGACAGAGCAUCCACACUUAUUUAAGGAUCAGCUGAAAUCUCGGGGACGAGAUUUUUCCUAAGGGGGUAGGUGUUGUGACACUCCAAAAUUUUUAUUUGGUUUUUAUCAAAAACUUUGUGGUUUUGAGGAGAGAUUUUUUUUAAAGUGAAGCUCUAUGAAAAUUUGGGAUUUUCAUAUCUUGGAACCACCAUGACUUGGCAUUUUUGCCCAUGUGGUAAAACCCCUCCAAAACCUCCCCUACAACUUGUGAUCAACCUAAGUUCUCUGUCCCAACUAAUCCAAACAAGUUUUGGAUUUUACUCUAAUUUUUCCCCCUCAAUUCAAUUCUGAAAAUUAUUUGGAGCCUGAGAGAUUUUCAAAGCAAGUGCCCUAUUGCAUUUGAGUUUUGACCUCAAACCAAUUCUCCUGGAUUGUCCUUAGCAUCCAUAACCCAGAACCAUCUUGAUCCACUCCUCCUCUUUUCAAAAUUUUCAAAAUUCAGUCUCUGCAAGUUUGGACCAGAUUUGCCAAAUUUGGUGAAAUUCAUAUCUACACUCCUCCAAAAAUUCCACCAAAAUUCAGGCAGCCUAUUUGAGCAAUGAGAAGCCACUCCACCAAAAAUCAGCUCAAGGAAAAAUCCCUACAUGCCUGGAUCAUUCUAUCGAACACCUUGCAUGCACUGUUUUCCUUACACUUUCAGAAAUUCAGUUAAAUUCAGUUUUCAGUUUCGACAGUUUCAGUCACGCGGCCACAGUGCACUUGGCACGUUGCUCGCGGCCUCGCUUGCUUGUCCGAAGCUUCACACGCGCACUUGGCGCGACCCUGGCGUCGGUGGCGCCCUGGCCCGCCUGCGCAGGCGUGUCUUGCAGCGGCCGGCUCCCCGUAACGGCCGACAGGGAGGAGAACGGCGGCGCAACGCCGUUCGGCACCGCCCAAAUCCUCUGGUGGCUCCGUGUGGCCGUCUCCGUGCCAGCGCACGCAUGCGGCACCGUCGCCGUGGCGCAGCACGCACGGAGCGCGCUCUCUGCCGCCGACGGGCCCGCGCCACCCCGUUCCGUCGAGCUCGACCAAAACACCCAAACCCCGGCCAGUUUAGCACUAAAACGGACCCAUUGAACCUCCGUGAUGACGCUCGACUCCCUAACCACCCCGACCGAGCACUGCGCCACCAUAAUCGCUCGCCGGAAAUCUCCGUUCACGGCAACCGCCUCGGGCCGCCUAUAAAAAGGGCCCCGAGCUCACCCUCGUGCACGCAGCAUCACCACUCCUCACCAAAGCCCCGCCAGGCCACUAGGGGGACCUCGAGGAGGUCUCCUUCCCCAGCUCCGGCCGCCCCGAUCCGCCUCGGCCUCCAGCUCGAUUCACUUCGGUGAGGCCACCUCCGGCGCCCAAACCUUGUCCGUAGCCCUCUCUUGCACCCAGUAGUCUAACCCCCACCUCAAUUUAAUCUUUGCAGCCCUCUCUGACGAGCUCCAUCCACGCCCAAACCACCGUCUGCCGGAGUUGAGACCGCCGUCGACGUGGUGCUCACCGGCGACCAACACCACCACCCACCGUUGCGGAAGGACACGGUGAGCACAUUGGUAACCUCUGAUCCCCAUGCCUCGCCGUGGAUCGCCGCCAGCGACCACAGCAGCUCUCGGGCGCCGACGAGCCUCGUCCCUCCCAUUUGAAAAUUUAAACAUGACAAGUGGGACCCGCUGUCAGCCUCUCUGUCCUUUCUAAACGAAGCGUUAUCUGAAAACGCCUACUGCCAAAUGUGUUUUCUCUUCGGGCUGGCGUAGUCGCUACCGAAGCGUUUUCUGUUUUUAUAAACUAGCCCCUGGAAAUCUUCUGUUUCAUUACAGAUAAGUCCCUGGACAAAAACCCUUAUAACUUUUAAUCAGAAAAGUAUUUUUGAUUGAUUCUUUUUCUGUUCUCUUUAAAAUUUUGUCUAGUUUUUUAUCAGAUUUAUUUGAAAAAUAUUUGGUUUACCUUCUGUGCUCUCCUUGGUAUUUAGUUAGCGCAUAUAUUUUGUUUAAACCGUAGAUACCGAAGGAGGUGACGGAGCCGCGAACUUCACCGAGCUAGGCUCCGACUACUCUGAACCAGGCAAGCAUGUUUGAACUUUUGAUAUGAUGAGUGUCUCGGCAUGUUUUGCAUUUAGUUAGUUUCAUGGCAUGUUGGUGAGCAUACCGAUGAAUGUUAUUUUAUGUGAUAAUAAGGUGAGUGAGUUCAAUGAUCCAUACGUGGAUGAAUGUGAAUAUGAAUGGCCAUGUGUUGGCAUGAGGAUGGGUACGAUGGCAGUGUUGUAGCAUGCCAGUCUUACGCCAGACUAUGUGACUUCAGUGUCAAACCAUAUCGGUCCAGUACCUAUCAUUUCCUUCCUUGUACUACCACAUGUUUUCCGCAAGGAAUAUGGUUUAGUAAGUUGCAAACCACUUUCAUGGUACACACCAAAGAGGAGAGGCCGUGAUGAUGGUUCCAUGGCCCUGGAUUAAAGCCAGUCAUCCGGUCAGGGGGCAUGGGUGUUUCCGGUUGGGACCGAGAGGGGGGCACCCCUUAGAGCGUGCGUAUAUAAAUUUGAUCCCAUGCUAUUCGAGAUUGUGAUCUCCCCGUCUCAAAAGUUUUUCUUGGACGAUGACUAGGGUGAUUCCUAGCAUUGAGAGGUAGGAUGGGUGCGUACCGGUUAGCUAUGUUUUCUUCCGAAAUACCAUAAACGGAACUAGUCCUUCGUGACUACGGAAAUUCGUUGACUGUUGAAAAAUUUUGUACAAACUCUGCAGAGUCAUAUAUUCCUCCAAAUCAUCUCUUCCAUGUCAAGUUUUGUUCCAUCUUAUCCUAAUCAAUUGUCAGCUUUGAUGACAGAGACUCCGGUGAAUCGCAUGAGUGCUAAGUCCGAUUGAAUGAUUAUCCCUGUGGAUGGACUAACCCGUUUAUUCUCAUGGAUUUAAUGUUUAUUAUGAGUAUUGUUUACUGGUGAAUUUAAAGCCCUUUCUGCGAUGUCGCUCAGACGUCCGACUGUGGCAUUUCUUUUAAAACCCUUUCUGCGAUGUCGCUCAGACGUCCGACUGUGGCAUUUCUUUUAAAUCCCUUUCUGCGAUGUCGCUCAGACGUCCGACUGUGGCAUUUCAUUUAAAGCCCUUUCUGUGAUGUCGCUCAGACGUCCGACUGUGGCAUUUCUUUUAAAACCCUUUCUGCGAUGUCGCUCAGACGUCCGACUGUGGCAUUUCUUUUAAAGCCCUUUCUGCGAUGUCGCUCAGACGUCCGACUGUGGCAUUUCAUUUAAAGCCCUUUCUGCGAUGUCGCUCAGACGUCUGACCAUGGCAUUUCUUUUAAAGCCCUUUAUGUGGUGUCGCUAAGAUGCCCGACUGUGGCAUCAUUUCCUUAUUUUUAUUUGUUCACCUUUCGAGGCGUCGCUUCAGACACCCGAUCGGUCCUUAUUUAUGCUCUGUGGAAUUUCAGGCGGACUACCGCCGUUUCCCUUUUUACUUACCCGUUAUGCCAAUUUUAUUUAUUGUGCAUUAAGGAAUUAAUCAUGUUGCAUCCAUGCACGCAUUUGUUAUAUCUUACGUCUGAACUGUCUUGCGAGUACUUUCAAAGUACUCACUGGCUUGUUGAUUUGGCCAGAUGUUGACGAAGGCGAUCUCAUGGAUGAAGAAUUCGAUAGCGAGUCCGACACUUAGAGGAGUCCCAGUCAGUCUCGUGCGACCCUGGAUUUGGCCACUGUUUUAUAUCCGCUUCCGCUACCAAAUAAAUUUAUCGAGCCUCACCUCAACGUUCGAUGAAAUGAUAUUCUUAGAGUCUAGUAUUUCCCUUCCCGCUGUGCUUUUCCACCACCAACCUAUCCAUGAGUCAGUAGUAUGUCUCCACACCACUGUGUCCUGCCCGCCAUUAUGUAUGAUUAUUGGCGUGCUUGUAAUAAUUUGGUUGAGCGACCGCAGUUCAACCCUGUAAUAUAUUUUAUGCUACUGGCUUAUUGUAUCAAGAAAUUGUCUACCAGUGAGGAGGAUUUCUCUCAUACUGGACUCAAAAGACUGGUUUAUCAAUAAAUAUUUUUAUUGGAAAACCGGCCGUGACACGACGCCAGCACUGGGGCCAGGGGGCUCCGAGCCUUGGCCCCCGCCUUGUGGCAGGUGCAGUGGUCGCACAAGUUCAAUCCAGAGAUGCCAUCGCGCUACAACAGCAUGGCGGAUCUGCUGGCUUUCUUGCUGGCGUACGAGAAGGCCGUCCUCAAGGCCAGGGGCGACGACAAGGUCAUGGAUAACCGGUUUCCCAUGGCCCUCACCGGCGUUCCGCGCAUGUGGCUGCUCCACCUGCCAACGGCUUCUGUAGCCUCUUGGGAGGAGUUGUGCGGCCUCUUCCUCGCCCAUUAUGUUGCACCAGCGCCCUCGGUCGUCGCAGCUCUCCUGGGUGGCUCGCAGGUGCCACCCUCGGACCGCCAUAUCAAGCCAUUCGUCAGCCAGAUCGGCGCUGCCCUCGCGCUGCAUGGGGCUCCCCCGGGUUGGGCGGCGCCCAAGGCCGAUCUGACCUUCAGCUCGGAUGAUCACCCCUUCAACUCAGCGUGCUCGGGCAUGCUCCCAAUGCUGUGCACCCCCACCAUCUGCCAGGUGGCCGUCACCAGGACCCUCAUCGACGGCGGAGCAGGCCUCAGCAUGCUCUCGGUGGAAGCCUUCAGCCUCCUCCAUGUGCCACCGGAGUGGCUUCACUCCAGCCGGCCCUUAUUGGGCGUCGGAGGCGGUUUCACCGGCUCCCUGGGACAGAUCCGCCUCCCGGUGACCUUAGGCACCUAUGACAACUUCCGCACAGAGCUGAUCGACUUCGACAUCGCCCCCAUCGGUCUCCCGUACAACGCCAUCCUCGGCUACCCGGCCCUGGCCCGGUUCAUGGCUGCAACUCACCCAGCGUACAACCUCAUGAAGAUGCCUGGGAGCAACGGCGUCAUUACCGUGUCCGGAGACACCGGGGAUGCAUUGCAAUCGCUCAAUCUUGCCUUCAAGACCGCGGCGGUGGCGCAGCCCGCCGGCUCCGUCGCCCCCAAGCCCAGGAGGGCUGCGCCAGCCAACAAAAAGAAGCUAUUCAGCCAAGACAAGGCGGAGACCAAGCAGGUACUGGUCGACGAGGACAAGCCCACCGGUGCUACCUUCACGAUAGGCACCAACCUCGAGCCUGAGCAGGAUAAGGACCUGGUCAAUUUCCUGCGCACGAACAGGAAGGUGUUUGCAUGAGAGCCUAAUCAGCUGGCGGGAGUCCCGAGGGAUGUAAUUGAGCAUGAUCUCAACGUAUGCCCCAACGUGCGCCCUGUGAAGCAGAAGGCAAGACGGCAGUCCACUGAAAAGCAGGCCUUCAUCGUCCAAGAGACCCACAAGUUAGAAGCAGCAGGGGUCAUUCGCGAGGUCCGCUACCCUGAUUGGCUGGCCAACCCAGUCGUCGUGCCAAAGAAGGGAGGAAAGGAACGCAUGUGUGUCGACUUCACCAACCUCAACAAAGCCUGCCCGUAGGAUCCAUUCCCGCUCCCUCGCAUCGACCAGAUCGUCGACUCCACCGCCGAGUGUGACCUACUAUGCUUCCUGGAUGCCUUCUCGGGCUAUCAUCAGAUCUAAAUGGCGGUGGAGGACGUGGAGAAAACGGCCUUCCUGACCCCAGGUGGGGUAUACUUCUACACCUGCAUGCCGUUUGGGUUGCGCAAUGCAGGCACGACCUUCCAGCGAUUGAUGCACAUUGCUCUGGGGCGAUAGCUCGGGAGGAAUACUGAAGCUUAUGUUGAUGACAUUGUGGUGAACUCUCGGGAGGCGAAGACCCUGAUACAGGACUUGGAAGAAACCUUCGCAAGCCUUAGCGAAGUGGACCUGUGGCUCAACCCGAGGAAGUGUGUGUUUGGAGUCCCCUCGGGCAAGCUCCUAGGCUUACUCGUAUCUCAUAGGGGCAUUGAAGCUAACCCAGAGAAGGUCAAGGCAGUCGAGGACAUGAGCCCGCCAAAGACCCUCAGGGAAAUGCAGAAGCUCACCGGGCGUGUAACCGCUUUAGGACGUUUCAUCUCCAAGCUAGGAGAGCGGGCGCUGCCUUUCUUCAAGCUGAUGAAGAAGAAAGGUCCCUUUGAAUGGACUGAAGAGGCCGACAAGGCAUUCCAAGACCUCAAGAAGUACCUUACCAGCCCCCCGGUGAUGGUGGCCCCUCGCCCUCGAGAGCCCCUAGUGCUCUACCUUGCAGCCACCCCUUACUCCGCCAGCGCAGCCCUGGUGGCAGUCAGAAAGGAGCGCUAGGCCUCGGCCGCCGUCGCACUCCAGGCCGAGGCAGAGCAGGGCCAGGAAGGCCUCGCAGAGACCACGACCUCAGCAGAGAAGGAUCAGCCCCAUCAAGGGAGCGCACCUGGAGUAGAGGAGGCCCCCUCAGGCGACCAGGGACUGAGGGCCACGCCGCCUCAGGAGGCGCCCCGACCUCCAGAAGACGCAAGCCGUGCCAGCACCCUCAAUCUCGUCGAGCACCCGGUGUAAUUCGUCAGUACGGUGCUGCAGGACGCAAGGGCGCGGUACCCAAUGCCUCAAAAACUCCUCCUCGCACUGUUGGUAGCCUCGCGCAAGCUGCAGCACUACUUUCAAGGCCAUCCCAUCAAGGUCGUCUCGACCUACCCCCUGGAGAGGGUACUCAGGAGCCCCAAUUCAGCAGGGAGGGUUGCCGAAUGGAUCAUCGAACUGCAAGCAUUCCAGUUAGAAUUUAGCACUACCAGGUUCAUUAAGGGGGCUGCGCUCGCAAAUUUCAUGGCAGAGUGGACAGAGGCUAUCAGGACCCCGAUCCUGAGUCACACCGAUCUAGCAUGUAACACAUCAUAUCACUUUGCGGCCUCACGCACGGUAUUCCCACGGGUGCCACCUUACCUGGCUCGGGACCGUUUGCGCCUUUUGGCUCACGUAUAUGAUAGUGCCGCUAGCAUCCAUAUGACAAAGAACCCGGGCUGACAUGGCUAGUCGUGAACCCGAAGUGGCACUAACUUACAGGGAGAGGCAUACAUGAGCCAACAACGAACGUGUCGGUCGUCAGCGAGUGAAUCCGGGUUGUAGCAACUGGGCUAGCAGGACUCCGGUAAACCGGGCUGUAGCAGGCUAACAGGACUCCGGUAUUCAUCGCGUGACAUUUCCCCGAAGGGACAGACACAGGAACGAAGAAGGACACAUGCCGGCCAGCCUAAGUGUUCCGGAGCAGUAGCAAGCUACCAGGGCUCAGUGGAAGCACUAGGAGACAUUUCCCGGUAAGAGAGGCUACCAAGGAUAAACAACUAGAUUGUUAGAUCCCACACAUACCAAGCAUUUCAAUAGCAUACACACAAUAUGCUCGAUAUGUGCAAAUACAACAUGGCAUCACAACAUGACUCUACAACUCAAGUAUUUAUUCAAUAGGCUCUGAGGAGCGAGAUAUUACAAACAUGGGUCUCAUGACCCAGCAUUCAGAGCACACAAGUCAAGCACAAGCGGAAGCUUAACAUGUUUGAGUACAGACAUUUAUAAAUGAAAAAGGCUAAAAAGCCUGACUAUCUACCAGAUCCUGCCGAGGGCACAAGAUCGUAGCUGAGGUAACAAGCUAAACAUCGAAGUCCACGUGGAACUACUAGCGAGACUGAAGUCUCUCUGCAAAAACAUAAAUUAAGCAACGUGAGUACAAAUGUACCCAGCAAGACUUACAUCAGAACUAUCUACAUAUGCAUCAUUAUCAACAAAGGGGUGGUGGGGUUUAACUGCAGCAAGCCAGCUUUGGCUCGGUGGCUAUCCUGAACUACGACUGCAAGUAACUCUUUUAAGGUGGCGCACACGAGUCCACAUAUUCACCAUAUCAAUACACCACUAUGGAUCCACUCCCGUCUCCCUACGAGAACGCCAUCCAUAGCACUCACGCUUAUCUUGCGUAUUUUAGAGUAUCCACUUUCACUUGUCUAUGAACUGUAUAGGCAACCCAGAAGUCCUUUACCGUGGACACGGCUAUUCGAAUAGAUAAUGUUAACCCUGCAGGGGUGUACUUCUUCACACACGCUCUCGCCACUUACCACCAUGUACACCACGUGUAUCUCGGCAACCUUCAAGCGGAAGCCAGGCGAGGGAGUCAGCCACGACCUGACUAACCACACAAGUCUCUAGUCUAGGUUUAUCACCUAUUCGGGUUCCAUCCGCAAGGAGAUCCGGCCGGGGUGUUGCUCACGGCCCCAAACGAUGUGUGCAGGGUUCCCAAGCCCACCAUCCGGGUGCAACUUGGUACACCGGGCCACUGUGCCUAGUCUGUCCCAAGCCCACCUGUACCGGGUGCCACUUGGUAGACUACUAACACUACCUACAAACACCAGAAACUAGUUGCAACUCCUGGACAGAGAUCGAGUUGAUUAAUAAGUCGAGAGAGCUUGGAGCGCCCGGAGCUCAAUGUGUGGUAGUAACUGAUCAUGGAUCACAAACACAGAACUCAGUUCCUGAGGACGGCUGCAAUGAGACAACCCACCAUGUACUCCUACAUGGCCUCUCACCGCUACCUUUACCAAAUCGUGUUCACACACUUAGUUCACACACAGUAGGACAUGUUUACACACCUCCAAUUCAUCCCCGAUGAAUCAGACCAGACUCCACUCUAAGCAGUAGCAGGCAUGACAAACAAGCAUGAAUGAGUAGGCACAACAGGGCUCAAACAACUCCUACUCAUGCUAGUGGGUUUCAUCUAUUUACUGUGGCAGUGACAGGUCAUGCAGAGGAUAAAGGGGUUCAGCUACCGCAGCAAGUAACAGAUGAAUCGUUGUUGUCCUAAUGCAGUAAAAGAGAGCAGGAGCGAAAGAGUGGGAUUUUAUCGGAAUGAACAAGGGGGUUUUGCUUGCCUGGCACUUCUGAAGAUAGUAUAGUUCUUCAUCGGUGUCAUCGAUCAGCUCGUCGAUACACGUCUACUGAGAGGGGACAAGCACCGACAAACAAAGAAGAAACACAAUCAAUGCAACGCAACAAUAUGAUGCAUGAAUGUUACAUGGAAAUAUGAUGUGGUUUGUGCUAAUGCAACUAAAACCAGAUUAAAUGAAGUUGGUUUGAAUCCAAGAUUCAAUUCAAACUCCACAUGUGGUUAUUUAAAUGCCAUUUAAUUGAAUUGUCCUAAACAGUAGUCAUAAGUUGUUCUAACAUGCAUGAAAUAGUACAUAUGGAUAGAUUGGAUUUUUCUGAUAAUUUUUCAUAUAUAAAUUAUUUCAUUCUGAGUUACGGUUGAAUUUAUAUGAAUUUUUGAAGUUUAGGAUAUUUUCUGGAAUUUCCUGAAUUAAAAUUAAUCCAGAAAAUAGCUUAUUGCGUCAGCAUGCCAUCAACAUGAUGUCAGCAGGUCAACCGGGGCUGUCCCAGGUCCAACCUGACGUGUGGGGUCCACACGUCAGCGACAUGGGCUAAACCCAGUCAAACCCAAUGCUGACUGGGUUUGACCUUGCAAUAGGGCCCGCUGUCAGUGGCUAUUGGGGUUGCUUAGGUGGCGGGGUUAGCGUCUAAUGACGGCCACGUCGACACUCCCCGGAGCAUGGCCGGCGACGACCACAGCCGACGGCGAAGGCACACCGGAAUCGCGGCUUCGGCGUCCAUUCGACGCGCGGAUGGGUGCUGAGGGUGUUUGGCGCUCGCACGCAUCUAAUGGAACAUGCGGGAGGCCGUGGGGUGGACUGAGGCGACGGCAACCACGAUGGCGGCGGCAGCCGGAAUUCGGGCAAGUGGCAAAAUAGCGCUACGGUGCAUUAUCGGGGAAGACAAGUAGUUCUACAGCCUCCUGGAGGUGAGGGGAGCACAACUAGCUCAAGAAUUCGAGCGGAGAGGCAAGGCAGAGCCAUGGCCGACGUCCAUGGCGGACGGCGGCGCUCAGUUGAAGGGGGCCACGGCUAGAGGACAAAAACGAGAGGGAAAACAAUGGGAGAUGAUGCGGGGGCUUACGGUGAUCUCGCGGAGACGCUCAGAGUGCUCGGGGAGGUCCUGUAUGCGGCGAAAUUGACGGCGGCGAUCCACGUCAUCAAGGAAGAAGACGGCGUUGAAGGCCGCUCUACGGGGCAUCCGGGCUUGCGUGAAUUAUCUAGGAGGAAGAGGCGGUCGUGGCGGUCCUUCAGAACACAGAGAGAGGUCGAGGGGGAGGCUGUGGCUACGGUUUCGCGGCGGCGAGCGCUUGGCGACGAGCUCCGCUCGGUGGGAGAGAGAGGGAGCCAGAGGAGGGGGGAAGAAGGCAUGGGAGAGAGUGAGAGGCCUGGGGGGGGGUGCGUGGCGCCCUCGGGUAAGUCCAGGGCGAGCAGGCAAGCAGGAGGUUGCUGGCGCGUGCACGCGCGCGUCGGGCACACGCCCUCCUGCCUACUGGCAGGAGGUUGAAGACGGUGGCAGCUGUGGUGGGCUGGGUUGCUGCUGGGCUGCGCUGUAACUGGGCCAGCCAGGUAAGUAGGCCAGGUAAGUGCUCUGUUUUAUUUUUUUUACUGUUAUGUUUUCUUUUGUUUAAUAUUCUGCCACUGUUCAAAAUUCAAACAAUUUCAAAACAGUGACAAAACCCUUUGAAUAAUUUUAUGUUGCAGGAUGGACAUUUCCAAAAGCACAUAAAAUGUUUCAAAGAUAUUUUAAAUUAUAUUCUAGUUAUAUGAAUAUAACUCAAAUUCAAAUAGCUAUUGAUUUAAAUUCAGAGCCCCAGAAAUAAAUCCUUAAAAAUGUUCCUAAAUUCUGGUUUGAUAUAUAGCUCUUGCCAAAAUUCUCAAACAUUGCAAAAGGACAUCUUGGAAACAAAGAAUGAGAUUUCCAGGGUUCCUUGCCCUUCUUUAUUUAAAGUUUUUGAGGCUUCCACCUUCCUGAGUUCCAAGUUUCAGAAAUUUAGACAUGAUGCAUGAUUGCUCUAUGAUGCAACUAAUACAAGCAAUAAUCUAGGGCUGUGACAACUCACCCCCACUAAACAAGAAUCUCGUCCCGAGAUUCAAGACAUGAGGUAAGUAGACAGAGGGGACACAAAGCUAACACGAUCUUCAUGAUCCAAUUGCCCUUCUCAAAGAUGUUGAUUCAUUUCUCCAAUUGAUCUUGACGUCUUUGCUUCCGAGACCUUCAUCAAACACGAGGACAGAGACAACUCUACAAUGAUGGAUCAUCUUAAUGAUCACAAGAUCAACUUACGGAACAAGGCGUAAGAACAUCUCUUGAGCUGAGACGCUAAUCAUACAUCUAGAGUGAUGGAGUGAAAUAGAUGACGAAGGUUCAGUAGAUAGGCGAUAGUUCCACACUGAAGAAGGUGGUGAACGGUUGCCAACAUAGCGAGGAGCUGAGUUGCCAUGAUACCAUAACAAGACAUCUUAGAGGAGGUGACUCGUAGAAUUAACCCUUAAGUGGCAAAAAGAAUUACUUUUGAUAUAUAGAUCAUUGAAACUCUUCUUACCAGGCCAAGGCAAUUCACAAAUGAUUGUUUAACGAAGUUUGAAGAAAUUGCAUACUCAGAUCGAAAAGAAGACUAUGGUUAUAGAACAACUCGACAAAUGGGAGGCACAUUCCAAUUGAUACCGAGAAUAUAACCUAGUGACGGAGUGUGCCCUCAAGAACUUGAGCAUUUCCAUAUUCAUCAAGGUUUUACCAACAUCCGUGUCAAGGAUCUUGGCAACACAACAUACCACCAUGAUGAAUAGUGAUGGACGAUGCAGAUGCAAACGAAGAUAACACCUUCUUAGAUUUCACCUUAGCGAGGCCAAGGAAACAGAAUCUGGAUGAUCGACCGAGAGACAUUUAGCGCUCUGCUUCUAAUGUUCUCCUUGAUGUACUAGCGUAUCACAUUCAUAGAUAUGGUUUGAUAUCUAGAACAUCAAGUAAAGGGUCGGACUUCGGGAACACAAAAAAUCAUAAGGAACAAUUGUUGGAGUAAAUCCUAUGAAAUCCUUAUGGGGAGGUGGCCAACUUUCUCAAUCAAGUUACUACAAUAAUAGAUCUUCCGGCUGGUGUGUUGGCCACGACAUCCACUUUACCGAUUACAGAGAGACCAGAAUUAUAGUUCUUGGGAAACGUUCCAACCAUCACAUCUGCCUGAGAUUCAGAUCUGGUUGGUGGCAGAAUAUUCCAGACCCAUCAAGUCUAGAAAGAAAAAUGAAAGUUUGCAACACAAACCGAUGAGAUGACGUUGCGAGAUUCUCGGGAAAUGAACUACGAUAACAAGAUCCAAAACAUGAGCUGUUUCUGCUACAUACAUGUGAACACGCUGUCCUAGACAAGCAUGACCACAUAGUAGUCUUAUAAUAAAACACUAUCGAGUUCAGGUUGGGAACCAUCAUCGAGGAUAACGAAGUCCUAACAUAAGUCAUGAUUAGCUCUUAUGAAGGAACUUCUUGUCCUUGAACAAAUCAGCCAGUGGCUUGGUGUGCUAGGAAACCCAUAUAGAAUGGAGGCGGCCAACCUACAAACCAUAGAGUACUUCACACAUGUGCAUGACCAACUUGGGAUGAUUCCAUAAAAGCAAAAACAAUCUUUCUCAGAUCCACGGCGGCAACUUACAUCAAGUGCACGUGAAUUAGAGGAAGUCUCUUCUUCCAUCCAAGCACAAGCUUCAUGAACGGAACACGAAGGCAUUGCUUACAAAGUUUCCAACACUAGGUUGAUGUUCAACAUGAAUCAUGGAGGAGACAAAAUGCUGCUGAUGGGUUCAACAGCAACUCAUCGGAAUUUCCAUAUCACUAGAUUUCCACCAUUAUGUGAACAAUGUGAUAGUAUUGGUCAGACCAAAAGAUGUAAUGGUGUAUGCUCGAGGAAUCAACCAUGAGUAAAACAACAUUAUGAAUAUCGUUGGUUCUGAUUUGAUUUGACGAUAGCCCAUACUCAAAUCAAAGUUUUAUAAGACAUUAGGUCCAACAACUGAUCACAGGGCCCAAUCGAUGAAGAUAUCAUCUUUCUUCAACUAACACACCAACACCAGGAUAUCCCUUUAAAACGAACUAUGUUAGGUAAGCUUUUAUCUUCCAACUCUCCAAGUUGUCAUUUAGCAUAACCCACUAGCUCAGGGGUAUCCAACACGGAUUCCUGGAGAAGGGGUGGUUUACAAGAAAACCAACUUGAUCUCGAGCUCAACAUAGCGAUCAGGUGACAACCUGGCGAUACUUCCGAGAAGAUAUUCGGAAAAUCGCGAACCACCGAUAUGCUAUUAAGCUCGAGAACAAUCUUGCUUUUCGGGGCAAGACGAGAUGAUCAAAUAAGCAAGGGAUUGGCAUAGCCCUAACUCAUUGAUCGAAAGGUGCACCGAAAAUAAGGACUAGGUAGCACGAUCAACCCUAGGGUGACGAUUCAAUAAUCAACACGCUAAGGAUGAGAUUGUUGUCCAUUAACUACCAAGGAACCGAGUUGCUAGGAGUAUAGAUUUCACACAUCACGAUUCACUUGUCGGCGUUCCGGUUAUAAUAACACGGGAACCAAGGAAUGAAUAUCGAUGGCGAGAAGUAUCACUGCACCAAGAAUUCAUAAGAUGAUGUGCAAUUCCCACGAUAACCUUAAUAUAAAGAUGGUGAUACUCCAAGGUAGAACAGAACAAAAGCUGGAUUAGUAUUUGAUCUGCGGAACACAACUGCUUUGACCCAAUCCUGGAUAUGGAUGAGGUACUGGAGUUUGUUUCUCCUAGUCAUUCCGGAAUAGAAUGGCUUGACAGACCAGAAGAGUAAUAGGCAUCGAUGAAUGAAUGCACACAUACUCUUUACUAUCAAUUGAUAGACGAGGGUUAGAAGACAACUAAAGAGGGACAACUCAAAGGAACAUACGAUUUUCUGAGUUGUGGAUGCAUGGUUUAGCAUGUCGAACGAAGUUCAACAUAUUUCUUCCGGAUAACCCAUGUAGAAAGGUAGAACUGGCAGAGCCACAAUAUAUAAUGGAGAACUUGUCAAGAGCUCUGGUUGUGAUUUUUUUGGUUCAAAAGAACUUCUGCCAUAAGCAGUUCAUGGUAUUUGGAAGAAGGAAAUACCACGGACCUCGAAGACUAUCGCAAAGGUUACUAAUAACCUAAAGGAACGAGCAAACACUAUCAACAUGAAGUGAGUAGGGUGAGUUUCGGGUUCAAAACCCGGGAAUAGAAUACCUACUUACUAAGUGGCAUCAUGGGAUGCUUUCGAGGAUGACGGCCAGAAUCAUCACACUGGGAACACAAAUCAUGGCUGGAUUACUAGGUGAUACUCUAGACAUCUAGGGUCAUAAUAAUAGCUCCAACAUAUACGUCGAGGCAAUAGAGUACCUCAACUCACGUUUAGUGUGAUUAACCUGGACUAGAGGAACAUCGAAACCAGAGGGAAAGGAUUUUGCAACUGCAUCAGAUUAUUUAGAAACCUGGGAUGACUCGGACAGCAUAACGGCUCUAAAUGCUCAAAAGAUUUGAGACAUGCUACAAAUAUGGUGGCAUAACCACUCGAUCAUCAUAGUAUCAAGGUUCUGAGAUCAACUAUGAACAUACAGAAGAUAGUAGGAACUUAACUCAAGCUUAGAACCAUCAAUCCUAUAGGACUACGGAUUAGUAACACAUGAUCCUGAUAGAGAGAAGAGAAAGCCUAGUUUCUUAACCCCGUAGGAAAGGUAAGAUGACUCAGAUCAGAGGGCAUAAGGUAUAAGGAGUAAAAAGAGCCUUACAUUCCAUCCCACAAUCAAUUCCCUUAUAUAUCUAAAGAAUUUCUAGACUCAACUUCGACCAGUUUGGAUUGGUAAUCCUACAGGCAGUCAAGCUCUGAUACCAAAGCUGUCAGGACCCCGAUCCUGAGUCACACCGAUCUAGCAUGUAACACAUCAUAUCACUUUGCGGCCUCACGCACGGUAUUCCCGCGGGUGCCACCUUACCUGGCCCGGACCAUUUGCGCCUUUUGGCUCACGUAUAUGAUAGUGCCGCUAGCAUCCAUAUGACAAAGAACCCGGGCUGACAUGGCUAGUCGUGAACCCGAAGUGGCACUAACUUACAGGGAGAGGCAUACAUGACCCAACAACGAACGUGUCGGUCAUCAGCGAGUGAAUUUGGGCUGUAGCAACUGGGCUAGCAGGACUCCGGUAAACCGGGCUGUAGCAGGCUAACAGGACUCCGGUAUUCAUCGCGUGACAUUUCCCCGAAGGGACAGACACAAGAACAAAGAAGGACACAUGCCGGCUAGCCUAAGUGUUCCGGAGCAGUAGCAAGCUACCAGGGCUCAGUGGAAGCACUAGGAGACAUUUCCCGGUAAGAGAGGCUACCAAGGAUAAACAACUAGAUAGUCAGAUCCCACACAUACCAAGCAUUUCAAUAGCAUACACACAAUAUGCUCGAUAUGUGCAAAUACAACAUGGCAUCACAACAUGACUCUACAACUCAAGUAUUUAUUCAAUAGGCUCCGAGGAGCGAGAUAUUACAAACAUGGGUCUCAUGACCCAGCAUUCAGAGCACACAAGUCAAGCACAAGCGGAAGCUUAACAUGUCUAAGUACAAACAUCUAUAAAUGAAAAAGGUUAAAAAGCCUGACUAUCUACCAGAUCCUGCCGAGGGCACAAGAUCAUAGCUGAGGUAACAAGCUAAACGUCGAAGUCCACGUGGAACUACUAGCGAGAUUGAAGUCUCUCUGCAAAAACAUAAAUUAAGCAACGUGAGUACAAAUGUACCCAGCAAGACUUACAUCAGAACUAUCUACAUAUGCAUCAUUAUCAACAAAGGGGUGGUGGGGUUUAACUGCAGCAAGCCAGCUUUGGCUCGGUGGCUAUCCUGAACUACGACUACAAGUAACUCUUUUAAGGUGGCGCACUCGAGUCCACAUAUUCACCAUAUCAAUACACCACUAUGGAUCCGCUCCCGUCUCCCUACGAGAACGCCAUCCAUAGCACUCACGCUUAUCUUGCAUAUUUUAGAGUAUCCACUUUCACUUGUCUAUGAACUGUACAGGGAACCCAGAAGUCCUUUACCGUGGACACGGCUAUUCGAAUAGAUAAUGUUAACCCUGCAGGGGUGUACUUCUUCACACACGCUCUCGCCACUUACCACCAUGUACACCACGUGUAUCUCGGCAACCUUCAAGCGGAAGCCUGGCGAGGGAGUCAGCCACGACCUGACUAACCACACAAGUCUCUAGUCCAGGUUUAUCGCCUAUUCGGGUUCCAUCCGCAAGGAGAUCCGGCCGGGGUGUUGCUCACGGCCCCAAACGAUGUGUGCAGGGUUCCCAAGCCCACCAUCCGGGUGCUACUUGGUACACCGGGCCACUGUGCCUAGUCUGUCCCAAGCCCACCUGUACCGGGUGCCACUUGGUAGACUACUAACACUACCUACAAACACCAGAAACUAGUUUCAACUCCUAGACAGAGAUCGAGUUGAUUAAUAAGUCAAGAGAGCUUGGAGCGCCCGGAGCUCAAUGUGUGGUAGUAACUGAUCAUGGAUCACAAACACAGAACUCAGUUCCUGAGGACGGUUGCAAUGAGACAACCCACCAUGUACUCCUACAUGGCCUCUCACCGCUACCUUUACCAAAUCGUGCUCACACACUUAGUUCACACACAGUAGGACAUGUUUACACACCUCCAAUUCAUCCCUGAUGAAUCAGACCGAACUCAACUCUAAGCAGUAGCAGGCAUGACAAACAAGCAUGAAUGAGUAGGCACAAUAGGGCUCAAACAACUCCUACUCAUGCUAGUGGGUUUCAUCUAUUUACUGUGGUAGUGACAGGUCAUGCAGAGGAUAAAGGGGUUCAGCUACCGCAGCAAGUAACAGAUGAAUCGUUGUUGUCCUAAUGCAGUAAAAGAGAGCAGGAGCGAGAGAGUGGGAUUUUAUCGGAAUGAACAAGGGGGUUUUGCUUGCCUGGCACUUCUGAAGAUAGUAUAGUUCUUCAUCGGUGUCAUCGAUCACCUCGUCAAUACACGUCUACUGAGAGGGGACAAGCACCGACAAACAAAGAAGAAACACAAUCAAUGCAAUGCAACAAUAUGAUACAUGAAUGUGACAUGGCAAUAUGCUGUGGUUUGUGAUAAUGCAACUAAAACCAGAUAAAAUGAAGUUGGUUUGAAUCCAAGAUUCAAUUCAAACUCCACAUGUGGUUAUUUAAAUGCCAUUUAAUUGAAUUUUCCUAAACAGUAGUCAUAAGUUGUUCUAACAUGCAUGAAAAUAGUACAGAUGGAUAGAUUGGAUUUUUUUGAUAAUUUUUCAUAUAUAAAUUAUUUCAUUCUGAGUUACGGUUGAAUUUAUAUGAAUUUUUGAAGUUUUGGAUAUUUUCUGGAAUUUCCUGAAUUAAAAUUAAUCCAGAAAAUAGCUUAUUGUGUCAGCAUGACAUCAGCAUGAUGUCAGCAGGUCAACCAGGGCUGUCCCAGGUCCAACCUGACGUGUGGGGUCCACACGUCAGCGACAUGGGCUAAACCCAGUCAAACCCAAUGCUGACUGGGUUUGACCCUGUAGUAGGGCCCGCUGUCAGUGGCUAUUAGGUUGCUUAGGUGGCGGGGUUAGCGUCUAAUGACGGCCACGUCAACACUCGCCGGAGCAUGGCCGGCGACGACCACAGCCGACGGCGGAGGCACACCGGAAUCGCGGCUUCGGCGUCCAUUCAACGCGCGGAUGGAUGCUGGUGGUGUCUGGCGCUCGCACACAUCUAAUGGAACAUGCGGGAGGCCGUGGGGUGGCCUGAGGCGACGGCAACCACGACGGCGGCGGCGGCCAGAAUUCGGGCAAGUGGCAAAAUAGCGCUACGGUGCAUUAUUGGGGAAGACAAGUAGUUCUACGGCCUCCUGGAGGUGAGGGGAGCACAACUAGCUCAAGAAUUCGAGCGGAGAGGCAAGGCAGAGCCAUGGCCGACGUCCAUGGCGGAGGGCAGCGCUCAGUCGAAGGGGGCCAUGGCUAGAGGACAAAAACAAGAGGGAAAACAAUGGGAGAUGAUGCAGGGGCUUACGGUGAUCUCGCGGAGACGCUCAGAGUGCUCGGGGAGGUCCUGUACGCGGCGAAAUCGACGGUGGCGAUCCACGUCAUCGAGGAAGAAGACAGCAUUGAAGGCCGCUACGGGGCGUUCGGGCUUGCGUGAAUUAUCUAGGAGGAAGAGGCGGUCGUGGCGGUCCUUCAGAACAUGGAGAGAGGUCGAGGGGGAGGCUGUGGCUACGGUUUCGCGGCGGCGAGCGCUUGGCGAUGAGCUCCGCUCGGUGGGAGAGAGAGGGGGCCAGAGGAGGGGGGAAGAAGGCAUGGGAGAGAGUGAGAGGCCUGGGGGGUGCAUGGCGCCCUCGGGUAAGUCCAGCGGCGAGCAGGCAAGCAGGAGGUGGCUGGCGCGUGCGCGCGCACGUCGGGCACACGCCCUCCUGCCUACUGGCAGGAGGUUGAAGACGGUGGUGGCUGCGGUGGGCUGGGCUGCUGCUGGGCUGCGCCGUAACUGGGCCAGCCAGGUAAGUAGGCCAGGUAAGUGCUCUGUUUUAUUAUUUUUUUACUGUUAUGUUUUCUUUUGUUUAAUAUUCUGCCAGUGUUCAAAAUUCAAACAAUUUCAAAACAGUGACAAAACCCUUUGAAUAAUUUUAUGUUGCAGGAUGGACAUUUCCAAAAGCACAUAAAAUGUUUCAAAGAUAUUUGAAAUUAUAUUCUAGUUAUAUGAAUAUAACUCAAAUUCAAAUAGCUAUUGAUUUAAAUUCAGAGCCCCAGAAAUAAAUCCUUAAAAAUGUUCCUAAAUUCUGGUUUGAUAUAUAGCUCUUGCCAAAAUUCUCAAACAUUGCAAAAGGACAUCUUGGAAACAAAGAAUGAGAUUUCCAGGGUUCCUUGCCCUUCGUUAUUUAAAGUUUUUGAGGCUUCCACCUUCCUCAGUUCCAAGUUUCAGAAAUUUAGACAUGAUGCAUGAUUGCUCUAUGAUGCAACUAAUACAAGCAAUAAUCUAGGGCUGUGAUAGAGGCGCCAGGGCUUAAAAUGGGCGAGGACCGGUCGCUCUACCCAGGGAGCGAAGCGCCGGACGGCUGGGUAAUGUACUUCGACGGAGCAUUUGCACGGCAGGGCGCAAGGGCUGGUGCAUUGCUCAUAUCCCCCACUCAGGACAAGCUUUACUAUGUCGUGCAGCUCUACUUCCAGCAUGGGGAGAAGGUUUCCAACAACAUAGCAGAGUACGAGGGCCUGAUAGCGGGCCUAAGGGUAGCCAUCGCCUUGGGAGUAAAACGAAUCACCGUCAAGGGCGACUUGCAACUCCUCGUCAACUUCUCCAACAAGGUGUAUGAGCCGAAGGAUGAGCACAUGGAAGCAUACCUCACGGAGGUCCGCAAGAUGGAGAAACAGUUUUGGGGGUUGGAGUUGCAGCAUGUGCCUCGCGGUACCAAUCAAGAGGCUGACGACAUCGCCAAGAGGGCACCCAGGCGGCUGCCUCGGGAGCCUGGCAUCUUCGAGGAGCGACUCUUCAAACCCUCGGCGACACUGUCAUUAUCAAGCACAUCACAACCUAGGGAGGAGCUCCUUCAGCCACCUGCCUCAGGAGCCCCAGCCUGCGGCCCGGCCUCAGGGGCACGCCUGCUCCUGGUGUUGGAGCCUUAGGAAGGAUGUUGGAUGGCAGAAUUCAAGGACUACUUGGCGCAAGGAACUCUACUGGAGAAGGAGGAGGACGCGGAGCGCGUGGCACGGCAGGCCACGGCCUACAACAUCAAGGAUGGGAGCUCUAUCGGAGGCGACCGAAUGACGUGUCCCUGCGUUGCAUCCCCAGAGAGCAAGGAAACGAACUGUUGGUGGACAUACACGGUGGAGACUAUGGGCAACACUCAUCCUUGCGAACCCUCGUCAGCAAGGCGUUUCGCAGCGGGUUCUACUGGCCCACGGCGCUCAGUGACGCCGUUGAGCUGGUGAAGGCUUGUGAACCCUGCCAAUUCCAUGCCAAGCAGAUCCACCAGCCGGCGGGGACACUGCAGACCAUACCCCUCUCAUGGCCGUUCGCAGUUUGGGGGCUGGACAUUCUGAGCCCGUUCCCUCGGGCGCCAGGGGGCUACCGCUACCUCUACGUCGCUGUGGACAAGUUCACCAAGUGGGCUGAAGUGGAAGCUGUCCGCACCAUACCCGCGGGCUCAGCAGUCAAGUUCAUCAAGGGCCUUGUGAGCCGAUUUGGGGUGCCUAACCGCAUUAUCACCAAUAAUGGUUCGCAGUUCACCAGCAAUCUCUUCAAAACAUACUGUGCUAACCUUGGAACGCAGAUAUGCUACGCCUCGGUGGCACACCCCCGGAGCAACGGCCAGGCCGAAUGAGCCAACACGGAGGUCCUGAGGGGCCUCAAAACCAGGACCUUCAAGAAGAAGCUGGAGUCCUGCGGCAGGGGCUGGUACGACGAGCUCCAGUCUGUGCUGUGGUCUAUCCACACGACCGCGACCAAGCCGACUGGCGAUACCCCGUUCUUUCUGGUCUAUGGAGCUGAGGACGUUCUUCCUCACGAGGUCAGGCAUCGUUCCGCACGGGUCUUGGCAUUCGACGAGGCGCAGCAGGACGCCAUGCGGGGGACAGAUCUCGUGCUGGGGGAGGAACACCAUCGAGAAGCCGCACUACGAGCAGCAAGGUACCAACAGGCGCUACGGCGAUACCACUGCCGCAACAUCCGUCCCAGGACUCUUGAGGUAGGGGACCUUGUGCUCAGAUGGGUUCUCUCCAGGGAGGGGCUGCAUAAGCUCUCUCCCAUGUGGGAGGGCCCAUUCAAGGUUGUUCAUGUUUCCAGGCCCGGCUCCGCGCGCUUGGAGACCUAGGAGGGCGUGCCCAUCCAGAACACGUGGAACAUUCAACAUCUCCGAAGAUUUUACCCCUGAGCAAGGCCCGAUGCCUGUGAAGAAGGCGAAUGCUUGUGAAGUUGCUGCAUUUUGGAAAAGGCCCGGUGCCUGUGAAGAAGGUGAAUGCCUGUGAAGUUGCUGCAUUUUGAAAAGGCCCGGUGCCUGUGAAGAAGGCGAAUGCCUGUGAAGUUGCUGCAUUUUGGAAAAGGCCCGGUACGUGUGAAGAAGGCGAAUGCCUGUGAAGCUGCCGCAUUUUGGAAAAGGCCCGGUGCUUGUGAAGAAGGCGAAUGCCUGUGAAGCUGCCGCAUUUUGGAAAAGGCCCGGUGCCUGUGAAGAAGGCAAAUGCCUGUGAAGCUCGCCGCCCGUAACACUCUCACGUAAUAAUGAGUGGGGCUGUACACGCCCCGGAGUCUCCGGAGUGCUGUCCAUGGGCCUCGGGGGCUCCCGCCCAUGCCCAGUGGCAGCACUUAGCUCCGUGCUGGUGAGAAGACGUCGAAGACUAGAUUAGGUGCCAGACGCGGCUUUUUCAUUUGCUUUCUAAAGUUGGUUUGUUCAUUCCUAUUUGAAGUUUUAUUGAAGCUAUUGCCGUCUCUAGGUCGUGACCCAUUUUUCACUGGUUUGCUUCGUUUUCUCCCACAAGUCUCGCGAGGGAGGUACACGGGCACCCUCGCGAGUGUUUUUCUGCCCCGGUGGUUUGAAACUUCCCUAUCCGAAUCCGCUGCGGGAGCACCCCUCCCAGUCCGUGCCCCACGGGCAUCGCGACGCGAUCGCGGGACCUGGGUUGGUCGUCCCCGCUACCAAGGCUGGAACUACCCCUACUGACUAACCCUCGCAGGACAUAAGACGCACGGUGAAGCCCUAGCCUCAGGAGGCGAAGACCACGACGAGCUUCCCCGAGCUAAGUAAUUUCCGCACAUGAGCACGCGGAACGAAAACAUAGCACAGAAAUAGCAAGAACAGCGCGAUAAUUAAACAGCAACAGUUCAACAUGCCCCCGCGGGGCCCCAGACUACCUUCUUUUUGCGCAGGGAAGGAAGAAAAGCAAAAUAGGCGCGACUUGCCCGACACCAACUCACGACAAAGGCUCGUACUGCCUCCGGAGAUCAACUGGAUUCCAUCUCCCGCUUCACCUGGGCGCGGUGGCGGGCCGACCCACUGCCUUCUCCCAGGCGGGCGCGCCGGCGCGGGGGCUGGUCGCGACCACCGCUGGAGGAGCUGUCGUCCGAAGGUGAGUCACCAGAGCUUGGUGGGCCUCGGGCACCGCUGCCCGCACGCCUGCCACCACCUUUGUCCUAAUCGACCCCAGGGGUAGGCGCACGGCCACGGUCAUCGUCUUCAGGGCAGCACCUAGGGCGGCGGCCAUCUUCCCUGAACACCCUCACGUAGAAGGUGGCAUCGCCGUCGAACUUGAAGUGCAGGGUGCACCGUCGGUUCAGGCCGCGCGCGCGGGCAAACGUUUGCCAGCCGUGGGUCAAGGCCACCUCCCCGGCGGCGGAGACCUCCAGCGUGGCCCAGGAGGCUUUGCUACAGCAACCAUCCGCCUGAAGCCAAAGGCCGCCCGGAGAACCAGCCGGAAGUUCACCUACAAGGAAGCGGGGGAGCUGGAGCCAGGUGCUGGUCGGGUCAGCUGACCACACCACGAACUCCGGCAGCACCUUCGCCGAAUGGGAACGUGGCCUAGGGGGUCGCACAGCUGCAGCGUACCUUCCUGCGGCAGUCGGGCGCCCACUACCGCGUAGAGGACUGCCUCCACGAUCAUGGGAAGCUGCCGCGGAGGCCGUAGGAUGCUUGCGGGGGCGGCCCCAGCCAUGCUUGGUUGGGGGAGAGCCAGGCCCUUCCCGACGAGCUUUUCUCUUCUCCACGGCUGAGAACCUCUUCGGCGGGGCCAUGGGGAUGGCGAGUGGCUGGGAAGAGAAAGGAGAGUAGAAGGAAGGAAUGUACUGGGAGGGCUCGCGCCCUCCGUACUUAUAGUCUAGAGGAGGCCAAUCGUCGGCCUCCACGAUCACAGGUAAUCAUGACCCGUUUUGCAUGCAGGGACUUGUCAAGUCAUGCGGUUGCCGAGGCGUCAUGGGGAAGUAGAGACGCCCACGUCCAAUCAACCGCCACGCGUCGCCCAAGACCGCAGGCUAUUGGGCCCGCGGCACUUCGCACUUGCUCCUUCGCUUCUCUGCUAAGCCAAGUACGGGCGCGCCUUGGGCCCGGGGGCUAUUGUCGGCGUUCUGGGAACGGGGGUACCCAGACUUGCCUGCCUGCGGCCUGCGGCGUGGCUCAAGGAGUGGCCCAGUACGGCCCAUCUUCGUCAACACAAGCUCAAGACCCUCGCGAGGGGCCAAGCCUCGCGGGACGGACGACAGGAAGCUUCCUCAGGUGCAGCCUCGCCAGGCUGGCUCGUGAGGAGGCGGAGAGUUCAAGGCGGGGUACCUCACGAGGUGCCCAUGACGCAAGCCAUGACGACCGAAGCCAGGCGGGCGCCGGCCUGCACAGAGUCCUUAUUUCCUCUUUGGUGCAAAGGGGGCAAGCGCAGGCAAGGGUAUCAAGCAAAGGCAACCAUUUUGGUGCAACAAGACCAAGACCAGCAGAACGGCAGGAUGGAGGUCAUCGUGGAGCCCAGGAAGGCGUCAUCAUCAGAGUCUUUGGCAGGCGAGGACCAACUUUAGUCAGGAUAAGUGUACUAGAUGUUCCCCUUCAAAAUGGCCAAUUGUUGGCGCCCUUCCCGCUCAAUAUUUGGGAAGAGGACCAGGGCCUCGCUCUAUAAAUAGGGCUAGCCACCGUAGUACACAGGGAUCGGAUCCUGAUCUGAAGGUCGACCAGUUGAACCUUAGCCAAAACCACCAACACAAGAACUCCUCCCCUCGCGAGGCAGUUCUUCCUUUUUAUUGUUCAUCAUCAGCCCCUGAGGCAAUCCACCACACCACAAACUAGAGUAGGGUAUUACACCACAAUGGUGGCCUGAACUAGUAUAAACCUUGCGUCCCUUGUGUUGUUCUUCGUGUAGUUUAGAUCCUUUGCGAGGCGACGAGACGUGAGUUGGUCGAGGGAGUGAUCUCCGCGCGCACCCCAGAGCUCGAACCUUAAGGGUCUGCCGGAACCCGAAAUCCGACACCUCCGAGGACAAUAACCUUAUAUUUAAGGAGAAGAGUUUAAAGUUUAGCAUGACUUAGCUCUCUCGUCGCUGCCCUGGCGUCCUUCGCGUUAGUAGGCAACACCGCUCUCUUGGGUGCUUUUUCCGUGGGAAUCGUGGCGACGAAGAACUGCCAGGCCAACUACUAGACCAGAUUCUCACCAUUGCGCUCCCCUACCUAGCGAGCCAAAGAUGUUGGUGGGAAACAACACCUAUGGGAUCACAAGAAUCUCUACUACUGUUGCAGGGCGCGUGAUCGUGAGAAGAGCGGGACUAGUAAUCAGCACAAGGGUGGUUUACCCAGGUUCGGGCCGCAAAGAUGCAUAAAACCCUACAGUCCUGCUUUGGUGGUUGUAUUCAGUGUUCUUGAGCUCCUGAACUAGCUAUGGGUGCUGCCUGGUUCCAAAGAGCCGAAUCCUUUUCCGGUGCGCCAUGGGCCUCCUUUUAUAGGUGAAAGGGGCUGCCACAGUGGCACACAGGAGGUGGAAAGGCCUACAGUGUUGCGAGCUUAUCGCCUGUAUUACAGGACAAGACACAUUUAAUGCGUGGCUUAGGUGUCCUUCUACUUUAUCGGGCACGAGGGAGAGGCCUGUCCCAUCCAUCGCCGCUCCUUCUUGCUUCGACUUGCGCCCUGGCCAGCGAUGCAUGCGAUGCCAUGUAGGCAGGCAAGCAGCUGAGGUGGCGUGGUGGUGGAGCCUCCACGAAGGGCUGCAUGCUGCCACGCAGGUGGCUGCCCGGCUGGUUGGGUCGAUAGCUGCAUGCGAACGGCAGUGGAGACUAGGCUGGUGCGGUCCUAGCAGUGCCCCCACUGGCGCCCUCGGCAAGGAUCCUGCCGGGUGGCCCGGGAAGGGUCUUGCCGUGGCGCGCUAUUGUCCCUGGCAAGGACCUUGCCGGGAUCCUCGUGGGCUUCCUCGGCAAGAACCUUGCCGAGGAUUGUUGCCUUCCAAUCCUCAUCUGAUCUUGAAUAAUCUUUGUCUUCACAAAGAUCUGCAUGCCACCAUGGAGGUGCCUCCCGAGCCCUGUCCCAACGUAGUUGCUGGCGUUGGAGACUAUGGGCUUUGAGGGUGGCUCGCUCCAUUGGUGUGGGCGAGCUGCCCCAGCAAGGGCCUUGCCAAGGCCACUGGGGCUGCCCGGCAAGGGUCCUUGCCGGGGAAACCUGCUUCGCCCAUUCGAUCUUUGUGGCCUUGGUCCUUCGUGUUGCUUUGUUUGCUUCAUGCCUUCGGCUUCUCUCCGGCUUCCCUACCUUGCCCUGUUAUGCGUGGCCGUGGCGGGUGCCUCUGAAUGCCCGUGCACAAGUAAAGGGGUCAAAAGGAGAGCCCCUACUUUUGUACACCAACAGCGGGCACAACCGAUCCCACUUCCCCAUGUUCGGACCGCAGCCUAUAAAUUGGGAGGAGGGGGCGGAGGAGAUUAUUCUCAUUUGCGCCCCCAUCUUCUUCCUUCUCUCUUGCUGCUGCGACCGCCGAGCGCGGCGCCACUCUUCCUUCUCGGGCCAGACUUCGCCACCAAUCUUUCUCCUUGUCUUCUUUCUUGUGCCCCGCCUCGUAAAUGGUGAUGUCGUCCGGCUCGUGGAUGGGAUCCACCGUCAGCAAGGAGGACAUCCAGUACCCGUGCAACAUGUGGCGGCUGCCGCUAGAGACGGUGGUAGCUAUGUGCUUGCCGGGGGCAAGCAAGAGCCGCGGCCGGAGGAGACCGAGCGCAUGGUCUUCUUCACGUACUUCAAACACGGGUUCGGUCUACCCGCGAGUGAUUUCUUCCGCUUGUUCCUAGAGUUCCAGCCACACCAUCUGGGCACGAUCGCCAUUCUGUAGCUCUCUGGGUUCAUCACCCUGUGCGAGGGGUACCUGGGCAUCGAGCCCACAAUCGACGUUUGGGUGCACCUCUUCUUCUUGAAGCAGCAGGGGCCCGGAGCUAUGUCCGCCUAUGUGGCCGUCGUCAUCAUGUUGCGGUCAUGCGGGGGGUGCCCCAUGAUGUCGUUGUAGGAUUCUGCCAAGAAGUGGCAGAACUCCUUCUACAUCAGCAACCUGGGCGCAGACUACAUCAACUUGACGCCCUUCAUUGAUGCGACGCCGCAGGGGAGGACCAACUGGUCCUACUUCCCCAAGAAUCUAUCACGGGAGGUGCUCGACCUAUGAGCUCGGGUCGCGGUGAUGAAAGCGUGGGAGGGUCUCACUGGCACGGACCGCAUUGCCACCUUCAUCAUGCGUCGGAUUCUGCUGCUGCAGCAUCGUACCAACAGGAUGUCGCCCCUGCACCUAACGGCGGAGCAGAUUUCCGGUUGGGUCAACGACAUCUCGAAGGCCAGGCUGAAGGAGGGGUGGCGGUUUGGGAAGCCUCCCUACAACCAAGGGAACACGACACCAGCGGUGAGUCCUUGGUCCUUGUUCUUCGUUGUUGCUCAUCUUCUUAUCCAUCCCGACGUGACGAGGGAGAUACUGCUGAACACCAUCCGACAUCCACAUAUGACGGGAUGACGAUGCAGGUGGUGCAGGCUGGCUCGGAGGAGGCGGCGGCACUGCUCGGGGAGCCGGAGGUGGAUGACACCGACGCCGGCGUGGCACGCCAUGCGGGUAAGUUUUUGUGUCUUGAUUUCUUGUGAUGCCAGCUGAAUGGUGGCGUGGUGAUGCCAAGGAAGCUGGUGACGCAGCAGCACCGAGGGGAGGGGGCGGUGNNNNNNNNNNNNNNNNNNNNNNNNNNNNNNNNNNNNNNNNNNNNNNNNNNNNNNNNNNNNNNNNNNNNNNNNNNNNNNNNNNNNNNNNNNNNNNNNNNNNNNNNNNNNNNNNNNNNNNNNNNNNNNNNNNNNNNNNNNNNNNNNNNNNNNNNNNNNNNNNNNNNNNNNNNNNNNNNNNNNNNNNNNNNNNNNNNNNNNNNNNNNNNNNNNNNNNNNNNNNNNNNNNNNNNNNNNNNNNNNNNNNNNNNNNNNNNNNNNNNNNNNNNCUGUUGGUUGGGCACACCUCUUUCAUUGACACCGGAGGAUCUUUGAAUCAGCUUCCUUUUUCCUUACUUUCUUAUUUUGUCGCUUUAGAUCGCCGGUUUCGCUGGCGCGGGCGACAAUGAAGGCCACGUCCUUGGGAGGCGCCGUGUUCCGGAGGACCCGGUCGAGCGCCAUCGACCAGGAUGAGGAGAUGGCCAACCCGGACCUUGGCCUGGACCCGACCAACGCCAAGGGUCUGGCCUGGCGGGACCAAAACAGGGUCGUGGCGACGAUGGAGGAGGCGUCGGCCCAGGCUUGGGCCCGGGCCGUGGUGGCGAUGGGCGGACCGAUGGAAGGCCGGCGGGGCCGGAGGCGCCGGUGGGCAUGGAGCCAGCAACGACGGCUCUUGUGCCAUCGUCGGAGGGGGAGCGCGGCCGGUUGGCCGGGCGGAGACGGUGGUGGAUGAUCGGGAGAUCGUGGUGAUCGAGGACGGCACCCUGUUGCAGACCGACGUGGUCGAGCUGGUCGAGGUAGAGGGAGGAGGUGGCGGGGCCGCCCUGCAGGAGGAGCCGCGGGUGGCAGAUGACAAGGUGCCUCGGGCGCCAACAGACGAGGCACCACAGGACAUGGCACCGCAGGUGACGCCGGCCGUCGUGUCGAAGGAUACGCCAGUCGGCGAGGGGGAAGCGAGCGGCAAACAUGCCCUGGUGAUCCGGCCAGGGAGUCGUCAGGACGCCGGGUGGCAGCAGACUCGGUUUGGGCCUAGCGAGGUCGCGUUAGGGCCCUUGACGCGGGAGGAGGCAGUGAUGGCCGCCGUGAGUCAGCGCCUCCACGAGCACGUAGAGCGGGUGCAUGCCUUCACUCAUGCUGAAGUAGAGCAGGGACGCGAGCUGGAGCAUGCCGUGAUGGUAAGCUUUUUUCCCUUCAUCUUUUGCUUUCUUCUUGCGGCUAGUUAGUGGGGGGGCGCUAGCGCACCCACUGGGUGUAGCCCCCGAGAUUCGGGCCAACUACGUAGUAGUUGGGUCGAAUCUUAAGUGUUCUGUCUUGUGUUGAUUUUCGUUCUUCGCAACAACUGGACGCCCACCGGGUCGGCGUAUUCAACCGGCUCCUGGAGAAGCAUCGGCAGCUCAAGGCGCAGCUCGUCGUCAAGGAGGAGCUCCGCGUUGCCGAAGGUAAGGCUCUCUUGUGCUCUUUAGUAGGGGUGCGCUAGCGCACACACUGGGUGUAGCCCCCGAGAUUCGGGCCAACUACGUAGUAGUUGGGUCGAAUCUUAAUGUAGUCUUGUCUUUGUUCUGAUUCUGAGCUUGUUGUGCAGCCGUUGUGGCCGCGACGCUGAUACAUCUCCAGCGUAUCUAUAAUUUUUGAUUGUUCCAUGCUAUUAUAUUAUCUGUUUUGGAUGUUUAAUGGGAUUUAAUAUGCUCUUUAUAUUAUUUGUGGGACUAACCUAUUAAUCGGAGGCCCAGUGCCAGUUUCUCUUUUUUGCCUAUUUUAGAGUUUUGCAGAAAAUAAUACAUAACGGAGUCCAAACAGAAUGAAACAUUCGCGAUGAUCUUUCUUCAACCGAAAGCAAACCAGAAGACUUGGAGUUGAAGUCAGAAACGCCACGAGGCAUCCACGAGGCAGGAGGGCGCGCCCAGGGGUGUAGGUGCGCCCCCACCCUCGUGGGACCCUUGUAGCUCCACCGAUGUACUUCUUUCGCCUAUAUAUACUCUUAUACCCUAGAAACAUCAGGGAGAACCAUGAAACCACUUUUCCACCGCCGCAACCUUCUGUACCCAUGAGAUCCCAUCUUGGGGCCUUUUCCGGCGAUCUGCCGGAGGGGGGAUCGAUCACAGAGGGCUUCUACAUCAACACCAUUGCCUCUCCAAUGAAGCAUGAGUAGUUUACCACAGACCUUCGCGUCCAUACUUAUUAGCUAGAUGGCUUCUUCUCUCUCUUUGAUUCUCAAUACAAAGUUCACCUCGAUGUGCUUGGAGAUCUAUUCGAUGCAAUACUCUUUUGCGGAGUGUUUGCCGAGAUACGAUGAAUUGUGGAUUUAUGAUUAAGAUUAUCUAUGAAUAUUAUUUGGUUCUUCUCUGAAUUCUUAUAUGCAUGAUUUGAUAUCUUUGCAAGUCUCUUCGAAUUAUCGUUUUAGUUUGGCCUACUAGAUUGAUCUUUCUUGCCAUGGAAGAAGUGCUUAGCUUUGGGUUCAAUCUUGCGGUGUCCUUUCCCAGUGACAGUAGGGGCAUCAAUGCAUGUAUUGUAUUGUUGUCAUCAAGGAUAAAAAGAUGGGAUUUAUAUCAUAUUGCUUGAGUUUAUCCCUCUACAUCAUGUCAUCUUGCUUAAUGCAUUACCCCGUUCUUAUGAACUUAAUACUCUAGAUGCAUGCUGGAUAGCGGUUGAUGUGUGGAGUAAUAGUAGUAGAUGCAGAAUCAUUUCGGUCUACUUGACACGGAUGUGAUGCCUAUGUUCAUGAUCAUUGCCUUAGAUAUCUUCAUAAUUAUGCACUUUUCUAUCAAUUGCUCGGCAGUAAUUUGUUCACCCAUCAUAAUACAUGCUAUCUCGAGAGAAGUCACUAGUGAAACCUAUGGCCACCGGGCCUCUUUUCUAUUAUAUUACAUCUCUUUUCCAUUAUAUUGCAUCUCUUUGAAUCUCAUUUACUAUUUUGCAAUCUUUACUUUCCAAUCUAUACAACAAAAAUAUUUACUUUACUUUACUAUCUCUAUUAGAUCUCACUUUUGCGAGUGACCAUGAAGGGAUUGACAACCCCUUAUUCGCGUUGGUUGCAAGGUUCUUGAUUGUUUGUGCAGGUAGUAGGUGACUUGUGCGUCAUCUCCUACUAGAUGGACACCUUGGUUCUCAAAACUGAGGGAAAUACUUAUGCUUCUUUGAUGUAUCACCCUUUCCUCUUCAAGGAAAAAACCAACGCAAGCUCAAGAGGUAGCAAGAAGGAUUUAUGGCGCCGUUGCCGGUGUCGGAGUAAAUGACCACGGGUAGCCUUGCGGGCUCCGCCUGGCUCUUCGAAACAUUGGGCCAAUUUCGCCCCUCAAGCAUUCAAGACGAAGGGCCGCCUUCUUGUGGCCAGCUAUGACACGACCGGCUGCGGGUAGGCGGCAGAGAUCAGUAUAUCAGCCUAAAGCGGGCCGACUCCUAGUAGGCGGCCACUAGAGUGGCCGGCCUCUAGUAGGCGGCCCACCCCAUAUACCCUCAAAGUUUGCACCCACAUAAUGGUGAUAGGACAGGGCAUGGCUACAGUGAAGCCUGCCACCCCCGAAUCUCGGAGCGGGCAUGGCAACAGUGCGUCGUACCGGUCGUCCAUCCCCCGCCUGGCGCGGCACUGUUGCCGUGUUGAUUGUGACAUCACCCAUGACGGACUGACAGUACGACUCAUAGACGGCGGGCCCCUCAUGCCAGUGAGCCCUCCCAAGGCGGCCAGGUCAGUCCAGUUGGCUCAAGGGGAAGCCGGCCCCUGGCAGCCGGCCAACCCUUCCUUGGAAGUUUGUGCACUAUCAAGCGGAUGAGGCGGGGUAAGGCUACAGUAAGCGCCCGCCAGGUGGUGGUACUGUAGCCAUGCUUUCCCCGACAAAGCCAUCGUCAUCAAGGGCGAUGCUACAGUAAUAAGCUGCCGACAAGACGCCCAAGCGGUGGGCCCAGCCUGUCGACCAAGAAGCCGGCAGCCGGCAGGACCCACCAGUCGGCGGACCCCAGCAGCCGGCGGAGAAGCCGGCGCCAAUAGACACUAACGGCUUGGAUCCAUGUCCAGCCGGAUUACCAUUGUACCCCUGGGGUAGGCCUAUAUAAACCCCCCAGGGCACCCAUGCAAAGGGUUGAGCUCUUAGGAUGACACACACACAUAUAGAGAGAAGAGGUUAGCUAGCCUUGCCCUUCUUCUUCUUCUAACAAACAGCUCAAGGAGCCUGAGGGAGUCCUUGAUAAGGGGGUAUCCGGACAGCCGGACUAUAUUCAUCGUCUGGACUAUAGAAGCGUCAAGAUACAAGACUCAAGGCUUCGGCUCGUGUCCGGGUGGGACUCUCCUUUGCGUGGAAGACAAGCUUGGCAAUCCGGAUAUUAUGUUUCCUUCCUUGUAACCGACUCCAUGUAAACCCUAGCUCUCCGGUGUCUAUAUAAACCGGAGAGCAUGGUCCUUAGAAGGCCGAUCAUAAUUACAAUCAUACCAUCAUAUGCUAGCUCUUAGGGUUUAGCCUCUACGAUCUCCUGGUAGAUCUACUCUUGUACUACACAUAUCUUCAAUAUUAAUCAAGCAGGAAGUAGGGUUUUUGAGGGAGUCCUGGAUUAGGGGGUGUCCGGAUAGCCGGACUACCAUCAUCAGCCGAACUAUCAUCGGCCGGACUAUCAUCAUCGACCGGACUCCAAGACUAUGAAGAUACAAGAUUGAAGACUUCGUCCCGUGUCCGGAUGGGACUUUCCUUGGCGUGGAAGGCAAGCUUGGCGAUACGGAUAUGUAGAUCUCCUACCAUUGUAACCGACUCUAUGUAACCCUAGCCCUCUCCGGUGUCUAUAUAAACCGGAUGGCUCUAGUCCGUAGGACACAACAACAACCAUUACAAUCAUACCAUAGGGUAGCUUCUAGGGUUUAGCCUCCUUGAUCUCGUGGUAGAUCCACUCUUGUAAACAUCCACAAGAUCAAUAUCAAUCAAGCGGGACGUAAGGUUUUACCUCCAUCAAGAGGGCCCGAACCUGGGUAAAACAUCGUGUCCCUUGUCUCCUGUUACCAUCUGCCUAGACGCACAGUUCGGGACCCCCUACCCGAGAUCCGCCGGUUUUGACACCGACAUUGGUGCUUUCAUUGAGAGUUCCUCUGUGUCGUCACCGAUAGGCUUGAUGGCCUCUUCAAUCGACAACGACACAGUCCUGGGUGAGACUUUUCCCCCCGGACAGAUCUUCGUAUUCGGCGGCUUCGCACUACGGGCCAACUCACUUGGCCAUCUGGAGCAGAUCGAAAGCUACGCCCCUGGCCGUCAGGUCAGGUUUGGAAGCCUAAACUUCACGGCCGAUAUCCGCGGGGACUUGAUCUUCGAUGGAUCUGAGCCACAGCCGAGCGUGCCGCGCUGUCACGAUGGGCACGACCCAACUCUGCCGCUGGACAGCACCUUGGAGGCCGCACACGAAUCCGCUCCGGCCCAUAGUCCGGAGCCGAUCGCACAGAUCAAGGACGGAUGGCUGGACACCGCCUCGGGAGCUGCAACUUCUACGGUGAUGGAGCCGAACACUUAUCUUGUCCCGCAUAAAGCUCAUGACUCCGAGGUGCCGGACUCCCUGCCGGACUCCGAACCUCCUGCGCCCCUGCCAGUCGAAUCCGAUUGGGCGCCGAUCAUGGAGUUCACCGCUGCGGACAUCUUUCAACACUCACCCUUCGACGACAUCUUAAAUUCGCUGAAGCACCUCUCGCUAUCCGGAGAGCCCUGGCCGGACUACGGCCAGGAUGGUUGGGAUGCGGACGACGAAGAAAUUCGGACCCCACCCACCACCCACUACGUAGCCACCGUCGACGAUCUAACCGACGUACUCGACUACGACUCCGAAGACAUCGACGGUAUGGACGAUGAUGCAGGAGACUAUCAAGAGCCAGCGCCUACAGGACACUGGAAAACCACCUCGUCAUACGACAUAUACAUGGUGGACACCCCAAAAGAUGGGGACGGCGAAGAAGCAGCGGAGGCAGAUUCCUUAAAGAGACAGCCCAAGCGCCAACGUCAGCGGCGCCACUCUAAAUCCCGCCACAGCAAGAAUGGAGAUUCCGGCACAGGAGAUAAUAACACCCUAGAAAGUGCCGAAGAUAACCCCCUCCAGCAAGAUUCAGCGCAGGAGGAGGCAGAAGCAAGCCCUCACGAGAGGGCGGCAGACGAAGAGGUCGAGGAUGAUAAUUACAUACCUCCGUCCGGAGACGACGCAAGCCUCGACGACGAUGAAUUCGUCGUGUCUGAGGAUCCCAUCGAACAAGAGCGUUUCAAACGCAGGCUAAUGGCCACAGCAAAUAGUCUAAAGAAAAAGCAGCAACAGCUUCAAGCUGAUCAAGACCUGCUGGCCGACAGAUGGACCGAGGUCCUCGCGGCCGAAGAGUAUGAACUCGAACGCCCCUCCAAAAGCUACCCAAAACGCAAGUUGCUCCCCCGACUAGAGGAGGAAGCAUACAAACCGGCACCACUAGCGCACAAUACGGCAGACCGACCACCUCGUGGCCGGGACAGAGAGGCAUGUAAGCCCUCCACCAAAACCGUACCCCGACACCGCUCAAAAAGCGCGAAGCCACGAGGGAACGCGCCGGACUUGCGGGACAUAUUGGAGGACAAGGCAAGACAAUCCAGAUCUAUCUAUGGAUCACGUGGGCGCCCCAAGACCCACAACGAAUACCGUCGCGCCGGAUACAACUACUCCGAUCGGGCCGAACACAGCAGACAACGCUCUCUUGAGCUAUGUCGCGACAUUGCGCAAUACAGAGGCGCCGCACACCCACUAUGCUUCACUGAUGAAGUAAUGGAUCAUCAAAUCCCUGAAGGGUUUAAACCCGUUAAUAUCGAAUCCUACGAUGGCACAACAGACCCCGCGGUUUGUAUUGAGGAUUAUCUCCUCCAUAUACAUAUGGCCCGUGGCAACGAUCUUCACGCCAUCAAAUAUCUCCCGCUCAAGCUUAAAGGACCAGCUCGGCAUUGGCUUAACAGCCUGCCGACAGAGUCAAUUGGAUGCUGGGAAGACCUGGAAGCCGCAUUCCUCGACAACUUCCAGGGCACGUAUGUGCGACCACCGGACGCAGAUGACCUAAGCCACAUAAUCCAGCAGCCAGACGAAUCGGCCAGGCAAUUCUGGACACGGUUCUUAACAAAGAAAAAUCAAAUCGUCGACUGUCUGGAUGCAGAGGCCCUCGCUGCCUUCAAACAUAACAUCCGCGACGAGUGGCUGGCCCGGCACCUAGGACAGGAAAAGCCGAAAUCCAUGGCAGCCCUCACAUCACUCAUGACCCGCUUCUGUGCGGGAGAGGAUAGCUGGCUAGCUCGCAGCAACAACCUCAGCAAAAACGCUGGCAGUCCGAUACCAAGGACUGCAAUGGCAGGUCGCGUCAAAACAAAAACAAACGCCGCAUUAACGGCGACAGCAAUGAGGAUACGACAGUCAACGCCGGAUUCCGAGGCUCCAAGCCCGGUCAACGGAAGAAGCCAUUCAAAAGAACCACUCCGGGACCGUCCAAUCUGGAUCGAAUACUCGACCGCUCCUGUCAAAUACAUGGAACCCCGAAAAGCCAGCUAACCACACCAACAGAGAUUGUUGGGUAUUCAAGCAGGCAGGCAAAUUAAUCGCCGAAAACAAUGACAAGGGGCUACACAGCGAUGACGAGGAAGAGACCCGGACACCGAACAACAGAGGACAAAAGGGAUUCCCCCCUCAAGUUCGGACGGUAAACAUGAUCUACGCAACGCAUAUACCCAAGAGGGAGCGGAAGCGUGCACUAAGGGACGUAUACGCGAUGGAGCUGGUCGCCCCAAAAUUCAACCCAUGGUCCUCUUGCCCGAUCACUUUCGAUCGAAGAGACCAUCCGACCAGUAUCCGCCAUGGCGGAUUCGCCGCAUUGGUUUUAGACCCAAUCGUUGAUGGAUUUCACCUCACGAGAGUCCUGAUGGACGGCGGUAGUAGCCUGAACCUGCUUUAUCAGGAUACAGUGCGCAAGAUGGGCAUAGACCCUUCAAGGAUUAAACCUACAAAGACAACCUUCAAAGGCGUCAUACCAGGUGUCGAGGCUAGUUGUACAGGCUCAGUUACACUGGAAGUGGUCUUCGGAUCCCCGGAUAAUUUCCUAAGCGAGGAGUUAAUCUUCGAUAUAGUCCCGUUCCGCAGUGGCUAUCACGCUCUGCUCGGACGAACCACAUUCGCAAAAUUCAACGCGGUGUCGCAUUAUGCAUACCUUAAGCUCAAGAUGCCAGGCCCUCGCGGAGUCAUCACGGUCAAUGGAAACACGGAACGCUCCCUCCGAACGGAGGAACAUACAGCGGCUCUCGCGGCAGAAGUACAGAGCAGUCUUUUAAGGCAAUUUUCGAGUCCGGCCAUUAAACGGCCGGACACGUCCAAACGCGCCCGGAGCAACAUCAACCAAGACCACCUGGCACGUUCCGAGCAUGCGUAGCAAUGCGGCCCCAACCCCAGCCCUCGCACAAUUGCAAGACAAACUCUCCGCGUACAUAAUUACGCCCUGGAGAUACCAUGGGUCUAGGGGAAGGGGCACGACCACAACAAACCCAGAGUGCGGUUCGACCACACCAGGGGCUCCGAAGUGUGUCGCUCUUUUUAUCUUUUAUUUUUCUCCUUUUUUUACAGGACUCCGUCCGGCGGUGAACCUGUCGAACUCAUGAUACAACAUCCAGGGAGAGACAAAGGCCGCGACGAACACUCAGGUGGUCUCCAUUACGAGCAUUAAAUUUGUUAAAUACACCAUUCCGCGGCCUACCCCUGGAGGGAGACGCCUUUAAUUCGUCCAAUCCCUUGCUUUCCGCACUAUUUGUAUCAUUUCGCACUCAUAGCAGACCUUCUUGAAUAAAAUGCAGAAUUUUUUGCCCAUAAUUGCAUUACUUUCUAUAUAUAUAUGUUCAUUUACGACAUGUUGCAUCCGUAUAUUUUGGUACGGCCGAAUACACCAGGGGCUUAUGUUCCCCGCAUUAUGGUGUGAUAAAGUCUGAACACUUUCACAAGUGCGGCACCCCGAACUUAUAGCAUUAUAUGAAUCGGCUCCGAAUCAUGUCUUGGGUCAAUAGUUGGGUUUGCCCGGCUCCCAUGUUUGGCACCUUACGUUUCCGUUCUAUCGGCUAAGGUAGCACUGGGAGAACCACUGCGAUUGCGCCCCGGUUGAGCCGGGUUAACGCCUCAGUGGAGAAAUAUAAAACUGACCGUCAUGAUAAGGCGAGAGACUGGUCGCUGUUCGAGAGGUUUUUUCGGGUCCUUAAAGACCUACGCCGCUUCAAGCGAAGUUCCGGAUAAUGUCCGACGAAAGGCGUGGAUAGCGCCCCGAAUUCGGUCUUCUGAAUACUAGGGGCUUCGCCGAAAUUUAAAAUUAUAGAAUUCUAUGGCUAAGUGAGAGUGUUCAAGCAUUAUAAGUCCGGUUGCCUUGUUCGUUGUGUUGAGCGCCUCCCUAGAUGGACCCAACAAUGGGAACAAGAGUGCUCAAGUUUAUCCCGAACACCCCAGCACUCGCGGCAUGGGGGCUGAAGCCGACGACUUGCCAUCUCUUAGAUUUAACAAACGGCCGCACAGAAGGUAAUAUUUUAAAUUCAACAAGCGUUGCUUAGCGCAUAUGAACAAAGUUUUCAGCGCACAGGAUACUACAUAGCGAGUUUACUCAAUAAUUACAUCUCGGGGGCACUCAUCCGCAAUCUUGCGGGCACCCUUCAGGACAGUCUUAUAGUACAUUUUGGGCGUAUGAUAUUCCUUGCCCGUUGGUGGCGCGUCAGUGAUUAGCUUCUCCACAUCCAACUUGCCCCAAUGCACCUUUGCGCGAGCAAGGGCCCGACGAGCACCUUCAAUACAGGCGGAGCGCUUGAUGACCUCCACCCAGGGGCACGCGUCCACCAGCCGCCGCACGAGGCCGAAGUAGCUUCCAGGCAUGGCCUCUCCAGUCCACAGCCGGACUAUGAGGCCCUUCAUGGCCUCCUCAGCUACCUUGUGGAGUUCGACCAGUUGCUUCAGCUGGUCGCUAGGGUGCACCGGAUGGCCGGCCUCAGCAUACUGAGACCAGAAGACCUUCUCCGUUGAGCUUCCCUCCUCACCACGGUAGAAUGCGGCGGCAUCAGAUGCACUGCGAGGCAAAUCUGCAAAUGCCCCUGGAGAGCUCCGAAUCCGGGUAAGUGUCAGGUAGUUUACAUUAACAUGCUUGCUUUGCAUGAAAAAUGCCUUACCCGCCGCUAUUUUCCUCACAUCUUCCACCUCCUGAAGGGCCUUAUGGGCCUCGGCCUUGGCAGCUUCGGCACUUUCGAGAGCCGAGGCAAGCUUGGACUCUCGAUUCUUGGAGUCGCGCUCCAAACUCUCAUGCUUUUCCAUGAGAGCCUGGAGCUCUUGCCGAAUCGCCGCCACCUGCGCCUCCUGCUUUUCUCGCUCUGUCCGUUCCGUGGCCGCCCUGCGUUCGGCCGCGGACACGGCUUCCUUCAGGGUUGCCACCUCGUUCGUGGCCCCUGCAGUACCCAUGUUAUCCUUAUUAUUUUUUGUUGCAACCUAAAUCCUUUUCUGUAAGGUGCAAGUUCAAAGUGGUGUUACUCAGCUUCUUUGUCCUGGAGCUGCUUCUUGGCGCAGCCGAGCUCUUGCUCGGAUCGCUCGAGCUCCUGCUUCACAGCACCGACCUCCACAGUCAGUGCGGCAGAGGUCAGCAGCACAGCCUGCAACACAUAUUGACAUAAUUUUUUAGCAACCCUGCGUAUAUCUUUUUAGAUCCUCAGUCCGGCUUUUCUUUUCGAACACCGAACCGAGCAUCAGGGGCUACUGUCUAUGCGGUAUUACAUUACAUAAUUUUAGCUUCUUACCUCAAAGCCUGAUAGAAGGCUACUGCAGGCUUCGGUCAGCCCGCUCUUGGCGAGCUAUACCUUCUGAAUCACCGCACUCAUAAUAGUGCGGUGUUCUUCCUUGAUGGAAGCGCUCUGGAGCGCCUCCAACAAAUUGUCCGGCGCCUCCGGUUGGACGGAAGCCGCCAGCGUCACGGUCUUGCCCUUCUUGCGAAGGGGCCGCCGGCCAGACUCCAGAACCACUGUGGGUUCUGAUAUGGAGUCCGGUGCAGAGUCCGGGAGGCCGCCUUGUGGCGCCUCCGGACCCUCCCCCUGAUGGGUCCCUUCUUGGGAUCCCACCUCGGCGUCCUCGGGGUCGCGAGGGGUGGAGGCGGUCGGGAUGGAGUCUACAUCCGAGGGAGCCAAUGACCCGCUCGAUGAAGCGGGGAGAUCAUCAUUGGCCGGACUACAGGCAGCAUGCGGCAUCAGAAUGACACUAUGUGACACAGAAAAAGAAAUUAUAACUCAUUCAGGAAUCUGGAUACUUACGAUCUCGCCGGAGGCCUGGCCCUUGAAGGCCAUUCUUGCUCGUCAACGUUGAUGUUGGCGAAGCUGUCCGGGGGAAUAGUCCUUCCCCUCUUGGACCCUUCGGCCUCCCCUGUUGGGGAAGCCUUCCUCUUCUUCUCUCCCUCCUCUGGGAGAGAGUCCUCCUUCUCCUCGUUUUCAGGGGAGGAGUCCGCCCCGGAGUCGUCGGACACCUGAAAAUGGGAACUCUUUCGAGAACCCGUGGCCUCCUUCUUGGCCUUCUUCUCCGGCACCACGUGCGGUGCCGGAACCAGCAGCCUCGCUAGAUGGGCGUCUACUGGGUUUUCUGGCAUGGGAGCCGGGCAGAUAAUCUGCUCCGCCUUCCUCAUCCAGUCCUGUCAAAGGAAAAGGGGAAAUUAAAACCCGCAUAGAGUCAAACUAUGAGAAGCAAGUGUCCCGUAAAGGGGUAGAAUCACUUACCUUGUCGGCUUUGCGCUGCGAGCGAAAUCUGCGAUCUUCAGUCGCGGAUGCGGGGGCUUCGGCGCCCUUAAACAACACCCUCCAGGCGCCUUCGUACGUCAUGUCGAAGAGCCCGCUCAGCGCCUGGUGCUGUUCCGGAUUGAACUCCCAUAGAUUGAAUGCCCGCUCUUGGCAUGGGAGAAUCCGGCGGACGAGCAUGACUUGGACCAUGUUAACCAGCCUGAGCUUCUUCACCAGCUUCUGGAUACAGGCUUGGAGUCCCUUCAGCUCCUCCGAACUACCCCAUAGCAAGCCCUUCUCUUUCCAGGAGGUGAGCUGCGUGGGGAUACCAGAUCUGAACUCGGGGGCCGCCGCCCACUUAGGGUCGCGCGGCUCGGUGAUAUAGAACCACCCCGAUUGCCACCCCUUGACGGAUUCCACGAAGGCCCCUUCGAAUCAAAGGACAUUGGGCAUCUUGCCCAAUAUGGCGCCUCCGCACUCCGCUUGAGUGCCCUUCACUACCUUCGGCUUGACAUUGAAGGUCUUGAGCCACAAGCCGAAGUGGGGCUGGAUGUAGAGGAAGGCCUCGCACACGACGAUAAACGCCGAGAUGUUGAGGAUGAAGUUCGGCGCCAGAUCAUGGAAAUCCAGGCCGUAUUAGAACAUGAGCCCCCGGACAAAGGGGUGAAGUGGAAAACCCAGUCCACGGAGGAAGUGGGGAAGAAAAAGGACCCUCUCAUGGGGCCUGGGGGUGGGGAUGAGCUGCCCCUCGUCGGGCAGCCAGUGCGCAAUGUCGCCGGACAGGUAGUCGGUGCUGCGCAGUUUUUCGAUGUGCUCCUCCGUAACGGAGGAGUUCAUCCACUUGCCUCCCGCUCCAGACAUGACUGGGGAAGGUUGAGACGAGAUGUGCGGGCUUGGGCGCUGGAGCUCGAGUGCGCGGAGAUGGAUAAGCAAAGGAGGAAGAAGGCGUGGGUGAAAAGGUGAAUCCUUAUCCCUUAUAUGGGCGGGCGAAGUCUACGCGUCCCCCACCGGCCUGGUAAAACUCGCUUAUCCCCCAAGUGUCACCAUCAAUGGCGCGGUUGGGUUACCCACGUCCGUAUUGAUGAGAAUCCCGGAUUAAGGGGGAACACGAUCUCUGCUUCGACAAGACGUGCCAAGGAAACCGCUUCGCUAAAUGCGCUGAGGCGGUAGAGUAAAAGACGAUUCAAGUAAUGGCUUGGUAGUGGUGUGACGUCAUGCUGCAAAAAAAUGUCAGCAGAUCGAACUUGUGCAUAUAUUAUUCUCUCUACGGUGGAAUGUGGAAUUUAUUUUGCAGAGCCGGACACUAUCCUGGUGUUCACAAUCUUCUAUCAUUCGGAGGAGGAACCCGCCUUGCAAUGCCAAGCAAUAUACGCGCCGGACUUAUUGUAAUUGAAGCCUGGUUUAGGGGCUACUGAGGGAGUCCUGGAUUAGGGGAUGUCCGGAUAGCCGGACUACCAUCAUCAGCCGAACUAUCAUCGGCCGGACUAUCAUCAUCGACCGGACUCCAAGACUAUGAAGAUACAAGAUUGAAGACUUCGUCCCGUGUCCGGAUGGGACUUUCCUUGGCAUGGAAGGCAAGCUUGGCGAUACGGAUAUGUAGAUCUCCUACCAUUGUAACCGACUCUAUGUAACCCUAGCCCUCUCCGGUGUCUAUAUAAACCGGAUGGCUCUAGUCCAUAGGACACAACAACAACCAUUACAGUCAUACCAUAGGCUAGCUUCUAGGGUUUAGCCUCCUUGAUCUCGUGGUAGAUCCACUCUUGUAAACAUCCACAAUAUCAAUAUCAAUCAAGCAGGACGUAGGGUUUUACCUCCAUCAAGAGGGCCCGAACCUGGGUAAAACAUCGUGUCCCUUGUCUCCUGUUACCAUCCGCCUAGACGCACAGUUCGGGACCCCCUACCCGAGAUCCGCCGGUUUUGACACCGACAGUUUUACUUCCAUCGAGAGGGCCCGAACCUGGGUAAACAUUGUGUCCCUUGCUUCCUGUUACCAUCAGCCUAAGAUGCACAGAUCGGGACCCCCUACCCGAGAUUCGCCGGUUUUGGCACCAACAUUGGUGCUUUCAUUGAGAGUUCCUCUGUGUCGUUGCUGCAGGGUCUGAUGGUGCCUUCAAUCGUCAACAACACGGUCCAGGGUGAAACUUUUGUCCCCGGACAGAUCUUUGUGUUCGGCGGCUUCGCACUGCGGGCCAAUUUGCUUGGCUAGUUGGAGCAGAUUGAUAGCUUCGCCCCUGGCCACCAGAUCAGGUUCAGAAACUUGAACUACACGGCAGAUAUCCGCAGAGACUUGAUCUUCGACGGAUUCGAGCCUGCGCCAGGAACGCCGGAUAGUCAUGACGAGCACGGCCUAGACCUGCUGUCGGACAAUGCUCGGGACAUCAUCCCCGAAGCAGCCCCGGAUCUAAAUCCAGGGCAGGUUGCGUUGCCUAUGGACGGAGGACUGGACCCUGCCCUGCAGGCCGCACACUCGUCGGCGGUGGAGCCGAACACAGAUCUCACCUCUAAGGAGGCCUGUAACCCCGGGCCCCCGGACUUGUAUCCGGUCGUUGGUCCCGGUCCGCUCGCUCUUGUGCCAGCCGAUCCAGGUUGGGCUCCGGUAAUGGAGUUUACCGCUGCGGACAUCUUUCAGCACUCGCCCUUUGGCGACGUGCUGAACUCAUUGAAGUCUCUCUCUUUGUCAGGAGGCUCUAGGCCGAACUAUGUCCAGCUUGAGUGGGAAGCAGGCGACUAAGGAAUUCGUUGCCCACCCACCACCCACUUUGUCGCCACGAUCGAUGAUUUAACCGACGUGCUCGACUUUGACUUCAAAUACAUCGACAGUAUGGAUGACGAUGCAGGAGACAUACAGGAGCCACCGCUCACAGGGCGGUGGACAGCCACCUCUUCAUAUGAUAUAUAUGGUGGACACUCUAAAAGAAACCAAUGGCGAUGAGGCAACGGAGGAUAACCCCUCCAAGAAGAAAGCAAAGCAUGGGCGUCGCCAGCGCCGCUCCAAGCCCUGCCAAGGAAAUACCGGCACCGGAGACGAUAAUAAACCGGACGGUGCCGGCGAUGAAUACAACCCCGAACAGCCCGCCUUCGAGCAGGCCGAACAGGAAGACGGGCAUGACAGCCCAGAUGAACAGGUGACGGACGGGUAUCCGGAGGAGGACAAUUACAUGCCCCUCUCCGAAGACGAGAUUAGCCUCGGUGACGAUGAGUUCGGCGUACCCGAAGAGCCCGCAGAGCAGGAGCGCUUCAAGCCGGCUUAUUGCCACUAUGAGAAGCCUGAAGAAGAAGCAGCAGCAGCUCCUAGCUGAUCAAGAUCUGCUCACAGACAGAUGGACAGAAGUCCUGGCAGCCGAGGAAUAUGGACUCGAGCGCCCCACGGCUGACCGACUGCCUCGAGGUCGGGAACAAAACGGCAUAUCAGCCAAAAUACCAGCCUGCACCCCCGCGCCGGUCUACUAUGGCCCGGGGUAAUACUCAGGACCUGCGCGAUAAACUGGAUAACACCGCAGAACAACCAAGAUGGAUCUACGGAUCACGGGGGCACAUCGAAGCACAUGACGAUGACUGUCAUACCGAAUACACUAAUAGCAAAUCCGACCAGGCCGAAUACAAGCAGUCAGACGCAGCCGGACUGCACCGUGACAUAGCCCAGCACAAAGGCGCCGCACACCCCCUCUGCUUCACUGAUGAAGUAAUGGAUCAUGAAUUCCCAGAAGGGUUUAAACCCGUAAACAUCAAAUCAUAUGAUGGCACAACAGAGCCCGCGGUAUGGAUCGAGGAUUUCCUUCUCCACAUUCACAUGGCCCGCGGAGAUGAUCUACAUGCCAUCAAGUAUCGUCCCCUUAAGCUCAAAGGACCUGCCCGGCACUGGCUAAACAGCCUGCCCGCAAAUUCCAUUGGUAGUUGGGAAAAUCUGGAAGACGCAUUUCUUGACAACUUCCAGGGCACAUAUGUGCGACCUCCGGAUGCCGAUGACUUGAGCCACAUUACUCAACAGCCCGGAGAAUCAGCCAGGAAAUUCUGGACUCGGUUCUUAACUAAAAAGAACCAAAUAGUCGACUGUCCGGACGCCGAAGCACUGGCGGCCUUCAAGCAUAAUAUCCGUGAUGAGUGGCUCGCCAGACACCUCGGCCAGGAGAAACCCAAGUCCAUGGCAGCUCUUAUGACAUUAAUGAUCCGCUUUUGCGCGGGCGAGGACAGCCAGUUGGCUCGCAGUAGCACUAUGCCACAUUUUGGAACUUCAGAUGUCUGGGAUAAUAAUGGCAAGCCACGGCGCAACAGACACAAGCGACGGAACAAUGGUGACAACACCGAGGAUAUGGCGGUCAAUGCCGGAUUCAGCGGAUCCAAAUCCGGUCAGCGAAAGAAGCCAUUCAAGCAUAACAAUCAAGGACCGUCCAGUCUAGAACGUAUACUGGAGCGCUCGUGUUAAAUUCAUGGCACCCUGGACAAGCCAGCCAACCACACCAAUAGAGACUGCUGGGUAUUUAAACAGGCCGGCCAAAUAAACGCCAAACACAAGGACAAGGGGCUGCACAGGGACGAUGACGAUGAGCCCUGGCGUCCGAACAUGGGGGGACAGAAGAAAUUUCCUCCCCAGGUGAAAACGGUCAACAUGAUCUACGCCACCCACAUCCCCAAGCGAGAACGGAAGCAAGCACUACGGGACGUAUACGCGAUGGAGCCAGUCGUCCCUAAAUUCAACCCAUGGUUAGCUUGUCCGAUCACCUUUGAUCGUAGGGAUCAUCCUACUAGCAUCAGUCACGGUGGCUCAGCCGCAUUGGUCUUAGACCCAAUCAUCGACGGAUUCCACCUUACGGAGUCCUCAUGGACGGCGGCAGCAGCCUGAACCUGCUUUACCAGGAUACAGUGCGGAAGAUGGGCAUCGAUCCUUCAAGGAUUAAGCCCACCAAAACCACCUUUAAAGGUGUAAUUCCUGGAGUAGAGGCCCGUUGCACGGGCUCUAUAACAUUGGAAGUGGUCUUCGGAUCUCCGGAUAACUUCCGAAGCGAAGAGCUAAUCUUCCAUAUCGUCCCUUUCCGCAGUGGUUACCACGCACUGCUCAGGCGAACCGCAUUUGCUAGAUUCAAUGCGGUACCACACUAUGCAUACCUCAAGCUCAAGAUGCCAGGCCCGCGCGGGGUCAUAACAGUCAACAAAAACAUGGACUGCUCUCUCCAUACAGAAGAACAUACUACGUCCCUUGCGGCAGAAGUAUAAUGCGGCCUACUCCGGCAAACCACCAAUCCGGCGAAGACAACUUCAAGCUCCGUCAAGCGAGGGCGGAACACCCCGCAGCAGGAUCAGCAGGCACAACAAGAGCACGACUAGCAGUCCGGCCUCCGCUCAGAUACCAUCAAAGCAGCAUUCGUGCCACGCGUACACAAUUACGCACUCAAAAUACCAUGGGCACAUGCGGAGGCAUAACAGUGGCUCAGGCAAUAGUACGGUGUUGCUUCGUAAUCUUUCCUUUUACCUUUAAGGACAUUGCUUUAGUGCAGCUUCUCCAGAAGAGCCGGAUUGUUGAACUUACAUAGGAGAGGAAACCCAGGAGGCAACAGGCUUUGGGCACAGCAGGAAACACCCAGGUGGAAUCUAUUUAUGAUUGUUGUUCCUGUUUUAUCUAUCUGUACGUAGCCUGCCCCUAGAUAGGGUAUGUCAAAUAAUCCUAUUUGUCUCUGCUUAAUGCAUACAUUGUAAACAUACGCCUAAACGUAUUAUUCAUCAAUGGGAGACCAUAUGUAGCGUCAGCUUAAUUAUUUUUAUUUGAGCAUUUUUUAUAAAUGUCUAUUUGAUUUUGCAUCCGUACACUUUGGUACGCUUAGUUUGCCAGGGGCUUCUUAUGGCGCCCCACAAUACGACAAGUUAAGUCCGAACACUUUCAACAGUGCGGCACCCCAAACUUAUAGCAUUAUAUGCAUCAGCUCUGAAUCAUGUCUUGGGUACCAGUUGGGAUAGCCCGGCUCCCUUGUUUUGGUGCCUUAUGUUCCGUUAAUUCCGCUAAGAUAGCGCAGGGAGAACUACUGCGAUUGUGCCCUAGUUUUUCCGGACGAGCACCUCAGUAAAGAAAGCACAAAAUUGUCCGGCAUGAUGUGGCGAGAGCUGGUCGCUGUUCAAGAGGUCUUAAAAUCCUUAAAGAUUUUUCCGCUUUAGGCGAUAAUUCGGCUUUGUUCGAUAUAGGUGUGUAUAGCGCCCCAAUUCGUCCUUCCAGAUUCUAGGGGCUUCUCUGAAAUUUAAAAUUGUAGAGUUCUAUGGCUAAGUGAAGGUUAUAAAGCCGCAUAGUCCGAUUGCCUUGUUCUUUGCGCUGGACACCUCCUUAAGGGACCAAACAUUUAGAUAAAGAGUGUCCGGGUUUUCCACGAACACCCUAGUACUAGUUACAUGGGGGCAGAAGCCCACGACUGGCCUACUUUCAGAAUUUGAUAAAUAGCCGUACAGAAGGUAAUAUUUUAAAUAACAAAAGCGCUACAUAGCGCAGGUAACUUCGUCUUUAAUUAUAAACAUGACAAAGGUGAAUUCAUUCAAAAAUUAUGUCUUUGGUACAUUCAUCGGCCACGAGGCAAGCACCCUUCAUAACGCCAUCAUAAUACUUAUCGGGGACGCGAUGCGGCUUGCCCUCUGGCGGCCCGUCCUUCACCAGCUUCUCCGCAUCUAGCUUGCCCCAAUGCACCUUGGCACGGGCAAGGGCCUGGCGGGCACCCUCAAUGCAAACGUAUCGCUUGAUGACUUCCAGUCGCGGACAGGAAUCCACCAUCCGCUUGAUCAGGCCGAAGUAGCUGGUGGGCAGAAGCUCACCAGGCCAUAUCCGGACUAUGAGAUCUUUCAUAGCCACUUCGGCCACCUUGUGGAGUUCGACCAACUGCUUCAGUUGGUCACUCAGAGGCGUUGAAUGGUCGGCCCCAACAUACUGGGACCAGAACAGCUUCUUUGUUGAGCUCCCCUCCUGGGCAUGGUAGAACUCCGCGGCGUCUGAUACGCUGCAUGGCAGAUCUGCGAAUGCCCCUGGAGAGCUCCGGACUCGGGUAAGUAAAAGAAACGCCUCCUCCACAUUUUUGCUUUGCAUGAAAAAUUUCUUACCCGCCGCUAUAUUUUUGGCCUCCUGGAUCUCCUGAUGUACCCUCUCGGCUUCGGCCUUGGUGUCUUUUUUAUUUGUAAGGGCCUUCGCAAGCUUGGCCUCUUUUGCUUUCAGCUCAUGCUCCGCGGACUCGAGCUUCUUGCCGAGGUCCUGAAGAUCUUCUUGUACUUCGCCCACUCGGGCUUCUUGCUUUUUGCGCUCCUUGCGCUCCAAUGCCGCUUUGUGUUCGGCCUCGGACAGCGCCUUCUUGAGAGACGCCACUUCGGUGGUGGCCUCUAUUACCAAAUAACGAUGUUUCGUUGUUAGAAUAAUCAAAAUUUAUUUAUACUUUACUAUGUGAGAGAGGGGAAUCAUUUACCUUUGCUCUCCUCGAGCUGCCUCCUCGUGAGGCCGAGCUCUCCCUGUGCCCGCUCCAAGUCCUGCGUUAGGCCGGCGAUUUCGGUUGUGCGAGCAGCAGUGACCAGCACCAUAGCAUGUUUGUUUACAUUCAAACUUAUUGUUACACUCCUGCGGAUUAUAAUUGACCCUCCGUUUGGUUUUUCCUUCCGAACACCAAACAGAGUAUCAGGGGCUACUACCUAUUGGGUGGUAAUUUCACACAUUCUUACUUACCUCAAAGCCUGUCAGGAGGCUGGUGCAGGCUUCGGUUAGUCCGCUCUUGGCAGACGAAACCUUCUGAAUCACCGCACUCAUAAGAGUACGGUGCUCUUCAUCUAGGGAAGCGCCGCGUAGCGCUUCCAGCAGACAAUCUGGCGCCUCGGGCGCAAUAGAAGUCCUUGAUACAGACGGCCCUCCCUCCCUAAUGAGGGGCUGCCCACCUAAAUCCGGAACCACUGAGGGCUCCGGAAUAGUGUUCGGCUGAGAGCCCGGUUUACCAUGGCUCUCAUGAACACGAUCCGCGGGGAUCUUGAACCCCACGGGUCCGACGUCUAGGACACCACCUUGAGGCGCCUCUAGGGCCACCUCCCCCAUCUCUGGGAACCUUUGGUACAACACCUCUGUGUUGUCCGUAGGCCGAGGAGAAGUAGCCAUCGGGAGUGAGUUCAUUGCUGACUCACUCGGGGACCCGUCCAAAGACGAUACUUUGGGAUGGGCUCUGGCCGAACUGCAUACAAGUUCGGCGUUAUAACAAAACUAUGAAGUGAAAUUACGAUUGAGUGCGGAUACUUACGAUCGCACUAGGGGCUUCUUCCUGGGCAGCCACCCUUCCUCGCUAUCGGCGGCGGUGGCAGAGUAGUCCGGAAGGGACACUUUUCCCUUCUUGGACAUCCCAGUCUCCCCCACUGGGGCGGCCUUCCUCUUCUUCCCUCCCUCGACACGGGGAGGUGGUGUUUCUUCUUGUUCCUCCCCGCCUCCGCAGGAGGAAUCUGUCUCGUCGUUGUCAGACAACAAGGGUAUGAUGGCCUUGCAUUGGGGGCCUCUCCUGGUCACCUGGUCUACCGUCUCAAGCCCCCCAUCCUAUCCGGAUAGGGUGGCCUCUUCUUCUUCUUCUCCUUCUCCCCCUUCGGGGGAGGAGUCUUCCUCGUCCUCUUCGAAUGGGGCUUCUGGCGUAGCCUUACGCCGGAGACUCUUUCGGUCCCCGGGGCCUUCUUGUUGGCCUUCUUCUCCGGUCCCUUGUAGGGCGCUGGAACCAGCAUCUCCGUCAGGAGAGCAUUAGCUGGGCUUUCCGGCAGUGGAGCCGGACAGUCGAUCCGCUCCGCCACCUCCACAUAAUCUUGAAACAAAUAGACACAAUUACUUGAUGGCUCCCCCAUGAAUAUAUCCGGGAGAACCGAACCCGGUGGUGGUCUGAGAACUCACCUUGGUAGGGUGCCGCGCGGCGUGGAGCCCACUGUCCUCGAUUAUGAGAGGAGGUACUUCGGAGGCCUUGAACAUCACCUUCCAUGCAUUUUUGUGCUUCAUGUCGUAGAGCCUCUGAAGCGUCUGGUGUUCGGCUGGAACGAACUCCCAUAGAUCAAAUGCCCGCCUUUGGCACGGCAGAAUCCGGCGAAUGAGCAUGACCUGGGUCAUGUGGACAAGCUUGAUUUUCUUGUCCUUCAUGCCCUUUGCAGGUUUUGAGUCCGGCCAGCUCGGUAGAUUCGCCCCAGGACAGGCCCUUCCGUUCCCAGGAGGUGAGCCGCAUAGGGGUUCCGGAUCGGAACUCGGGGGCCGCCGCCCAGUUGGCGUCGCGCGGCUCGGUGAUGUAGAACCACCCCGAUUGCCACCCCUUCACGAUUUCCACAAAGGAGCCAUCAAGCCAGGUGACAUUAGGAAUUUUGCCCACCAUGGCUCCUCCGCACUCCGCUUGCUGGCCACUCAUGAUCUUUGGCUUCACGCAGAAGAUUUGCAGCCACAAGCCGAAAUGAGGCUUGAUGCGGAGGAAAGCCUUGCAUACAACGAUGAACACCGAGAUGUUGAGGACGAAGUUCGGAGCUAGAUCAUGGAAGUCUAGCCCGUAGUAGAACAUGAGCCCGCGGACAAAGGGGUGGAGUGGAAACCCCAGUCCACGGACAAAGUGGGCGAGGAACACGACCCUCUCGUGGGGUCCUGGAGUUGGAAUGACCUGCCCCUUGUCUGGUAGCCAGUGCGCUAUGUCUGCGGCCAAGUAUCCGGCCGCCCGAAGAUUCACAAUCUUCUUCUCCGUCAUGGUGGAAGCCACCCACUUGCCUCCUGCUCCGGACAUGACUAACUGUGCGGAGAAGACCUGGACUAGGGCGCUGGAGCUCGAGAGGGCAAGAGUAUGCGAAGGAGAAAGAAGGCAUGGGGAAAAAUGGGGAACUCUUGUCCCCUUAUAUAGGCGACGAGAGCGGUGCGCCUCCCCACUAGCCCGCUGAGAAUCACUUACUUCCCAAGCGUCACGAUUGAUGGCACGGGGGGAUUACCCAUACCCGUAUUGAUGAGAAUCCCGUGAUAAGGGGACAUGAUCUCUUCUUUGACAAGAUGUGUCAAGGAAACCGCCUCGCAAUACGUGUUGUGGCUGGUUGUGAAAAAACAGUUCGAUCUGACCAAAAUGACAUAUCACGUCGUCUAAAAAGUUGUCAGCUGAAGUAUCAUUCUCUCUACAGUGGUAUGUGAAGAUCAUUUUGCAGAUCCAGACACGGCCGACGUGUUCGAUAAUAACCUUGGAGUAUUCGGAGGAGGAACCUGUCGUGCAAUGCCGAAGACAAGACUGCGCGCCGGACUCAUCGUCAUUGAAGCCUGGUUCAGGGGCUACUGAGGGAGUCCUGGAUAAGGGGGUAUCCGGAAAGCCAGACUAUAUUCAUCGUCCGGACUAUAGAAGCAUCAAGAUACAAGACUCAAGGCUUCGACUCGUGUCCGGAUGAGACUCUCCUUUGCGUGGAAGACAAUCUUGGCGAUCCGGAUAUUAUGUUUCCUUCCUUGUAACCGACUCCAUGUAAACCCUAGCUCUCCGGUGUCUCUAUAAACCGGAGAGCAUGGUCCUUAUAAGGCCGAUCACAAUUACAAUCAUACCAUCAUAGGCUAGCUCUUAGGGUUUAACCUCUAAAAUCUCAUGGUAGAUCUACUCUUGUACUACACAUAUCUUCAAUAUUAAUCAAGCAAGAAGUAGGGUUUUACCUCCAUCGAGAGGGUCUGAACCUGGGUAAACAUUGUGUGCCUUGCUUCGUGUUACCAUCAGCCUAAGACGCACAGAUCGGGACCCCCUACCCGAGAUCCGCCGGUUUUGACACCGACAGAGCCUCUUGUAGCUACUUACUGAUUUAGUGAUCAUGCGGAGACCCCGCAGAGCAGGACUAAGGGUAUUAUCUCCUAGGAGAGCCCCAAACCUGGGUAAGAUUCACCGGCAUGCAUGUCUUCGCCUUAUCCCGCUUCCAGGUACCGGCGAUGUCUUACUGGUUCCCACUAUGAUUAGCCAUCCUUUGGCAUAUGUCGCACCUACCACCCGACAUUUGGCGCCCACCAUGGGGCCAGGUGCACCAUCGUUCGGAGACCUACUCUAGACGGGAGCCUUUGUUCAUCCCCAGCGAGCAUAGCCAGCCUGGCAUGCAUGAUGACGCUUGCCCCGACAUACUACACGGUGUCGACGCCGCCUAUGCAGCGAGCCACCUCGCCGAUCUUCUCGGUGAGGUUCACAUCACCAACAAGCCCGCGUGAGGCGUGGGUGCGACCAGCUCUGAGAGCUGCCUCAUCGACCUCCUUGGCAAGCUCGACAUCGCCAAUGAGCCCACCUCUGACCUGGAGUCGAUCGACUCCACCGACCCGAUGCUUGUCGACUCUGACACGGCAUCCCGCGACGCCUUCCCCACCAACGUGGUGGUGAUCGACGACCCUCUUCUUCACGCCGACAGCGGCGGCAGCACCGUCACCGAGGUGCUGGUCAUCAGCCACGACACCAUCUUCAACGAAAACUCUCGCGACGCUCUGCAAACGGUGCUGCACGACUUGUCCGCGCCCAUCCCAGCGGACGCCAACUUCGAGACACUGGAUGCUCGCCGCCUCACCCUCAUCAAGAACGGCAAGAAGAUAGCCACCACGAGACGCCUCACCAAGGCCUAUCAGCGUGAGGUUGACCGUGCCGCCUCCGGCACACCGGCUACCGGAGGGCCCAGCCGGCUUGGCAUUAUCAAGAAGCGUGGCACGACCAUCGCAAGCAUGCUGGGAGCCAACCGCCCGGUCUAUGCCAUGACGCUUGAGAACCUGCGUGUCGCUCAGGUGGCAGCAGAUGAGCUGGAAGGAUUGGGUCGAGAUGGGAUGCGCUGCAUGACGCGAUGCGUCCAAUAGCUCAUUGACGCGGCUGCAGAGCUGCAAGAAGCCGGCGCCCGUGCCGAGAGUCCUCCCCCUCGCUGAGAGCACGGCGCGACCUCUCGGACACCAAUUGCAGGCGGCGCCCGCGAGCGAAAAGAUAAGGAGUCGGCGAUAACCCGCAAGUAUAGGGGAUCACAACAGUUUUCGAGGGUAGAGUAUUCAACCCAAAUUUAUUGAUUCGACACAAGGGGAGCCAAAGAAUAUUCUCAAGUAUUAGCAGUUGAGUUGUCAAUUCAACCACACCUGGAUAACUUAGUAUCUGCAACAAAGUAUUUAGUAGCAAAGUAGUAUGGAAGUAACGGUAACAGUAACAAAAGUAACAGUAGCAGUUUCGUAGUAAUGGUAACGGUGGCAACGCAAAGUAACUAAGCAAAGAACAAUAUGUGAAAAGCUCGUAGGCAUUGGAUAGGUGAUGGAUAAUUAUGUCGGAUGCGAUUCCUCAUGUAAUAGUUAUAACAUAGGGUGACACAGAACUAGCUCCAGUUCAUCAAUGUAAUGUAGGCACGUAUUCCUAAUAUAGUCAUACGUGCUUAUGGAAAAGAACUUGCAUGACAUCUUUUGUCUUACCCUCCCAUGGCAGCGGGGUCCUAAUGGAAACUAAGGGAUAUUAAGGCCUCCUUUUAAUAGAGUAUCGGACGAAAGCAUUAACACUUAGUGAAUACAUGAACUCCUCAAACUACGGUCAUCACCGGUGAGUAUCCCGAUUAUUGUCACUUCGGGGUUAACGGAUCAUAACACAUAAUAGGUGACUAUAGACUUGCAAAAUUGGAUCAAGAACUCACAUAUAUUCAUGAAAACAUAAAAGGUUCAGAUCUGAAAUCAUGGCACUCGGGCCCUAGUGACAAGCAUUAAGCAUAGCAAAGUCAUAGCAACAUCAAUCUCAGAACAUAGUGGAUACUAGGGAUCAAACCCUAACAAAACUAACUUGAUUACAUGGUAAAUCUCAUCCAACCCAUCACCGUCCAACAAGCCUACGAUGGAAUUACUCACGCACGGCGGUGAGCAUCAUGAAAUUGGUGAUGGAAGAUGGUUGAUGAUGACGACGGUGACGGAUUCCCCUCUCUGGAGCCCCAAACGGACUCCAGAUCAGCCCUCCCGAGAGAGUUUAGGGCUUGGCGGCGGAUCCGUACCGUAAAACGCGAUAAUUCUUUCUCUCUGAUUUUUUUCUCUGCGAAAGCAAAUAUAUGGAGUUGGAGUUGAGGUCGGUGGACGUCCAGGAGGCCCAUGAGGCAGGGGGCGCGCCCCCUACCCUCGUGGACAGGGUGUGGGGCCCCUGACCUUGAUUCUUUCGCCAGUAUUUUUUAUUAAUUCUGAAAAGUUGCUCCAUGGAUUUGCAGGUCAUUCUGAGAACUUUUAUUUCUGCACAAAAAUAACACCAUGACAAUUCUGCUGAAAACAGCGUCAGUCCGGGUUAGUUCCAUUCAAAUCAUGCAAGCUAGAGUCCAAAACAAGGGCAAAAGUGUUUGGAAAAGUAGAUACGACGGAGACGUAUCAGCCGGCUGCAAGCCGCAGCCGGACGCGCUUCACCAUUGAGCGUGACGAAGACGGCCGCCCACGAGCUGUGGAACGGCGAGAUGAUAACCCGCCUCCUCCUCCGCCUCGUGGUCGGCGAUAUCCUUCUCCGCCGCCUAUUGGGAAUCCCACACUUGGCGACCGGCUAGGCCACCGCGAGGGAGUCGGCGAGAACGAUGCCCGCCACCGGAUCGACCGCCUGGCACGAUCCCUGGCACUAGUAGAAGAAGAUUAUGUCGGCCCGCCUUGCUUUGGCCCCCGCAUCCUCGACGAGCCCUUCCCCCAAAGGGUUCUCGCUUCCAAGAGACAUGCCCAAGUACAACGGCUCGGUGAAGCUGGAAGAUUGGCUGAUAGACUACUCCACCGCAGUCAGCAUCGUGAACGGCAACGGGCGCGUUUCCGUAAAGUACGUCCCCCUCAUGCUUCAGGGCAUGACGUGCACCUGGCUGAACAGCCUCAAGCCCUACAGCAUCAACAUCUGGCUGGAUUUCAGGGAGGUCUUCAACUGCAACUUCACCAGCACGUACAAGCGGGCGCCCGAGGCCCGCCAACUCUCCUUGUGCAUCCAAGGCCCGACCGAGUCCAGCCGCGACUACAUGAUGUGCUAGGCCGAGCUCCGCAACUCCUGCGAAAGGGUGCAUGAGGUACAAGCCAUAGAGUACUUCACCGCCAGAUGCCGAGAAGGCACCCUUCUCAAGCACCAGCUUCUAUGCGACGAGCUGGCUACACUCGACGAGUUGCUGAUCAUAGCAGACAAGUACGCCACAGCCGACUCUUCAAUGAAGUCGGAGCUCCGGGUGGACCCCUCCGGAAAGGUGCUACCUCCGGCUCCCAAGACACCAGCUGGCGACGCCAACCGGCGCCCGUACCAGAAUGACAACAAGCGCAAGACCACGAUGCUGACUUCCACUAGCCGGCAGGUGGCCACAGUUGAAGACGAGCAGCCAGAAGGGAAGCCUAUGCCCAAACCUCAGAAAGCCGACAGGCCGGCUUGGUUACCUGCCUUCUCCUAUGAGCAGACCCUUGAUGCCCCUGCAAAGUUCCAUAGCGGCGCGAAGUCGUCCAACCAUACAACUCGGAAGUGUCAUUGGCUCACCCGAAUCUCCAAGAGCGAAGGACUGCUGCCUCCCCCGCCUACUGGUCCAUCGCCUCCGGCUCCUCAACAACCGGCCGCCCGCCCAGCAGCCGGAGCUAUCCAAGAUGAGUUCCCUGACGAGCAUGCAGCCUACAUUGUCUUUACAAGCCAAGCCGAUGACAAGCGCAGCCGGCGCCGGCAACACCAAGAAGUCAAUGAUGUCGCCUCUAAAGAUCCAGAGUUCAUACACUGGUCCGAAAAGCCCAUCAGUUGGAGCCGAGCUGAUCACCUAGAGGUGAUGCCCUCUCCGGGUUCCUACGCUUUGGUGUUGGACGCCACCUUUGCAACGGAGAGGUGAGCUGUUCGUCUCUCCUGAAUCCUGAUUGAUGGAGGAAGUAGCAUCAACAUCCUAUACCGUGACACCAUGGAGAAGCUGAAUAUCAAGGCGAAGCAGCUCCAUCCCAGUUGGACUGUCUUCCAUGGCAUUGUACCCGGCCUUUCAUGCUCACCAAUCGGCAAGAUCAAGAUAGAUGUUCUCUUUGGAGACAAGGAUCACUUCCGCCGUGAAACAGUCUGGUUUGAGGUAGUGGACCUCGAGAGCCCUUACCAUGCUUUACUUGGCCGGCCUGCUCUGGCCAAGUUCAUGGCUGUGCCCCACUACGCCUACCACAAGAUGAAGAUGUCGAGCUCCAAGGGCAUCAUCACAAUAGUCGGAGACUACAAGAAGUCCUCCGACUGUGCUGCAGCCAGCAACCGGCUGGCCGAGUCCCUCAUGAUUGCCGCAGAAAGAAAGAUCCUUGACCAGGUUGUGGCCAUGGCUGGCAAGCAGCCGGACCUGUCGCCCGAUCCCAAGGAGUCGGAAACUCAGGGCUCCUUCUAGCCGGCCAAGGAGACAAAGAAGAUACCGUUGGACCUAAAGCACCCAGAGAGGUUCGCUCUGGUAGGGACAAAUCUGGACAACAAAUAGGAAAGUGAGCUCAUCGAUUUACUCCAUGAGAAUCAGGAUAUCUUUGCAUGGUCCCCCAAGGACAUGACGGGUGUUCCGACGGAUUUCGUUGAGCACAAGCUACAUGUCCGAUCAGAUGCAAAACCUCAAACAACCCCUCCACUGACUGUCGGAGGAGAAGAGAAGAAUUGUUGGUGAAGAGAUAGCCCGGCUUGUGGUAGCCGGCUUCAUUAUGGAAGUGUUCUUCCCAGAAUGGCUUGCCAACCCAGUCCUUGUACUGAAGAAGAACAAGAAAUGGCGCAUGUGUAUAGAUUAUACCAGCCUCAACAAAGCCUGCCCCAAAGAUCCAUUUGCCUUACCAAGGAUUGAUCAAGUGAUAGACUCCACAGCCGGAUGCAAGCUAUUGAGUUUCUUGGACGCCUAUUCAGGGUACCAUCAGAUCAAGUUGGACCCAGCCGACUGCCUGAAGACCGCCUUCAUCACACCAUUCAGAGCUUUCUGUUACCUGUCUAUGACAUUCGGCCUGAGAAAUGCUGGUGCCACUUUUCAGCGUUGCAUGCAGAAAUGCCUCCUCAAGCAACUCGGCAGAAAUGCCCACGUCUAUGUAGACGAUAUUGUGGUGAAGACGGAGAAGCGCGGCACCCUGCUAGAAGACCUCCAAGAGACAUUCUAUAACUUGCGCCACUUUCAGAUCAAGCUCAACCCAGAAAAAUGCGUGUUCGGAGUGCUAGCCGGCCAACUCCUUGGCUUCCUGGUCUCUGAACGCUGCAUUGAGUGCAACCCAAUGAAGAUCAAGGCCAUAGAGAGGAUGGAGAUUCCCACCCGGCUACGGGACGUCCAAAAGUUUACUGGAUGCCUGGCUUCCCUCAACCGCUUUAUCAGCCGUCUUGGGGAGAAGGAUCUUCCCCUGUAUCAACUCAUGAAGAAAACCACUCACUUUGAGUGGAAUGACUAGGUGGAUGAAGCCUUUCACCAGUUGAAGAAAAUGCUGGUCAUACCGCCUGUCCUGGCGGCUCCAACUAAAAAGGAGCCCAUGCUCCUUUACAUUGCCGCAACUAGCCGGGUGGUCAGCACAGUCAUCGUGGUUCAGCGCCUAGAGGAAGGCAAAGUUCAGCUGGUCCAGAGAUCGGUAUAUUACCUGAGCGAAGUACUGUCAACCUCGAAGCAAAACUACCCCCACUACCAAAAGAUGCGCUAUAGUGUGUACUUCGCCGCCAAGAAGCUCAAGCCCUACUUUCAAGAACACCCCAUCAUGGUCGUUUGCACUGCCCCGCUGGCCGAGAUCAUGGGCAACCGGGAUGCAUCCGGCCGGGUGGCCAAUUGGGCUAUCGCGCUGGCUCCCUAUACCAUCUUCAACCAGCCCCGCACCGCCAUCAAGUCCCAAGUGCUGGCCAACUUCCUUGUCGACUGGGCCGAGACCCAGUACCUGCCACCAGCACCAGACUCCACCCAUUGGCGGAUGCUCUUCGACAGAUCCAAGAUGCGCACCGGAUUGGGAGCCGGCAUCUUCCUCACCUCUCCCAAAGGCGACAAGCUUAGAUACACAUUGCAAAUCCACUUUGCCGCCUCCAACAACGUGGCCGAGUAUGAGGCACUCAUACACGGGCUCCGGCUGGACAAGGAACUCGGCAUCCGCCAGAUCCUGUGCUAUGGUGACUCAGACUUGGUGGUCCAACAGUCAUCUGGCAAUUGGGACACCAGGGAUACAAAUAUGGCGAGCUACCGCUUCCGUGUUCAGCAACUCAGCGGAUAUUUUGAAGGGUGCGGGUUCCUCCAUGGGCCACGGGUCGACAACGAGCAAGCAGAUGCCCUGGCACGAAUCGGCUCCACCCCACAAGCUAUACCAACCGACGUCUCCCUUCAGCGCCUCCUCAAGCCGUCUGUCAAGCCUUCACCAGAAUCCGACUCCAUCUUCGUGCCAGCUGACCCCGAAGGAGCCGAAUCCGGCUUGGGGACCUCAGGAGUCGGCACGGGGACUUCAACAGGCGGCUCGAGGACUGCGUCAGCCGCACCUGGCCCGGGGACUUUAGAACCCGGCCCGGGGACUGCAACAGUCGGUCUGGGGACUUCAAAGACACAAUAGGCGGUGGCCAACUCCAACCCGCCACCUCCCACCCCAACCUCCCUAGUCGCAGUGGACGUGUUGGCAAUAGAAGAAGUUGUAGCUCCAUCAUGGGCCCAGCCCAUCCUCAACUUUCUAGUAAACAGAGAGCUGCCGACUGACGAGAUCUUGGCAAGACAAGUCCUACGCCGAGCCGGAGCCUACACCAUAGUAAACACAGAGCUCGUUAGGCGCAGCGUGACUGGAGUCUUCCAGCGCUGCGUCGAGCCAGAGAAGGGCGUAGCAAUCCUCAAAGACAUCCAUCAAAGUGAGUGUGGCCAUCACGCCGCCUCAAGAUCACUUGUCGCCAAAGCUUUCCGCCAUGGUUUCUUCUGGCCGGCUGCUUUGGAAGACGCCAAAGCGUUAGUCAAACACUGCAAAAGGGUGCCAAGUUUUUAGCUCCAAGCAACACCUGCCGGCUUCUGCACUCAAGACCAUCCCCCUCACCUGGCCCUUUGCCGUCUGGGGGCUGGAUAUGGUGGGACCAUUCAAGACGGCACGUGGCGGCAUGACUCAUUUGCUAGUCACCGUUGACAAAUUCACCAAGUGGAUCGAAGCAAAGCCAAUCAAGAAGUUGAAUGGGCCGAUUGCUGUGACCUUCAUCGCGGACAUCACAACUCGGUACAGCGUAUCGCACAGCAUCAUCACCGACAACGACACAAAUUUUGCCAAGGGAGCCUUGGUCCGUUUUUGCGCGACGCAGGGAAUCCGACUAGACUUAGCGUCCGUUGCCCAUCUGCAAUCAAACGGACAAGUAGAACGAGCCAACGGCCUCAUCCUCUCCGGCAUCAAACCCCGACUAGUCGAGCCAGUGGAGCGUUCGGGCGGCUGCUGGCUCGAGGAGCUGUCGACCAGCCUUUGGAGCCUGCGCACUACUCCGAACAAGUCGACUGGCUUCACUCCCUUCUUCCUUGUGCAUGGUGCCGAGGUUGUCAUUCCAACUGACAUCGAGUUCGACCCUCCUCGGGUCACCAUGUACACAGAAGCAGAGGCGAGGGAAGCGUGAGAAGACGGUGUUGAUCUGCUGGAAGAGGGUCGGCUGUUAGCACUUAGUCGGUCCGCCAUCUACCAGCAGAGCCUGCGCCAUUACCAUAGUCGGAAGGUCAAGCCAAGAUCUUUCCAAGAGGGCGACCUUGUGCUCUGGCUGAUCUAGCGAACAGCCGGCCACCACAAGCUCUCGACCCCUUGGGAAGGACCCUUCAUCAUCAGCAAGGCCUUGGGCAAUGACUCCUACUACCUGAUCGACGCAUAGAAGCCCAAGGCACGCAAGAGAGAUGAUUCUGACAAGGAGUCGGAACGCCCAUGGAAUGCAAACCUCCUUCAAAGCUUUUACAAUUAAUGCAGUAUGUACCAUGCUACCUUUUGUAUUAAGUACAAGACAAUGGGACCCCCGAGGAGCACUCGGGGGACUGCCCUCUUUUAUCUAUAUGAUAAGUUUCUAUGCCUAUGAAUGUGUUAGUACAUUUGUUCUUUUGUCCUGCACGGGGUUCGACCAGUCAGCCCGGGGACUUGCCGCCUUGUGAUAUGAAAACACUACCUGCAGUCGGACAAGUAGUGUGCCAGCAUCUAGCCCUCCCUUGCCAAAAGCCGCAGCUCGCAGAGCACCUGUCCGGCUGGCAAGGGUCAAAGGCAAGAAAUGGUGCCCACACGAAAAAUGGCUAAGGAUUAGUGAGUUUUGCAUAACACAAGCCGGCUCCCCGCCCUGCCAACCGACUGCUAAGCAGCCGGCUGGCUGGCUUCCCACUUACCUUGCCACUAUCUAAGAAGGCUGAAGUACUUGCCCUCCCAAAACGGUCGUGUACUUGCCCAGCCACAAACUGCAGAGCAACUGUCCGGCUGGAAAGGCGGCCGCCAAGGAAGGGCGGCAAAGGAAAAAGCUGGAAAAAGAUUAAAAGCAAGAAAAUUCGGAAGCCGAUAGCAGCAUAGCACAUGCGAGAUAAUAUUUACACAAAAGGCCUUCGAAGGCCGAAGUUCAACAUAGUUUGAAUACACCCCCAGUGGGUGGAACUGCGCAAAUUUAACAAGAUAUUGUUCAAAAGAUCGACAAAGCAGGAUAAAACUAGCCACCUAGGCCGAAGGAACAACAGGCGAGCCUGGUAGGUUGGUAGAGACGGCGGUGCCGGCUGGUGGAGUGGCCGGAUGACGGGUCUCGCCCUGAUCAUCUCCAGCAGUAGGCAGCGCGCUUGUGCACGCCUCGUUGCUUGAGGCGCGGUCGGGUUAAAGUUGGCCGUCUGCUCCAUCAACCGGCGCAGCGUCUUCGCCGACCUCGUCUUCCUCGUCUUUGCCCUCGUCGCUGGAGUCGAUCUCCUCCGCCGAGUCCUCGGCGUCCUCCGGGUUCAGCCCGAAGAGGUCGGCCGGCACCGCAACACCAUCCUCGUUCAGCUCGGGGAUGAAGACGCCGGUGUCGGUGUACUCGGCGAUUGUUGUAGCAUGAUGAACAAUGGCGGGCCUCACCACCACCAAAUCCUCGUCGGCCUCCUGCCGGAACAUGGCUAACUGGGCUAGAUCCAGCCCAGGAUAACACGCCCUAACAAACUCCAACGCCCGCCUGGCGCUUGCCCGGGCCAAAGAAGCUUUCCACGUCUCAAAGCGGUUGACGGCCACUUCAAGCCAGUCGGCGGUCCGACUGGGGGUACGCGGUGCCGGUGUGUCGGGCCAGAGGGCGGCUAGCACCUGGGCCCCAACACGCUGAAGGCGGCGGAGCAUCCGGUGGGCCAGCUGGAGAUGGGCCUGGAUGGCUAGGAGCUAUUCUUCAAGACUCCGAUGAGCAUUCGGCGCAAUCUCCGUGCCAGCCUGCCUUCGCGCUUCGCGGUGGACCUCGAUGGUUUGGCUGGCGGCAACGGCCAAGGAAAUACUCUGAGCAAAGAAGAAAAGAAAGAAUACAAAGUUAGAAGUCGGACUAAAACAACAGAUGGAAAAUGAAGGAAAGAGAAGGAGGGCGACUUACCGUCAACCAUAUCCUCAAUACGGCCGUAGCCGUCAUUCAGCGCCUGCUCUAACUCAGCCCAUUUCGCCGCCUGGGUCGUACUCAGCUUGGAGGGCGUCCUCGCAGUCCUUCACCUUCUGAAGGGCCGCCUCGUGAGACUUCUCCUGGUCGGCCAACCGCUUGGCCAGGCAGUCGCGCUCCUGGACCACCGAGUUGUACUCCGCCUCCUUGGCGCGCAGCACAGUCUGGGCCUCACCCAAUUGGUGCUGCAAGCCGGCAUUGGCCUAAACGACAAAGAGGAAUAAACAAUAAGCAUGAGGUCGCCAGAAAAGAUCCGGCCCGACUACUCAGCAGUCGGCCCGAAUCUCGGGGACUACACUGUCACGCCCAAUGUGCGAUACUAUCCUAAAGAGACUCGAAGGUCCCACCAAGGAUAGAACCGCAUAUUGUUACGCUUUGCAAGGUGGAUAUCAUUACAUCAACAUUUCAUAAUAGAUGGGGACACAUACAAGAGGCAUACAGUGCCACAUGAAUACAACAUCACAAUACAUAAGAGCAACAUCCGACUACGGAUGAACACAAACAGAAACUCAAACGACAUCCACCCUGCUAGCCCAGGCUGCUGACCUGGAACCUAUCCCCUGAUCGAAGAAGAAGCAAAAGAAGAACUCCAAAACAAGCAAGCAUCGCUCUCGCGUCAUGAUCAUCGCAUAACCUAUACCUGCAACUGUUGUUGUAGUAAUCUAUGAGCCACGAGGACUCACCAAUCCCAUUACCACGGGUAUCAAGACUAGCAAAGCUUAAUGGGAAAGGAAGGGCUAAAAUGGUGAGGUUGCAGCAGUGACUAAGCAUGAUAUGGUGGCUAACAUACGCAAAUAAGAGCGAGAAGAGAGCAAAGGAACGAUCGUGAAGCUAGCAAUGAUCAAGAAGUGAUCCUGAACUCCUACUUACGUCAAACAUAACCCAAAAUCGUGUUCACUUCCCGGACUUCACCGAAAAGAGACCAUCACGGCUACACACAUGGUUGAUGCGUUUAAUUUCGGAUCUGGUGUCAAGUUAUCUACAACCGGACAUUAAAAAUUCCCCAUCUGCCGCAUAACCGCGGGCACGGCUUUCGAAAGUUUAUACCCUGCAGGGGUGUCCCAACUUAGCCCAUGAUAAGCUCUCGCGAUCAACGAAGGAUAUACCUUCUCCCAGGAAGACCCGAUCAGACGCGGAAUCCCGGUUUACAAGACAUUUCGACAAUGGUAAAACAAGACUAGCAAGACCGCCCGGAUGUCCCGACAAAUCCCGAUAGGAGCUGCACAUAUCUCAUUCUCACGGCACACCGGAUAAGCUAAGCGUACAGGUACCGACGUAAUCCAAGUUGCCAAGGAAUGGUCCCGCACGGUGCUCUAGUUUGGACCAACAGUCGGAGGAGCACUGGCCCGGGGGGGGGGGUAAAAUAAAGAUGACCCUCGGGCUCCGGAAACCCAAGGGAAAAAGGGCUAGGUGAGGCAAAUGGUAAAACCAAGGUUGGGCCUUGCUGGAGGAGUUUUAUUCAAAGCGAACUGUCAAGGGGGUCCCAUAAAUCACCCAACCGCGUAAGGAACGCAAAAUCCGGGAACAUAACACCGGUAUGACAGAAACUAGGGCGGCAAGAGUGGAACAAAACACAAGGCAUAAGGCCGAGUCUUCCACCCUUUACCAAGUAUAUAGAUGCAUUAAUUAAAUAAGAGAUAUUGUGAUAUCCCAACAUCAUCUUGUCCACCAUGGAGCAAUCUUCAACUUCACCUGCAACUAACAACGCUAUAAGAGGGGCUGAGCAAAGCGGUAACAUAGCCAGACAACGGUUUGCUAGGAAGGGUGUCAAAGGUUAGAGGUUCAUGGCAAUUUGGGAGGCUUGAAGAGAAAAAGAUAGGUAGUGCAGCAAAGCGAUAGAACGAAGCAACUAGCAUAACAAUGAUAGUAGUGAGAUCCAGGGUAGUGGUCAUCUUUCCUGAAAUCCCGCAAGGAAGAAGAACGAGUCCAUGAAGAAUAUGAAGCCACAAAGACGAACCAAGCGUAUACGAACGAAUCCUCACGAUCGCAACGAAACGGGAACUAUCGAGAAGAAGCACACAACAUGGUAAACACACCACACAUUUACAAGACAUGAUGCUCAACCAAGUAUGAUGGAUGACAAAGCUACAUGAAGCUACUCAUGGCAAGAGAUGAUGCAAACAAGAACAACACAUCAAAGCAAGUUUAAAUGAGGCCGGAAACAACAUAUAACAAUUCCGGUAAGUCCUCAUAUGCAAAUUUCGAAAUUGGUCUAGAUCUGAAUAAACCUUAUAUUCAAGUUGUUAAACAGCAAGUUAAAAUGCACCAUGAUGAUCUACACGAGAUUCUAGUCAAGUUACAUAUAAAGUUCAUUUAGUUCGGAGCUACGGCUUAGAAGAUAUGAGCAAACAAGUUAAACAUGGCAUUGAUGCAAAAUGCAUCCAAACAUCAAGCAAACACCUCAAAACAAAGAUGCAGCAUGAUAAUAUGAAACUACAUGCAAAAUCAAGCAAGUUUCAAAUAGAGCACACUCAAAACGGGGCAACGGUGCAACACAUACACUCUAUACAAGUUCAAAGGACAAGCUGUCCAAAAUAGCAACUAGGCAUAUUGCAAGCAUCAAGACAAUAUGCUACAGCACCUCAACAUAAGAACAAAAGGCAUGGACAUGAUUUAAAGGUAAAGCAUAACAAAACAUGAACACUGAGCUAUCUCCAGAAAACAAUAGAACAUGCUCCAAAGGACAUGGCAAGAUUGCAAAUCUAUACCUAUACUAAUUAGUCACUUCCUAUAAAUUCCCACGUUAAUUAGAUUUUACGAGCCGUUAAUCUGGUGGGACCGAAUUAUUAUAGUGUAGAUUGAUUCAUAGAACAAAAAACCCUCACUUUUUUUCAUCUUAAAACUCUCACGUAUCCCUCUCAACCCAACUCUCUCAAUCUAAUCUCUGACGUAUCUCUGCAAAACUGUAAUCGCUCCAAGGCCCACAAUACGUUUCUACUUCAAAUUCAGCCUUUCUUCCUUUCCUAAUUAAAGCAAUCUUUAUCUCUUUCAAAACGACUAGUUAGCAUGCACGUGCAACGCACAUAUUAAACAUGAAAAAUUCUAACCAAAUACGGAUAGAUUUCUUGAUUUUUUUUUAAAAAAAUCAUACAGAGUGCAUAGUUCCCAAUUCUUGACUCAUACAAACAAUCUGAUUUUCGGCUUUGGGUCUUGAUGCUCUUGUGUCUGGCUCUGAAGAUCUCCCUGAUGUCGCAUCUAUGUUUACCCCAAGCUUUAGUUUUUCUUUUCUGUUUUUGGGUUGUCACUCGGUUUUUUCCUAAUUAUAACCAGAAAACAUUAGGGUUUUUUCUGGCUUCCUUUAUAAACUGGAUCAUCUCUCUCUUCUUAAUAAAAUGCUUGACUCCCUGCCCUCAUGAUGAGGUUCUUCGAAAAAGAAAUGAUAUAUCAAUCUUCAUGAAUCAACAUUCUUCUACAAACAAAUAUCUCUUAUCUAAAUGCAUACUUUCUCAGUGCAUAGUGCCCAAAUGAUUAUAAUCUCCUGUAAAUGGAUUUCAGUGUGUGAAAAAAAUAUCCAAGCGGGCUUCGGCCCAUUGCAGUAUGUGUCAAACAUACUACCAUUUGAAUUUUUUGCAAAUCAUAUAGUUAUAGUAAUCCAAUCAGAAAUUAGAACCCCCUUGUUGGACAAUGGAUUAUUAUAAAGUUUCAUCACCAUUCUCCAUACACAGACACAUACAAGUAUUGUUAAGUAAAGAUCCACUUAUGUAUCAACAAAAUUUAGUAAAGAACUAUUACUAAGAGAUAAUCAAGUGUCAUUCACAAAAGUGAGAAGAUGUCAUUGUCAAAGUUCAGUAAUAAUUUCCUUGAGGGACUAUGAAGGCUAAGGUGAAACAAGAAAAAACUGCUAGAGGUGGACGAACAGCGCUCGGGCGCACUUGCUAUCGGAAUCAAGUCCGAUUGUUAUGUGUGGGUAAUCAUUGACAACUAAUAAAUCUGCAACAUCAAACCAAUAGAGCCAACGCCAACGUUGUUAUCUCCUCCCUUCACCUGUGUUUGGAAGUUCACAUAUUGGAAUCGAUCCGAUUGUUAUCUCCUCCCUUCCAUUUGGCCUUCAUAUUGGAAACAUCACACCUGUAUAUAAAAGUUCACAUUAGAUAUGCUAUAUAAGAAAGAACAUCAAGAUACAAAAGGUAUGCUUGGUUUGUAAGAAACUAUCCACCUUUAUUUAAAAUUCAGAAAAUAUUGCUGUUCAAAUGAUUACCUUGAUGCUAUCUGCUCUUGCUUGCCUUCACAUUCUAAAUAUAUAGUCAAUAGCAUAAAGAUUCAAGUUUAUCUGGUUGUUAGUAUAUAGUAGUACCGAACUGAUUAUAACGUACUAUUCUGGUGAAUAAUAAGUGAUAUACAUAUGUACGUAACCAAGACAUCACAGUGUGGUAAAGAAAUUAACGAGUACGGUAAUCUCCAAAUUUCAGGCCUAUAAGAAAGAAAAGAAGACCGAGCCUUCAGUCUCUGCGUACACUACGUAACUAAUAUGACAAUACAAUUACCAUCUACAGUCCAAAUGAGAACAUACUAAAUUGGAAGGACAUGAAAGAAAAAUAGGUCACUAUGGAUGCCAUGCCAUGGCAUUUCUAAUCUUUUCUUCCUUAUCAGGCUGCCCUGCGUCAGUCUCAACAGAAUUUCGAGGACUGGGCCUGCAAAGACAUGAGUAAUCUGCAUAUCCAAGGUUCCAGAUAUGGUAGGAUGUCUUCACCCAUGUCUUCACAGAAAACCACCAAUGCAUAAUAUGAUAUCUCCUACAAAAUCAUAUUGAUUAUUCGCAUUACAUAAUUACCACGGAGUUGUCAUGCAAAGUUAACCAAUAUUUAUAUCCAAAGUCUCUCCCUAUUUUACCUUAAUCCCAUCUGAUGGGUCUUCAACUGCAUUUAAGAUGCAUGGAACUACACUCUCAUAGUGAGAUCGAAUUUCUGGCUGCACGUGUUCAGCAAACUGACCAAGAACAAAUGAUGCAUUACCUCUGACCAUCCGCUGUUGAUCCUUUCAAGAUUCUAAAACAACUCCGAGACAUUCCUCCAAUUAAUCCUCAAAUCUUUUCCACCAUAGAAGUUGAAAAUGACUGCAGAAAUAAAAAAUUAUCGUGAAUUAGUAUGCACCAGCCCCAAUUCAUGACCUCCAUUUGCUUUCUACCUUGUGCGACAAAGUCAACAACAACGGCGGCAAGACAGGGCGUACCGGAACCAUGCUUUGUCCGGUGGCACUGCCGAGUGCCGAGCUGCGAGAGGAGUUCGUUGCCGCACUUUGCAUUCAUUGUGAGUGUCGUGACCAACCCUCCAUGGGGCAUCCUCCCAUUGAUGCACUCAAUCACAAGGCGGUGGUGAUCUGCGGCGUGUCCGGUGUCCCCAUGUGCACGUGCUCUAGCAUCACCAGAUCAAAGCAUUCCCGAACAUGCGGCGCUGCCGGCCGUCCCGCCCUACCCUGCUCCCGCAGCCCACCGGGCGCCCUCCCAACCUGAGUCCGCUCCUUGGCUUGUCCCUCAUCAGCCUGCUCGUACACGCCAGGCGGCGCUCCUGAUCCAUCCGCGAGCCAUGGAUUGCCCAGGCCGGUGGCGGAAGGGCGACGACGCUCGCGGGCGUGCUCCCCGGUGGCGUGCGGGACGGCGGUGGGGCGGGGAGAUCCGGCGGGCUCCGGCUCUGGGACGCAGUCGCUCAAGCGGAAGCUCCUCUCCCUGGUGGCCAGCGGCGGAUGGGAUCGGGUGAACGCACAAUGGGGCUGGGUCUCCCAGCGGACGGCCUCUCACCAUGGGAUGUUAGCGCUAAUUACGCGGUGGCAUUAAGUGGAUACGUUACGAACUUUUUUUCCAUCCGAUCGUAGGACGGCAGAGUUUUCGUCCGCCUCCUCAAAUUGCUAAAGGCACUUUUGAUGAGGGUUAUCGUUAUUUUGACGGUUAGAUCUAAAUGAAUGGGCUUAAUCGUAUGACUCUAAUUGCUACAGUUGUUGUGUGUAUGUUAGACGGGGUGCGUUUAGGAAAGAUAAUGUUCGCUUGUUUAAUAGUAGUAGAGAAACAAUCUCUAUCUAUUCCAGUACUCCACGAUUACCUCCUCACCUUAAAUAGAACCCAGACCCACGCACGACUCAAUAUAUUCAUUGACGUGAUUCUGUCCCUUUAAAUGCAUGCAAAAGAAGAAUAUCUCCCUCCGGGGCCUGUACUUUUACCAUGGCGUAUUCCAUUAGCAAACAUUGUGAGUUUCUCGCUCCAGCCUUCUCCUCCACCUUUCCAACAAUUGCGUCCACUAAUUAAAUCGAGGCCAAAAGGAAAUGGCGGCAGGAUUUUUGCAGCAAAAUUGUAGCCUAAACUGGCACUAUCAAUCUCGGGCGAUGGGCGAUCGACCGCGAUCUCUGGCAAUUUUCGCCUGCACGCAGAUCAUGGGGCGUUUUUUCAGCGGCAAUUACUGCACGAUAGCGGCCAAUUUACCCACGAUUUCAAUCAGUGAUUGCGUCUCAGGCAUCUCCGGAAACUAUUAUGAUGUUCCCUCUCCAUGUUAUCACCUAUCUACGCUGCUGCCUUCUCCUACCUGAAGCAAGAGUGGAUGGGCCAAAUGCCAUGAAAGUAAUAAAUAUCCUUAUUCUGUUCUUGAUUCGAGUUUCUUAUGGUUUGUAGCCCAAGUAGUUUUUAUCGCAUAGGCAAGCAAUUUUGAGGUAAAUAUUACUCUGCAGUCCAGGAUUUGAUUCAUUAGUUUCUCAUAUUAUUGCCAGAAUCAGAGGAGCACCAUCGUGGAUUUAAGCUUUAGAAUAAGUGUAUAUUUCGCCAGGCCAGACUGGAGCAAGGUUCUAUUCAAUAUUCUUUAAUAAAUUUUUCACUUGCCUUAUUUUAUUUCUCUCUCGGCAAUGUUAAUAUGUCAUGUGAUUUCUUCCCUUUUGAAUCACUUUGAUAGUGUACGUAUGAGGCUAUGAGCAUUACUUGACAUUUUUAUCAUUCAGAGAUAAUUCACUUAUUUAAAAUUUGGAACCCCUGGCAUAUAUGUGUUUCAUGAGUCCUCCGACGCCAUCAGCAGCAUGUGGGCAUGCACGCCGACCUCCAUGCGCCUGCAGAAACCAUGCCUGCUGUACAAGUUCUCCGACUUUUGGUGGCCACCAGGAGUGGCCCAGGUGUUCCCAAUCCAUGGCCAGGACAUGAAGUACCAUUGUUCGUACAUGGCUUGGUUCAGCAUAAUGGAGCACGGAAGUAAAGUUCUGCUGCAAUGGUGUAUACCGGCAUCGGCGAGGACGAGUUUUUUUAACUUAAGCAGGAAGGAGGCUGCGGUAGGCCGGCGACAACCAGGCAUUCCGGACGAGCCAUGGCGAGUGGCAGAUCCCUAGAACACCUUCUUCACUGUUCUUUUGUUGAUGAAAUUAACUACCAUGCACGCAACUCAAUCUGAUAGGCCUGUGUAAAUAGGGACACACAGCCGGCAUAAUUAGUUGAGGCAAAGACACACGGUAGUGAAAGGAAAUCUAUUGCAUGGCAAGGCAUGUACAACUAUUAAGAGUUAAACAAAGUGCUGCUGAUCACUAUGACGGAUGGUAAGAAGCAAUUAAUUGAUACCAUGUUAGUAAUUAAGGUAAUAUCUGAAAUUUAAAUGUCACCAGGAUUUUUUGUAACAUGUCAUGGCCAUCAUUGAGAAAAUACAUGGCCGCGCUGCCCAUAAUAGAAGGCACUAUUAUAUCGAUUUUUGCUCUUAACUUGAUCAAUCAAAUGUAGCAGUUCAUGCUUAUUUCAGCAAAGAUGGUUGUGUUUGGACUUAGAUGCACUCGAGAAUAAGAGUUAAGUAUUCUGAUCAGGUGAUAAACUUUCAAUAUGUCUUCAUAUAUUAGGUCCAGGACUAUUGGUGUAUCCGGCAACAUAUAUAAUAUUGACAUGCUUCUGCUUGGAGUGGACAAUGAUGUCGUCAAGCCUGGCUCGGUUCUCCAAGGUUGAAGUCGUGUCAUAGUGUCAUCCUUUUAGCUAAUGUCUUCAGAAGGGCGUCUUAUAGCCACCAAAGAUGAGGAUGAGGGUGCAUCAGAUCAUACGCUUUCACUGAUUGUGCAUAAUGAAAGUACAGUUAUUUCUGAGUAACAAUGGGUGAUAAUUAAUAAUCUUUCCUUUUCAGAUAAAUGAGAGUAGCAAAUUUAAAGAGUUCUAAGAUGUGUGUGAUAUGAAAAUCUAAAGCUCUUUGACUAGCUCUCAUUAUUUGUGAGGCUUCAUGCAAGUUCCCAUUAAAUCUGCUUUUAGUCCAUUGUGAUUUUAACCUGUAUUGUUUUGCAAUUCAUGUCAUGAAGUGCAAAAUAAUACAUAUGAAAAUCUAGCAUGAGAUAAUCUACACGAGUAGACUUCUUUCUAGCCAAUGCAUGAUACAAAUUGCGAGACAUAUUUUAGCAGUAUAAUGAUCUUUGAUAUAUUUUACACAUUUAUCUAUCUUAAUAUUCAUUGUGUCCAUUGAUUGGAGCCAACUCAUAGUAAUUCAACUGAAAAAAACAUGCUCUAUCAUAUUAUUCCAAAAGACUUUCCAUGUCUUCUCUCUUCCUAACAAACAAGACCUAGGUAGGGAUAUAUCAUAACCCUAUAACCACUCAAGAGUUAAAACAAUUGCUCGAGGAUGAGAAGUAGGUAACAAAAUGCAUUAUCAAUCAGCCAAUUAAAAAUGAAUAAUUUUAAGUUAGCUGAUACUGGCAUAAGUAAUAUGAUAGCAUGAGCUUUUUAAAAAAACUUCAUUUGGAAAUUAAGUUUAGCAAGGUUUCAAAACCAAUCACUUGCUGGCCGAGUGCUUUGACAAAAAAUAAUGUGAGGAGCUUCUGGAACAUGCACAUUUAUAUUUCAUACAAGAAUACAAUGUGUAGUAAUUCAAAAUAAGUAAGGAAUCAUAGAUUGGCCCAUGCGAUUGCACAGGUUGUCGACUAUCAACAAAUUAAAUUUAAGCUUAUUUUGUAAUGAAAAUCAUAUAAAGAGUUAGUUAAAUACACACUAAUCUACCCCGCAAAACACGGAACUGAACCAAAAUAAAAAUGCUCUAUCAUAUUAUUCAAGAAGUAUUUCCACGUCUUCUCUCUUCCUAAAAAACAAGACCUGUGUAGUGUACAUAGGGAUAUGCGAGAAGCCUAUAACCACACACCAGAUAUAACAAUAGCUGGAGGACAUGAACAAGUAGGUAAAUAAAUUCAUCAUCUAUCUGCCAAUUAAAAGGUAUGAUUUUUAGUUGAUUGGUAUUGGGAUAAUCAAUAUGAUAGCAUGAGAUUUAAGGAUUAACAUAGUUGUGAAGUUAAGUUGGAUUAAUUUAAAAAACAACACUUUUCACCCAAAAAACACAUACUUUUUUUGUCAGUACUUUGAAAUAUUAGGUUAUGUCGUAAUUCAUAAUAUGUAAGUGAAUAUUAGACUAGCCCGUGCGACUGCACGGGUUAUCGACUAGUAAUAACAGUUUUAAACUUUGCAGAAAUAACAUCAGGUUGCAAUGUUUAGAGCUAUCAAACAACAUGUUACAGAAACUUAACAUUACAAACAAAGGCAUGGACUGAAUCUACUAAUUUCAUAGAACAAAAGUCCUUUACUGACCAUGAGCGAAAAAGGAUCAGAAGAUAUGAUGGCACCCAUGUAAACAUGGCAAAUGAUAUGACAAAUUUAAACAUGGCAGGAACAACGAUAAGUAGGCAUGUUGGUGAGUUUGUACCACUCACCACAGAGCAAUACAUGGCAUGAAAAGGUGACCAACAGUAAUAAUACAUGUUUAUAAAGCUAAGCAUGGCAAGAGCAAGUUCAUAGGGUGCAUGGAUCACUAGCAAAGAUGAUGGCAAAACUGAACUUAAUGUUAACAGACUGACAGCAACAUUAUUUAGCAACUUUGGAUCAAGAUUACAACAAGCUACAGCAGGAUAUAAAUGCAACCAUGGGCAUGGAUGGAUAGAGAAUGACAUGUAUAACAAAACAUCCUUAGUGAACAUCUCCAUAUUAUGCAUAGAAUGACUUGUAGCAGCAGGUUUACAUAGCAUCACAAAAUAACAGAUUCAGCCUAGCAAAACAGCAACAGCAAGUACCCUACUUAACAAGCUUGAUGCACUCAGUACAAGACUCACAAAAAUACAUGGCAAACACCUCUGUAAAGAUGGAAUGAUGUAGUACAAAACACAUGUAGACAUCAAGCUAAUAAGAUGCACACAUCAAAUGCUACAAAAAUGACAAAUCAACAAGUUAUAACAGUUUCAGCAGAUUAACAUCAUAUAGCACUCUUGCAACGAUGAUUCGGGCAUCAAGAUGAUCUCAAACAAGCAUGGCACAAUGAAACAAAAUGAAGAGCAUCUCAUGGCGAACAUUUUUGACAUAUUAUGCAUGCAAAACAGAGCUAUAUGCAUGGAGAUAUGACAGGUCAAAGUGGGCACCAGAAUGUGCAAAAAUUUAUGGGACUUAGGCAAAAUUCGGGGUCAACCUCCGAAAACGGAUCUGGAUCUGGGCACGGUUUCCGAGGCAGGCAGCGGCUCGCCGGAGAAGACGACGGGGAAGGUCGCCGGCGGGGGAGAUGGGGCGCCGACGGGCGGAGGCAGCGGGGCACGGGCGGNNNNNNNNNNNNNNNNNNNNNNNNNNNNNNNNNNNNNNNNNNNNNNNNNNNNNNNNNNNNNNNNNNNNNNNNNNNNNNNNNNNNNNNNNNNNNNNNNNNNNNNNNNNNNNNNNNNNNNNNNNNNNNNNNNNNNNNNNNNNNNNNNNNNNNNNNNNNNNNNNNNNNNNNNNNNNNNNNNNNNNNNNNNNNNNNNNNNNNNNNNNNNNNNNNNNNNNNNNNNNNNNNNNNNNNNNNNNNNNNNNNNNNNNNNNNNNNNNNNNNNNNNNNNNNNNNNNNNNNNNNNNNNNNNNNNNNNNNNNNNNNNNNNNNNNNNNNNNNNNNNNNNNNNNNNNNNNNNNNNNNNNNNNNNNNNNNNNNNNNNNNNNNNNGGGCGGGCCUGGCCUGGGACCCGCGGGCCAGCGGCGGCGGCUGGCGGAGGAGGGCCACGCGGCAGGCGCUGGCUGGACGGGAGCGGCGGCGCGGCUGAGGGCGGACGUGUCCGGCUGCGGCGUGGAGGAUUAGGCUAGGGUUCAUCUGCGCGAAAAAACCGGGAGGGGCACAUAUAAAUAGGUAGAGGGAGCUAGGAGAGUCCAAAUGGAGAGCGGUUUUCGGCCACGCGAUCGCGAUCGAACGAACGAGAGCAUGGAGGGGGUUUGGAUGGGUUUUGGGCCACUUUGGAGGGGUGUUGGGCUGCAACACAAAGAGGGCUUUUCGGGCUACGAGGUUAACCGUUGGAAUAUCAAACGACCUCCAAAUGGCACGAAACUUGACAGGCGGUCUACCGGUGCUAUACCAAGGCCGCUUGGCAAACCUCGGGCCGUUCCAAGAAAGUUUAACACCCGCUCACAACAGAAGACAAGAGGGGGACGCCGGGGGACAUAGGAGUGUCAGAUUGCAAAACGGACAACGGGGAAAAUGCCGGCAUGCAUGAGACGAACACGUAUGCCAAAUGAGAUGCACAUGAUGACAUGAUAAAAUGCAACACGCAAGCAAAUGACAUGGCAAAGACGGCGAAUAACUGGCAGACACCUGGCGCAUCGGAUCCGGGGCGUUACAACACUCCUCCACUAACAAGAGAUCUCGUCCCGAGAUCUUAGGACCGAGACGGAAGGGAAAAGGGAUGAGGUGAAACAAGAGCUCAAGAGAAGAAGCAAAGAAUCGCGAGCACUCGAGAAGAAGAGAGGAACGACAAGAAUGAUGAGAAUCGAAAGCUCACGAAAUCAGAUAGACUAUGAAACCAUUCUGGUUAGUUCGAGAUAAGAAACGAAUAAGUCUGAAAGGAUUUAGGCAGCACUCCGGCUGAACAUGGAAAGGAUAGAACAUGAACUUGAGAGGAUGGAAUGAUACUUGAUGAGAGGAACAACACAAAACCUUCAGAAGAAUUGAAAGAAUUGAAUGAAAAGAACUUAGAAGGAAGGAUUGAACGGAGUUGUUGAGAAAAUCAACAACGAAAGAAUAAGCUUGUUGUGGUCUUAUAGGUAACAUCUCAAGAUCAUAAGGUGAUAACCGGCCACAAACGGAAAUGAUUGGAAAGCUAAGAAGAACGGAGAAAUGCAAAACUCCACUUCAAAAGAAUACGGAGAAUUUUUUGCACUUCGAGAUGCGAGAAGAAAAGAUACUUGAACUCCACCAACAAGAAUCUUGAUGAACACUUUAAGAAUGAAUUAAAUACUGACGGACAACCGUGAAGAACUCCGAUAACAAAAGGAUGACGAGAUAAAAUUGAAGGAUGAAAGGGAUAAGAUGAACCUUGCGGUGACUUAGAUGGAGGUUUCGACGAAAUGACCGAGGAAUUUUUUAACUUCGGAAAAGAAAAGAUGAAAACACUUGGAACUAGAAUUUAUUCAUCGAAAAAGGGAUUACUAGACGAUGAUGAAAUAAGAAUAAGAAUUACGGUAUGCUUAUCCUCAUCCAAUUUAAUGGGUGACGAACGGAUUUGGCAUGCAACUUAUUCCUCUUGAAAAGGAUUGAGAAAUGACAUAUCGCAAACUUGAGAAGGUCUUCAUGAACCACUGGUAGGAUUGAAAAGAACGAAAGGAUUGAAUGAUAAUCAAGGAAAAAGAAUCUUGAACGAACCACCGUAAGAAUUCAGAAAUGACAGAUGAAAGAGACUGAAUCACUGGGAAGAACUAGAAAAACCAAUAUGCUAGAGGGGAUUUAGAUGCAAAAGAACAAAGGGAUCAUGAGCUGAUUAAAGAGCACUUGAACGAAUCACCGGGAUAAUUGGAUAACGAUAGCUGAAAUGUGAGGACGAAGAAUUCUUCUGGAACGAUGGCCUCCGGUGAAAAGAAAUGGAAAAAACAACUCCUGAAAUACUCCGGAUGGUUAAGAAAAGAAUAUCAGACCAAUGGAAUAAAUUUGAGAGGAUAACAAGAAACUAGAACCACGAAACUUCGAGAGAACGGACAAGGUUUAGAGGAAAAACUCUUCUUCGGUCUUCAAAAUUCGACGAGAAACACCACCAAAAUUACUGAGAUACUCCGGGAGAAUGUAAAAGAGGAAGGGUUGAACCAAAGAUGAAAAGAAUUUGAAAGCGAUCUUGGAGAUGGCAUCUGACUGAUGAAAGCCAUUCUUACCUCACACUUGGAAAGAAUUUGAGAAUAACUCCGGAAUAAUUAGAAGAGUCAGGUAAGAUCCUGGGAAAAGACCUGUGUGUUAGGGCCCACUAAAGAGAAAAACACCGUUGGAAAGGAUUGUUGAACAAUUAGAUGAUGCACCAGAACAAUUGAAAUAUUUGAAUGAGGUGACAACCUAGAAUUCAUUGGAACACAGACGAAUCUCCUGAGAUGUCUUGAACACUCCAGAAGGAUAAACUGGCGAGAGGCGAACAAGCAAGGAAAACACUUGAUUCAAGGAAAAGAAUGUGAUCAACCCGAAAAACUUGAGUUGAAUCCACCGGAAAAAGAAAGGAAUGAAGAAUGGCGAACGAGACGAGGAUUCACCGGUAGAAAUAAUUGAGGGAUGACUGAAGAGGCUCCGGGAAGAAAAGGGUGGGUGGGCGGGAAAACAAAGGCAACUUGGAAGGGGAAACUGACGAAUAACUUGAAGAGAAAGCACCAGUUGAAAUCAUUGAGGAAAGAAGGCAAAGACUUCGCACGAGUAGGAUGGAUACUCGAUUACGGACUUCGGCUCCGAGGAGAAAAAAAAGGAGAGCGGGUGGUAAAAAGAAAGACAACUUCGGAUGGGGAAAACAAUGUCGAUGAGAAAGAACUGAGGAUUGAACUCAAAGAUGAAGAGGCUCGAGUCAACUUGACGAGAAAUGCACCGGAUGAAAAGAGCUGAGAAACAAUGAUCGGAAAACCAACUGCGUGACCCUAAAGAAAAAUUUGAAGGGGAAGAGGAGUAAUUCAAAACACCUACGUCAAGAUUCCUAACCAGAGCGACGAAGGGGCUGAGGAGUAAAAAGAAUUCCUACUCUCCGAUAUAACUAGACUCAAAAAAUAGUUUACUUCUAGACUCGACAACGGCCAAACUACACGAUCAAUCAAGGGGGCUCCUAGGGUCGGUCGAGGCUCUGAUAACAACUUGUCACGCCCAAUAUGCGAUACUAUCCUAAAGAGACUCGAAGGUCCCACCAAGGAUAGAACCGCAUAUUGAUACGCUUUGCAAGGUGGAUAUAAUUACAUCAACAUUUCAUAAUAGAUGGGGACACUUACAAGAGGCAUACAGUGCCACACGAAUACAACAUCAAGCAACAUCCGACUACGGAUGAACACAAACAGAAACUCAAACGACAUCCACCCUACUAGCCCAGGCUGCCGACCUGGAACCUAUCCCCUGAUCAAAGAAGAAGCAGAAGAAGAACUCCAAAACAAGCAAGCAUCGCUCUCGUGUCAUGACCAUCGCAUAACCUCUACCUGCAACUAUUGUUGUAGUAAUCUGUGAGCCACGAGGACUCAACAAUCCCAUUACCAUGGGUAUCAAGACUAGCAAAGCUUAAUGGGAAAGGAAGGGGUAAAGUGGUGAGGUUGCAGCAGCGACUAAGCAUGAUAUGGUGGCUAACAUACGCAAAUAAGAGCGAGAAGAGAGCAAAGGAAUGGUCAUGAAGCUAGCAAUGAUCAAGACGUGAUCUUGAACUCCUACUUACGUCAAACAUAACCCAAAACUGUGUUCACUUCCCGGACUCCGCCGAAAAGAGACCAUCACGGCUACACACAUGGUUGAUGCGUUUUAAUUCGGAUCUGGUGUCAAGUUAUCUACAACCGGACAUUAACAAAUUCCCAUCUGCCGCAUAACCGCGGGCACGGCUUUCGAAAUUUUAUACCCUGCAGGGGUGUCCCAACUUAGCCCAUGAUAAGCUCUCGCGAUCAACGAAGGAUAUACCUUCUCCCAGGAAGACCCGAUCAGACUCGGAAUCCUGGUUUACAAGACAUUUCGACAAUGGUAAAACAAGACCAGCAAGACCGCCCGGAUGUGCCGACAAAUCCCGGUAGGACCUGCACAUAUCUUGUUCUCAGGGCACACCGGAUAAGCUAAGCGUACAGGUACCGACGUAAUCCAAGUUGCCAAGGAAUGGUCCCGCACGGUGCUCUAGUUUGGACCAACACUCAGAGGAGCACUGGCCCGGGGGGGGUUAAAAUAAAGAUGACCCUCGGGCUCCGGAAACCCAAGGGAAAAAGGGCUAGGUGAGGCAAAUGGUAAAACCAAGGUUGAGCCUUGCUGGAGGAGUUUUAUUCAAAGUGAACUGUCAAGGGGGUCCCAUAAAUCACCCAAUCGCAUAAGGAACGCAAAAUCCGGGAACAUAACACCGGUAUGACGGACACUAGGGCGGCAAGAGUGGAACAAAACACAAGGCAUAAGGCCGAGUCUUCCACCCUUUACCAAGUAUAUAGAUGCAUUAAUUAAAUAAGAGAUAUUGUGAUAUCCCAACAUCAUCCUGUCGACCAUGGAGCAAUCUUCAACUUCACCUGCAACUAACAACGCUAUAAGAGGGUCUGAGCAAAGCAGUAACAUAGCCAGACAAUGGUUUGCUAGGAAGGGUGUCAAAGGUUAGAGGUUCAUGGCAAUUUGGGAGGCUUGAAGAGCAAAAGAUAGGUAGCGCAGCAAAGCGAUAGAACGAAGCAACUAGCAUAACAAUGAUAGUAGUGAGAUCCAGGGUAGCAGUCAUCUUGCCUGAAAUCCCGCAAGGAAGAAGAACGAUUCCAUGAAGAAGAUGAAGCCACAAAGACGAACCAAGCGUAGACGAACGAAUCCUCACAAUCGCAACGAAAUGGGAACUAUCGAGAAGAAGCACACAACAUGGUAAACACACCACACAUUUACAAGACAUGAUGCUCAACCAAGUAUGAUGCAUGACAAAGCUACAUGAAGCUACUCAUGGCAAGAGAUGAUGCAAACAAGAACAGCACAUCAAAGCAAGUUUAAAUGAGGCCGGAAACAACAUAUAACAAUUCCGGUAAGUCCUCAUAUGCAAAUUUCGAAAUUGGUCCAGAUCUGAAUAAACCUUAUAUUCAAGUUGUUAAACAGCAAGUUAAAAUACACCAUGAUGAUCUACACGAGAUUCUAGUCAAGUUACAUAUAAAGUUCAUUUAGUUCGGAGCUACGACUUAGAAGAUAUGAGCAAAACAAGUUAAACAUGGCAUUGAUGCAAAAUGCAUCCAAACAUCAAGCAAACACCUCAAAACAAGGAUGCAACAUGAUAAUAUGAAACUACAUGCAAAAUCAAGCAAGUUUCAAAUAGAGCACACUCAAAACGGGGCAACAAUGCAACACAUACACUCUAUACAAGUUCAAAGGACAAGCUGUCCAAAGCAGCAACUAGGCAUAUUGCAAGCAUCAAAGCAAUAUGCUACAACACCUCAACAUAAGAACAAAAAUCAUGGACAUGAUUUACAGGUAAAGUAUAACAAAACAUGAACACUGAGCUAUCUCCAGAAAACACUAGAACAUGCUCCAAAGGACAUGGCAAGAUUGCAAAUAAUAACAGUUUCAGACUUUGCAGAAAUAACAUCAGGUUGCAAUGUUUAGAGCUAUCAAACAACAUGUUACAGAAACUUAACAUGACAAACAAAGGAAUGAACUAAAUCUACUAGUUGCAUAGAACAAAAGUACUUUAGUGACCAUGAGGCAAAAAGGAUCAGAAGAUAUGAUGGCACCCAUGUAAACAUGGCAAAUGAUAUAACAGAUUCAAACAUGGCAGGAACAACGAUAAGUAGGCAUGUUGGUGAGCUUGUACCACUCACCACAGAGCAAUACAUGGAAUGAAAAUGCGCCAACAGUAAGAAUAAAUGUUUACGAAGCUAAGCAUGGCAAGAGCAAGUUCAUAGGGUGCAUGGAUCGCUAGCAAAGCUGAUGGCAAAACUGAACUUAAUGUUAACAGACUGAUAGCAACAUUAUUUAGCAACAUUCGAGCAAGCUUUCAACAAGCUACAGCAGGCUAUAAAUGCAACCGUGGGCAUGGAUGGAUAGAGAAUGACAUGUGUAACAAAACAUACUUAGUGAACAUCUCCAUAUUAUGCAUAGAAUGACUUGUAGCAGCAGGUUUACAUAGCAUCACAAAAUAACAGAUUCAGCCUAGCAAAACAGCAACAACAAGUACCCUACUUAACAAGCUUGAUGCAGUCAGUACAAGACUCACAAAAAUACAUGGCAAGCACCUCUGUAAAGAUGGCAUGAUGUAGUACAAAACACAUGUAGACAUCAAGCUAAUAAGAUGCACACAUCAAAUGCUACAAAAAUGACAAAUCAACAAGUUAUAACAGUUUCAUCAGAUUAACAUCAUAUAGCACUCUUGCAACGAUGAUUCGGGCAUCAAGAUAAUCUCAAACAAGCAUGGCACAAUGGAACAAAAUGAAGAUCAUCUCAUGACGAACAUUUUUGACAUAUUAUGCACACAAAACGGAGCUAUAUGUAUGGAGAUAUGACAGGUCAAAGUAGGCACCAGAAUGUGCAAAAAUUUAAGGGACUUAGGCAAAAUUCAGGGUCAACCUCCGAAAACGGAUCUGGAUCUGGGCACGGUUCCCGAGGUAGGUGGCGGCUCGCCGGAGAAUACGACGGGGAAGGUGGCCGGCAGGGGAGACGGGGCGCCGACGGGAGGAGGCGGCGGGGCACGGGCGGAUCCGGCGGCCGGGCGCGGGAGGCGGCGCGGCGCCGGCGUGGAGGCGCACGGGCGACGGGGNNNNNNNNNNNNNNNNNNNNNNNNNNNNNNNNNNNNNNNNNNNNNNNNNNNNNNNNNNNNNNNNNNNNNNNNNNNNNNNNNNNNNNNNNNNNNNNNNNNNNNNNNNNNNNNNNNNNNNNNNNNNNNNNNNNNNNNNNNNNNNNNNNNNNNNNNNNNNNNNNNNNNNNNNNNNNNNNNNNNNNNNNNNNNNNNNNNNNNNNNNNNNNNNNNNNNNNNNNNNNNNNNNNNNNNNNNNNNNNNNNNNNNNNNNNNNNNNNNNNNNNNNNNNNNNNNNNNNNNNNNNNNNNNNNNNNNNNNNNNNNNNNNNNNNNNNNNNNNNNNNNNNNNNNNNNNNNNNNNNNNNNNNNNNNNNNNNNNNNNNNNNNNNNNNNNNNNNNNNNNNNNNNNNNNNNNNNNNNNNNNNNNNNNUGGGCCCCGCGGGGCGGCUGGCGGUGGAGGGCCACACGGCAGGCGCUAGCUGGACGGGAGCAGCGGCGCGGCUGAGGGCGGACGUGUCCGGCUGCGGCGGGGAGGAUUAGGCUAGGGUUCAUCUGCGCGAAAAACCGGGAGGGGCACAUAUAAAUAGGUAGAGGGAGCUAGGAGAGUCCAAAUGGAGAGCGGUUUUCGGCCACGCGAUCGUGAUCGAACGACCGAGAGCAUGGAGGGGGGUUGGAUGGGUUUUGGGCCACUUUGGAGGGGUGUUGGUUUGCAACACAAAGAGGGCUUUUCGAGCUACGCGGUUAACCAUUGGAGUAUCAAACGACCUCCAAAUGGCACGAAACUUGACAGGCGGUCUACCGGUGCUAUACCAAGGCCGCUUGGCAAACCUCGGGACAUUCCAAGAAAGUUUAACACCCGCUCACAACAGGAGACAAGAGGGGGACGCCGGGGGACAUAGGAGUGUCGGAUUGCAAAACGGACAACGGGGAAAAUGCUCGGAUGCAUGAGACGAACACGUAUGCCAAAUGAGAUGCAUAUGAUGACAUGAUAAAAUGCAACACGCAAGCAAAUGACAUGGCAAAGACGGCGAAUAACUGGGAGCCACCUGGCGCAUCGGAUCCGGGGCGUUAUAUACACCCAGUGGGUGCGCUAACGCGCCCCCACGAGAGAAAGAAGGCGGAGCACUUACUCUAGCUUUCCGACAAGUCGGUUGUCUUCUGGGCCAGAUCCUGGACCUGGGAGUUGAAGGCGGCUGCAUGAAGAUUAUGAUAGUCCUACCAAAAGGACAGACAAACAAGGAAAAACAAGUCAGCACCCGAGCCUGCUUAGAAGUUCCAGGCCGCCUGCUCAGCAGCCGGCCCGGAACUCGGGGACUACACCCAGUGGGUGCGCUGACGCGCCCCCAUAGAGGAGCACAAGAGCAAGAAGCAAAAAGUAGGAGGCAUACCCGGAUGGCCGUCCGCGUCGCCGGGAACUCCUAGUUGUAGUUCUUCAGGGCAGUGACCUGAGAUUGAAGCCGAGCCCGAACGUCCUGCGCCGCUUUGUUCAACACGGCCAUCCCUCCGCUUGGCGCCCAGUCUGCCGAGCCACUGCUAGCCGCUUCCAGGUCUUGGGUCGACAAACCGGUGCCCUGGCCUCCUGCGGAGGCGGCGCCAAGGCCGCCUUCCCAGCACGUCGGCGCGCCAUAGGAUGGACCACAAGAUCAGCCCCCGCGGCCGGCUCGCCUCCAGCCGGCGGCACGGGUGGUGCGUCGGGCUGGCCGCCUUGGUCCGCCGCAGCCGGUGACGGUGGAAUCACCCUCAUCUCCGAGGCGACAUCAUCAUGCCCCUCUCGCUCCAUGACCGGCUGGUCUCCGCCGGCCCCUUCAGGCGGCACAACCGAGGCUUCAGGCGUCGGCGCCAUAGUGCGGAGGGGAAUGACGAGCUGUGGGGGUUGACCGCAUGAGGCCUUCCCCGCCUGCGCCGCAGCUGUGGUGUCCGCUUGCGUCUGGGCCAUGAAGCCGGCCUGCACCCUCGCGGCCUCGUCCACUUCCUCCUGCGCCGCCUUGGCGGCGGCCGCCCUCUGCCGCUCUGCCUCUUCCUCUCGCGCCUCUCGCGUGUUCCUCUCCGUCGCCUCCUGAAGCUUGGCGCGCGGGUCCACACGGCGGGAGCUGGCAGAGCCCCCCGCCGCCCCCACAACGGAGCCGGCAAUCGACCGCUUCAGCGAGAGCUGGGCCCUGUUACAGCAAGAGGAAGAAAAAUUUAUAAAGACAUUGGUAAGAAAAAAGGAAAGAUGCGUCAGGAGGCCGACACUUACGCAGAAAUCAUUUGGGGCUCCUUCACGACCUUGCGGAAGCGGUUCACCUUCACGGCCGCUUCCUCUCGCCUGGUCGCCACGGCCAAGCCCUUGGGCUUCUUCGGCCGGCUGCCGAACAAUGAUAGCGCGGCCCGGCGCUUCUGCAUGCUGCCUCAUGCAGUCAGCACGGCGGUCGAGCUCGUGCCUUCCCGGUCGAACGCCGGCUGGCGGCACGGAACGGCUUCUUCGUCUUCGUCAUCAGGCCAAUCUUCGACGCCGCCUCCGCCUACGGAGCCGCCCGCCUCACCGUCUCCGCCUGUCGCAUCGUCCUCCAAGGCGGCCGCCCCCAAGUCGGGGCCUUCUGUAUCACUUUCCUCCCGGUCAGGGAGGAACUGAUGAUCCGGCCCCAUGGAGCCGGCGGCCGGCUGGAGGAGAGCGCCCUGCUUCACGGCCGAUUGGUCAAGGCGGCCAAAGAAGAACUCGGUUGCUAAAGAAAGAGUAGACAUGAAGACUUACCAUUGGCAGCGGAUCCGCGCGCGAAUACGGCUCCUUGCAGAAUCGCCACUCCUCCUCCGGGAGCUUGCAAUUUGAAAUGUAGUUCACCAAGUGAGCUACCUCCGCGUGCGGCAUCUCCUUGGUGCACAGCCGGCUUGGAUCAUGAUGCCCGCUCAUCUGGCUUAUCAUGUGCAGCUGGCCUUGGAGCGUGAGUACUCGGCGCGCCACGAAGGUGGUCAACAAGUCGGGCGCGAUGAGGCCUUCCGACCUCACCAUCACCUUAAGCCGAGGAACAGCGGCGGCGCCGGCUACCGAUAGCGUGUUGGGCCGGUACUUCUAGUUGGUCCGCCUAUCAGCAGGUUGGCCGGCUACGUACUCCGGCAGGUUGACCCAGUUGUCGGAUGGGUGAAUGCUUCGCACGUAGAAGUAUGACAGCUGCCACAACUUCACCGACUGUAUCAGCAUGAUGGAGGGGAACGGGUUCUCAGUGGCCGGCCUUCGCACUGUGACAAAGGGGCCGCACUAAGCCGACAGCCCCUUGGCGAUGGUGCCGAGCUUCGAUUGGAAGAACUCUCCCCAGAGCUCGAUGGUGGGGAGGACACGGAGGAAGCCCUCGCAAAGGGAGACGAAGGCGGACAGCAACACCACCGUGUUUGGUGUAAGGUGGUGCGGCUAGAGGCCGUAGAAGUCAAGAAAGGCACGGAGAAAGCUGCUUGCCAGCAGGCCGAAGCUGCGUAGGAAAUGCGACCUGAAGACGACGCGUUCUCCCUCCUCCGGCACCGGCAAAUUCUCCCCCUCUGGUGCCAGGCAAACUCUCACAUAGUCCUUACCGGACAGCCGCCGCGUCCGACGGAGAAAGUCGAUGUGGUCCUCCUGAAUGUUGGAGUCGUCCCACGAUCUGGCACGCGCCAUGGGGUCGAGGGGCUCGAGCAGAGGAGGCACACAAUGGCGGUUGUGUAGCCUUGCGGUGAAGAAGCGCGGUGCGGCGAGGUGGCUGAGAGCUUGGCGCAGCGGCGGGCGACAGCACCAGCAACAUUUAGGAGAAGAAGAAAAUGGUGGAGGAGAGAACGGGUGUGCGUGCGUUCGCAGCCCCUCCUCCCCCUACUUAUAGCCGCAGAGCGGCCGAGUCGAGGAGACGGGGCGUGGGGGACGUGGGAUUAACUACACCCACUCCCCCACAACCCUGCGUUUAUCGCGCCAAUUAAGGCGUGUAUCAAAUGCCCCAGAAUGCCAACCGACUGCUUCCGCCACAGCAGAUCCACGCGUGGGCCGAGGCACUAUAGUGGCGGGGCCUAGCCUGCGGCGACGUCCUGUCACAUGCGUGGGCUGGCAGGCAGGCCUAGGCGGCUGGUGACGCGUGGCGUGCGGAUGGUGGGCGGCCGGCCGGGCGCUCGGCAUGCGCGCCACCUAGCUCCCGCCUUCAAGCUUGAAAUUCGACCGGAUGGUGCGUUCGGAGAAGGCCGAGUCCGGCUAUCAGUCCUGCAGAGUAGGAAGCUGGUUGGGCUUCUCAUUCUUCGUCCAACCAUGAAGCCCAGCCACCUUCGGGGACUACUGUCAGAGUAAAUGACCACGGGUAGCCUUGCCGGCUCCCCCUGGCUCUUCAGAACAUUGGGCCGACUUCACCCCUCAAGCAUUCAACACGAUAGGAUAGGGUGUGGCUACAGUGAAGCUUGCCACCCCCGAAUCCCGGAGCGGGCAUGGCAACAGUGUGUCUUACCGGUUGGCCAUCCCUUGUCCGGCGCGACACUAUUGCCGUAUUGACCGUGACACCACCCAUGACGGACUGACAGUACAACUCGUAGACAGCGGGCCCCUCAUGCUAGUGAGCCCCCCCCCCCCAGGGCGGCCAGGUCAGUCCAGUCGGCUCAAGGGGAAGCCGGCCCCUGGCAGCCGGCCAACCCUUCCCUGGAAGUUUGUGCACCAUCAAGCGGAUGAGGCGGGGUAAGGCUAGAGUAAGCGCCCACCAGGCAGCGGUACUGUAGCCAUGCUUGCCCCGACAAAGCCAUCGUCAUCAAGGGCAAUGCUACAGUAAUAAGCCGCCGACAAGACCCCCAAGCGAUGGGCCCAGCCUAUCAACCAAGAAGACAGCAGCCGACGGCGCCCACCAGUCGGCGGGCCCCAGCAGCCGGCGGAGAAGCCGGCGCCAAUGGACACUGACGGCUUGGACCCACGUCCAACCGGAUUACCAUUGUACCCCUAGGGGGUAGGCCUAUAUAAACCCCCCAGGGCACCCAUGCAAAGGGUUGAGCUCUUAGGGUGACACACACACAUAGAGAGAGAAGAGGAUAGCUACCCUUGCCCUUCUUCUUCCUCUAGCAAACAGCUCAAGGAGCCUCUUGUAGCUACUUACUGAUUUGGUGAUCAUGCGGAGACCUCGCAGAGCAGGGCUAAGGGUAUUAUCUCCUAGGAGAGCCCUAAUCCUGGGUAAGAUUCGCCGGCGUGCAUGUCUUCACCUUAUCCCGCUUCCAGGCACCGGCGAUGUCUUACUGGUUCCCACUAUGAUUAACCAUCCUUUGGCAUAUGUCGCACCUACCACCCGACAACCGGGGACGAUCUACGCCAAGUUAAGCCAUACCAAGUACCCAUCAUAAACUAUUCUCCCUUGCAUUACAUUGUUUGCCAUUCGCCUCCCAUUUCCCUCUCCCCCACUUCUAAAACGAUUUUCGAAAACCUUUGCCUUUUCUUUGCCCCUCUUCUGUUUGAUCUUUUGUUUGCUUAUGUUACCAUGUGCCUUCUUUUUUGCUUGCAUCUUCACUUGUUAAAAGUUUAUGGAUCCUCAUCCACUUGCUAAUAUUUUUAAGAGAUCCAAUUAUUUUGAACCAAUUGCUAGUGAGUUGAGUGCACUAGAUUAUCUUUAUGAGGUUUUGCUUGAAAUUCGUGAAUCUGAAAAUUGUGAUGAAGAAAUUUAUGAAGAGAUUCACGAUAGCUUCUUGAAUAAAAAGCAAGAUUGCAAUGACAUUAUUAUAAAUUCUAUUAAUAUCAAUGUGUUAGUGAUAUGCAAAACCCUAAGCUUGGGGAUGCUAGUUUUGCUAUGUCUACUAUUUGUUGCAAUGAUCAUGAUUGGGGUGAUUCUUCUUAUGAUCUUGAAAAUUUAUUUAAACCCCAUGAUGAAUAUGAGAUUGAUAAUAAUGUUUGCAAUAAUAUUGAAAGUGGGUUUGGAAGAGUGUCAACUUUAGAUCCCACAUAUUUGGAGAAUGUUCAAUCUUAUGAAAUAUUUGAUAAAAGUGGGUUUGGAGAGGUCAUGACUUUAGUUAAUGGUAAUCCCACUAUUUUGGUAGAGUGUCAACUUUGCAUGCAUGUGGAUCGUGUUGAGAAUAUGUUAUGUGAUAGCUAUAUUGUUGAAUUUGCUUAUGAUCCUACAUGUACUUAUUAUGAGAGAGGGAAAUAUGGUCGUAGAAAUUUUCAUGUUACUAAAUUACCUCUCUUCAUGUUGAGAUUGCUACCAUCUCUUUCUUCUUCCUUGCAUAUGCUAGUCUUUGCUUGCCUUGAUAAUUUGUUUGCUUAUAAAAUGCCUAUGCAUAGGAAGUAUGUUAGACUUAGAUGUGUUUUUCACAUGCUUUAUGAUGCUCUCUUUGUGCUUCAAUUCUUGUCUUUUAUGUGAGCAUCAUUGAAAUCUCAAUGCCUAGCUAAGGGCGUUAAACGAUAGCGCUUGUUGGGAGGCAACCCAAUUUUAUUUUUGUUAUUUGCUUUAGUAACAAAUAAUUCAUCUAGCUUCUGUUUAUAUGUGGUUUUAUGUUUUAGUUAGUGUUUGUUCCAAGUAGAACCUUUGGGAAGACUUGGGUGAAGUCUUUGCGAUCUUGCUGUAAAAAAAUAGAAAUGUAUGCGCUCACGAGAAUAGCUGUCAUUUUUUUUACAGAAGAGUGCUUUUAGGUUGAUUAUUUUUGCAGAUGAUUAAUAGACAAAUUCCUCACGUCCACCAAUUAUUUCAUGAUUUUUAGAGUUACAGAAGUAUUCGAAAGUUACAAGUUGCUACAGACUAUUCUGUUUUUGACAGAUUCUGUUUUCAUGUGUUGUUUGCUUAUUUUGAUGAAUCUAUGAGUAGUAUCAGGGGGUAUGAACCAUAGAGAAGUUGGAAUAAAGUAGGUUUAACACCACAAUAAAUAAAUAAUGAGUUCAUUAUAGUACCUUAAAGUGGUGGUUUAUUUUCUUAUACUAACAGAGCUCAUGAGAUUUUCUGUUGAAGUUUUGUGUUGUGAAGUUUUCAAGUUUUUGGGUAAAGAUUUGAUGGAUUUUGGAAUAAGGAAUGGCAAGAGACUAAGCUCGGGGAUGCCCAAGGCACCCCAAGGUAAAAUUUAAGGAAAACCAAAAGCCUAAGAUUGGGGAUGCCCCGGAAUGCAUCCCCUCUUUCGUCUUCGUCUAUCAGUAACUUUACUUGAGGCUAUAUUUUUAUUCACCACAUAAUAUGUGUUUUUCUUGGAGCUUCUUGUAUGAUUUGAGUCUUUGCUUUUUAGUUUACCACAUAAUCCUUGCUAUACACACCUUUUGGGAGAGACACGCAUGAAUCAGAAUUUAUUAGAAUACUCUAUGUGCUUCACUUAUAUCUUUUAAGCUAGACAAUAUUGCUCUAGUGCUUCACUUAUAUCUUUUUAGAGCACGGUGGUGGUUUUAUUUUAUAGAAAUUAUUUAUCUCUCAUGCUUCACUUAUAUUAUUUUGAUAGUCUUUUAGAACAGCAUGGUAAUUUUCUUUGGUUAUAAAAUUAGUCCUAAUAUGAUGGGCAUCCAAGAUGGGUAUAACAAAAACUUUCAUAUAACGUGCAUUGAAUACUAUGAGAAGUUUGAUUCUUUAUGAUUGUUUUGAGAUAUGAAGAUGGUGAUAUUAGAGUCAUGCUAGUAGAUUAGUUGUGAAUUUGAGAGAUACUUGUGUUAAAGUUUGAGAGUCCCGUAGCAUGCACGUAUAGUGAACUGUUAUGUGAUGAAGUUGGAGCAUGAUUUAUUUAUUAAUUCGCUUCCUUAUGAGUGGCGGUCGGGGACGAGCGAUGGUCUUUUCCUACCAAUCUAUCCCCCUAGGAGCAUGCGUGUAGUACUUUGUUCGAUAACUAAUAGAUUUUUGCAAUAAGUAUGUGAGUUAUUUAUGACUAAUGUUGAGUCCAUGGAUUAUACGCACUCUCACCCUUCCACCAUUGCUAGCCUCUCUAGUACCGCACAAAUUUCGCCGUUACCAUACACCCACCAUAUACCUUCCUCAAAACAGCCACCAUACCUACCUAUUAUGGCAUUUCCGUAGCCAUUCCGAGAUAUAUUGCCAUGCAACUUUCCACUGUUCCGUUUAUUAUGACACGCUCCAUCAUUGUCAUAUUGCCUUGCAUGAUCAUGUAGUUGACAUCGUAUUUGUGGCAAAGCCACCGUUCAUAAUUUUUCAUACAUGUCACUCUUGAAUCAUUGCACAUCCCGGUACACCGCCGGAGGCAUUCACAUAGAGUCAUAUUUUGUUCUAAGUAUUGAGAUGUAUUCUUGAGUUGUAAGUAAAUAAAAGUGUGAUGAUCUUCAUUAUUAGAGCAUUGUCCUAGUGAGGAAAGGAUGGUGGAGACUAUGAUUCCCCCACAAGUCGGGAUGAGACUCCAAACUAAAAAAAGAGAAGGCCCAAAUAAAAAAAAGGAGAGAAAAAGAGAGAAGGUGCAAUGCUACUAUCCUUUUACCACACUUGUGCUUCAAAGUAGCCCCAUGAUCUUCAUGAUAGAGAGUCUCCUAUAUUGUCACUUUCAUAUACUAGUGGGAAUUUUUCAUUAUAGAACUUGGCUUGUAUAUUCCAAUGAUGGGCUUCCUCAAAAUGCCCUAGCUCUUUGUGAGCAAGCAAGUUGGAUGCACACCCACUUAGUUUCUUUUGUUGAGCUUUCAUACACUUAUAGUUCUAGUGCAUCCAUUACAUGGAAAUCCCUACUCACUCACAUUGAUAUCUAUUGAUGGGCAUCUCCAUAGCCCAUUGAUACACCUAGUUGAUGUGAGACUCACUUCUCCUUUUUGUCUUCUCCACAACCACCAUUCUAUUCCACCUAUAGUGUUAUGUCCAUGGCUCACGCUCAUGUAUUGCGUGAAGAUUGAAAAAGGUUGAGAACAUCAAAAGUAUGAAACAAUUGCUUGGCUUGUCAUCGGGGUUGUGCAUGAUUAAAUACUUUGUGUGAUGAAGAAAGAGCAUAACCAGACUAUAUGAUUUUGUAGGGAUAGCUUUCUUUGGUCAUGUUAUUUUGAGAAGACAUGAUUGCUUUGUUAGUAUCCUCGAAGUAUUAUUGUUUUUAUGUCAAUAUUAAACUUUUGUCUUGAAUCUUUCAGAUCUGAACAUUCAUGUCACAAUAAAGAAAAUUACAUUGAUAAAUAUGUUAGGUAGCAUUCCACAUAAAAAUUCUGUUUUUAUCAUUCACCUACUUGAGGACGAGCAUGAAUUAAGCUUGGGGAUGCUUGAUACGUCUCCAACGUAUCCAUAAGUUUUGAUUGUUCCAUGCUAUUAUAUUAUCUAUUUUGGAUGUUUAAUGGGCUUUACUAUGCUCUUUUAUAUUACUUUUGGGACUAACGUAUUAACUGGAGGCCCAGUGCCAGUUUCUGUUUUUUUGCCUAUUUUAGAGUUUUGCAGAAAAGGAAUACCAAACGGAGUCCAACCGGAAUGAAACCUUCGCGAUGAUCUUUCUUGGACCGAAAGCAAACAAGAAGACUUGGAGUUGAAGUCAGAAAUGCCACGAGGCAGGAGGGCGCGCCCAGGGGGUAGGUGCACCCCCACCCUUGUGGGCCCCUCGUAGCUCCACUGACGUACUUCUUUCGUCUAUAUAUACUCUUAUACCCUAGAAACAUCAGGGAGAACCACGAAACCACUUUUCCACCGACGCAACCUUCUGUACCCGUGAGAUCCCAUCUUGGGGACUUUUUCGGCGAUCUGCCAGAGGGGGAAUCGAUCAUGGAGGGCUUCUACAUCAACACCAUUGCCUCUCCGAUGAAGCGUGAGUAGUUUACCACAGACCUUUGGGUCCAUAGUUAUUAGCUAGAUGGCUUCUUCUCUCUCUUUGAUUCUCAAUACAAAGUUCUCCUCGAUGUUCUUGGGGAUCUAUUCGAUGUAAUACUCUUUUGCGGUGUGUUUGCCGAGAUCCGAUGAAUUGUGGAUUUAUAAUUAAGAUUAUCUAUGAAUAUUAUUUGGUUCUUCUCUGAAUUCUUAUAUGCAUGAUUUGAUAUUUUUGCAAGUCUCUUUGAAUUAUCGGUUUAGUUUGGCCUACUAGAUUGAUUUUUCUUGCCAUGGGAGAAGUGCUUAGCUUUGGGUUGAACCUUGCGUUGUCCUUUCCCAAUGAUAGUAGGGGCAGUAAGGCACGUAUUGUAUUGUUGCCCUCGAGGAUAAAAAGAUGGGAUUUAUAUCAUAUUGCUUGAGUUUAUCCCUCUACAUCAUGUCAUCUUGCUUAAUGCGUUACUCCGUUCUUAUGAACUUAAUACUCUAGAUGCAUGCUGGAUAGCGGUCGAUGUGUGGAGUAAUAGUAGUAGAUGUAGAAUCGUUUUGGUCUACUUGACACGGACGUGAUGUCUAUGUUCAUGAUCAUUACCUUAGAUAUCUUCAUAAUUAUGUGCUUUUCUAUCAAUUGCUCGGCAGUAAUUUGUUCACCCACCGUAAUACAUGCUAUCUCGAGAGAAGUCACUAGUGAAACAUAUGGCCCCCGGGUCUCUUUUCUAUUAUGUUACAUCUCUUUUCCAUUAUAUUGCAUCUCUUUAAAUCUCGUUUACUAUUUUGCAAUCUUUACUUUCCAAUCUAUACAACAAAAAUACCAAAAAUAUUUACUUUACUAUCUCUAUUAGAUCUCACUUGUGCGAGUGACUGUGAAGGGAUUGACAACCCCUUUUUCGUGUUGGUUGCAAGGUUCUUGAUUGUUUGUGUGGUUACUAGGUGACUUGUGUGUCGUCUCCUACUGGAUUGAUAUUUUGGUUCUCAAAAACUAAGGGAAAUACUCAUGCUACUUUGCUGCAUCACCCUUUCCUCUUCAAGGGAAAAACCAACGCAAGCUCAAGAGGUAGUAGGCGCCGGUUUGUCAAACCCGGCUGAUUCAAGCCGGCCACCAGCGUGACCUGGCUGUUUCCUAUGUUGGACGGCUUCGGGUAGAGGUGGGGGAGUUGAAGGCGGAGGCGCGAAGGCCCAGCGGGUGCUUCCCGAAGCCGGCCGACUACAGGAGCAGCUGGCUGGCGACAAGAGUCGGCUGCAGACCGAGGUGGAGUGCCUUAGCACAGAGGCGACCAAGGUAAUGGAGGCCCAGCAGGCCCUUGCAGAGGCCGACCAGCAGCGUGACCAGCUAGCUGACGACAAGGGCCAGCUCCAGGCCGAGGUGGACCGCCUUAAGACAGUGGCGGCCACGGAGGCGGAGCUUCUCCGUCUGAAAGGGGGGCAUGAGGAGGCGGCCGCCGCCAAGGACACCAAACUGAAGGCGGCCAUCGCCAAGGUUGUCGGGCUAGAGAAGGCAUUCCAGGAUCGCGAUCAUGCCGACAACAGUGAGCGGCACAGUAUGUUGCUCGAAGCGCAGCACCUAGACGAGACCUUCGCCAGUAAGUGCUUCUUUUGAUUAUGCCGGGCUGCGAAGCCGGCUUCCUCUUUUGUCGCUGACUUUCUCUUCUUGUUGAUAGGGCACUUCCCGGAGAUGCACAGGGUGGUGGAGGAGGUCGUUCGCUUUUAGCAGUCACCGCAGGGGGUCGUGGGGGCCGGGACUAACCCGCGCAUCGCCUGGACCUUCUCGGAGAUCAUGACUGCCGUCGAGGCUCGCCUGCAAGUCUUGGGGGAGCAGAUGGUGCGGGUCUCCGAGGCUGGCACGGGGAUGACGGCAGCCCUCUGGCCUGGCGUCAUUGCGCCAAACAACUUCUCGCAGCUGGCACGAUGGUUGGAGGCCAGACCGGUGCAGCUCCACGCGUGGCGUGUCUCUGUCGGUCAUGUCAGAGCCGAGAUGGCGCUUAGGUUCGUCAUGUCUUGGCACCCAAACCUAUCACUGGACCUGUUGAUGGGCCAGCGAGCCGACGUGGAGACCCAGCUUCAGGCGAAGGCCGUCCGGAUCGCUGUCUGGGCCAGCUACAUCGCCGGGUUCACGAUACACGACGAGUUCCAUCCGGAGCGGACAGAAGAUGGCGGGGUCGUUCCUCCUGACAACUUUGGUCUACUGUUGGAUGACCUGGAGGGCAGAUCUGAGGAGUCGGGUCCUUAUAAGGACGAGGACGCCGGGGUGGAAGACUGGCACCUUGAUGAACCCGGAGGCCAUCGAGGGGGAGCUGAAAGCUGCACAACCCGGCCGCUGGGGCCGCCUGAAGCUGAAGCCGCCCUAUCUUAUCUUUUUCAAUUUUUUGUGAAGUAGCAGGUCCACCAACCCACUGGGGUGUUUAGGUGUAAUGUAAUGAACUCUGGCCUUGGGCCUGUUUUAUCCAUGAUGUAAAUAUUUCAUGAAUGUUUGCGCUUUUGCUUUUUGUUUUUUGAGCCGUUUUCUUGCUUGCUUCCCUUUGGGCCUCCUCCUCGCGAGUUGAACAGACGGGUUCCGGUCUAUGACAAGGAGUUUGGUCCUUGGGAGGAGCAUGUGGUACUUAGGCUCUUCAAACGUUGAGCACGAGCGGAACACCCACUGGGCCGGCUUGCAGCAACUGGCGAAGCCGACUGGCGAGCAGCCGGUCGUGCAACAAGUUAAGGUGGCGGGCCGGGUUGGCCAAUCCUGCGGACCCUAACUUAGUAUUUUCGCAGAGUGUUGGUGCUUUGGCCCAUGAAUCUUGCCGGCCAACAACCGAACCCGGUUCUGUGGCGUAGGGUGAAGUGUAGGUCCGAGGCAACCGGAACACGUCGAGAUGUGCUAAGGACGAAGGCGGCGGGUGGUGGUCAAGCUGGCUAGCGCCCGAGCCCCCGGGUUGAGCGAGUCAACCCGGUGGUGGGGUUUUUUUAAGAAAAAUUGCACAAACAUGUGGAGUACAAUAACUUGGCUGGAAAGGGCAACCACCGAGCGUCGUUCGGGGACCCCAUAGUUUUUCAUGCAGUUACAAAAGGUAGUGAUACAUACGUGCACAUAGCUAACUGUAAAACGGGCGGAGGAGCUUUGCAUUCCAUGGCCGGGUUGUCUCUUCGCCGGCGGUGUGUCUCUUGCACUUGUUCGACUUGCGGGCAUUGAUGAGGUAGUAGGCGUUGCGGUCGCAUAGGGCUUGGCUGACGAUGAAGGGGCCCUCCCAUGGGGAGGCCAACUUGUGCUGGCCGGCUUGUUGCUAGACAAGCCAGAGGACAAGCUCUCCCUUGUGGAAAGCGAGCGGCUUGAUCUUCUUGCUGUGAUAGUGCCCCAGGCCUUGCUGAUAGAUGGCAGAUCGGCUGAGUGCCAAAAGGCGUGCUUCUUCAAGUAGGUUGAUGUCGUCUUCAUGGGCCUCCUUGGCUUUGGCUUCGGUGUACAUUGCAACUUGCGGUGAGUCAAACUUGAUGUCGGUUGGGAUGACGGCUUCUGCUCCAUAGACGAGGAAGAAUGGGGUGAACCUAGUCGACUGGUUUGGCGUUGUGCGGAGGCUCCAAAGGACGGGUGGCAGCUCAUCAAGCCAGCUGCCAUGUGAACGGAUGAGUGGCUCGACAAGCCAUGCUUGAUGCCGAAUAGGAUGAGGACGUUGGCCGACUCGACCUGGCUGUUGGACUGAGGGUGGACCACGGAGGCCAAGUCGAGGCAGAUGCCGGACACGGAGCAAUACUGCACGAGCGCGCCCUUGGCAAAGUUGGUGUCAUUGUCCGUGAUGAUGCUGCGCGGGACGCCAUAGUGCACUGUGAUGUCCUUGACGAACCGGACGGCUGUCGGCCCAUCCAACUUCUUGAUUGGUCGUGCCUCGAUCCACUUGGUGAACUUUUCCACCGCCACCAGCAAGUGCGUCAUGCCGCCUCGAGCGGUCUUGAAAGGUCCCACCAUGUCGAGUCCCCAGACCGCAAAGGGCCGAGUGAUCGGGAUGGUCUAUAGUGCUGAAGCCGGUUGGUGGCUGCGCUUGCUGAAGCGCUGGCAUCCCUCACACUUGGGGACAAGUGAUUCGGCGUCUUGGAGGGUCGUGGGCCAGUAGAAACCAUGGCGGAAAGCCUUGGCCACCAGGGACCUCGAGGCGGCGUGGUGCACGCACUCGCCCUGGUGUAUGUCAAGGAGGAUCUCUAUGCCCUUGUCCUGCUCGAAGCAGCAUUGGAAGACGCCCGUCGAGCUGUGCUUGACGAGCUUGUUAUUGAUGAUGCUGUAGGCGGACGCCCGACGCUGAAUUUGCCGGGCCUCAGUCUCGUCCAUGGGGAGGAUCCCCUUCUCCAGGAACUCUGUGAUUGGCAGGGCCCAUGAUGGUGUCGUCACCACGACGAAGACGGCCACCAUGAUGGGCUCUGGGCCAGCAGCCGCCGGGCCAGAAGCAGCCCCGGGGUCGGGGAUGGCAGCGGCCGGGUUGAGUAGGGCAGCCCCUCGGCCGGUUUCAGCAGUCCCUGGGCCGGGUUUCGCAGCCCCCGGGAUCAGGUCGGGGUCGACAUUGGCUGGGUCGGACGCGGCAGUCCCUGGGCUGGGAUCGGCAGUCCCCGGGCCAGGUUUUGCGGCUUCUGGGCCCGGGAUGGAGACGGCAGCCCCCGAGCUUGGGCCUACGACCGCUGGGUCCGUGCCGGGGAGGGGCGCGGUCGGGUCGUCCGGGACGAAGAUGGACUUGGAGUCCGGAGAUGGCUUGACGGAUAGCUAAUGCAGGUGGGAGACGCCGGACGGAAUGACAUGCCAGGAUGAGCUGAUCUUGGCUAGGGCGUCAACGACUUUGUUCUCUGCACGCGGGACGUGGAGGAACUCGCAGUCGUCGAAGAAGUCGGAGAGCUGCUAGAUGAGGAAGCGGUAGCUGGCUAUGUUGGCGUCUUGGGCGUCCCACUCGCCGGAGCAUUGUUGUACCACCAAGUCCGAGUCGCCGUAGCACAGGAUGCGCCGGAUGUUGAGUUCCUUGGCAAGCCAGAGGCCGUGCGCAAGAGCUUCGUACUCGACAACCUUGUUGGAGGUGGCAAAGUGGAUCUGGAGCGCGUAGCGAAGCCGGUUGCCCUUCGGGAUGACAGCAUGAUGUCGGCUCCCAAGCCGGAACGCAUCUUGGAGCCAUCAAAGUGCAUGCGCCAGUGCGUUGAAUCCGGUGGCGGCAGCAGGUACUGGGUUUCUCCAGUCGACGAGGAAGUCGGCCAGGGCUUGGGACUUGAUCGUGGUGCGUGGCUCGUAGAGGAUGGUAUGGCCGGCUAGCUCGAUCGCCCACUUGGCGACCCGGCCAGAGGCAUCUCGGUAGCCCAUGAUUUUGCCGAUGGGGGUCAUGCUGACCACGGCGACGACAUGCUCUUGUAAGUACUGCUUCAGUUUCUUGGAGGGGAAGUACACACCGUAACACAUCUUCUGGUAGUGUGGGUAGUUCUGCUUGGAGGCGGAGAGAACAUCGCUUAGGUAGUAGACCGGGCACUGGACUGAAUGGAGCUUCCCUUCUUUGGUCGCUCGACCACUAGCAGCAUGCUGACCGACCGUGAGGUGGUGGAAAUGUAGAGCAACAACGGUUCCUUGUCGGCUGGUGUGGCCAGGACGGUUGUGGUGGAGAGCAUGCGCUUGAGAUCCCAGAAGGCUUCGUCUGCCUGGUCGUUCCACCCGAACGAUGUCGUCUUCUUCAUCAGUUGAUACAGGGGCAAGGCCCUAUCGCCCAGCCGGCUGAGAAACCGGUUGACCGAGGCCAAGCAGCUGGUGAAUUUCUAGACAUCGCACAGCCGGGCCAGCUUGCGCAUGUGCUCGACGGCCUUGAUCUUCUCCAGGUUCGCCUCAAUGCCGCGCUCCAAGACGAGGAAGUCGAGUAGCUUUUCGGCUGGCAUGCCGAAAACACACUUUUCCGGGUUGAGCUUGAUCUGGUACUCGCGCAGAUUGGCAAAGGUUUCCAUCAGGUCAUCAAGGAGCGUGAGGUACUCCUGUGUCGGGGGUGUGCUCCAACCCACCGGCCCGGCCGGGCUCGCCGUCGCUCUCGGGCAUUGAAGAUCAUCUUGCCUCCCUGCGAUGUGUGGUGACGGGCUCUCUUACCAAGCGCAAGUCCUCGGUUCGCAAGUUCUCUGCUCGUAGUAGGGCCUCCUCUGGGACCAAGUUGUCAGCAGCGGGCCUUUGUCACCGUCUUGAUGGUGACAUGGGCGACGUGGCGGGUCUGGCGUCUCCGAUGCAGGCUCGUGCUUAUCCAAUCCGCUCUCCCUCCUCUACGGCGCGCAAAAGUGGUCGGAUCCGCGACAGCGGCAUGCGGGUGGCUGACAAGGCGGCAAGGCAUGCUGUGGCCCGUGAUCUUCCUGCUUCAGGUACCCUCCCGCCCCUUCUCCGCUGGUUCAUAGUAUUUCUUCCCCCACUAGGUUGGUUCUACCUUCUUACUCGGAUGAGCACUUGUCUAAGGUUCUAGCGGAUUCUGGCAUCUCUCUUGAUCAUAAUUUUGGAACGCCUUCUUCUCUGAUCGCUCUUAUUCGGGCCAAUGAGGUGGCCCAGGCGGAUUUGGCCAAGGCGAAAGAGGCCGCCGUGGCUCCUCCUGCCCCCUCAGUUGUGGCUGUUGGGGUUCCGAAGGAGGGGGGCUCUGCUAGCGGUGCUGUUCCCCAACCUGUUGUGAAGAAGGGUGGUUCUAAACGUGCGAAAGCCUGCUUGGCACCCUGCAGGUCGAGUUUGCACAUUAAAAAUCUCUCUUUCAAAUGAAAGCCCUUUUCUGGAAUAUCAGAGGCUUCGGCACUCGGGGGCGCCGGGACCAAAUUAAGGAUAUUGUCAGGGGUGAUAAUAUUGACUUGAUUGGCCUAGUCGGAACUUUCAAAACCUCCUUUUCUCCUCAUGAGCUCUCUUCUAUUGUGGGGGCUGAUCGCUUUGAUUGGAACUUCCUUCCCUCAUCUGGCCACUCGGGCGGUAUUCAGUUAGGAUCGAAACGUGAUGUUUUUGAUUUUGUCACCUUUGAUCAUGGCAUCUUCUGGGCCAGUUCCGUGCUUUUCCACCACCAGCUCAAUUUGCUUUGGGAAUUUAUGGUUGUUUAUGGCCCGGUGGAUCACUCCCUCUCCCCUAUCUUCCUGGACGAAAUCUCGAACAAAGUCGAUGCUUGCUCCCUUCCCCUUGUGAUCGGAGGCGACUUUAAUUUGCUCCGCUCGCCUGCGGAUAAGAACAAUAAUAUAUUUUCUUGGACUUUGGCCGAUGCUUUUAAUGAGUUCAUUAGCUCCUGCGCCCUUCGUGAGAUCCCUAGGGUGGGUUCCAGGUUUACUUGGACUAACCAUCAAGUUUCCCCUAUCCGCUCCGUUCUGGACCGAGGCCUUGUGUGUUUGACUUGGGACUCGCUCUUCCCUCUUGCUACGCUUAAAUCUAAGGCUAUUGUGGGCUCGGAUCAUGCCCCCUAAUCCUUGAUGGUGGGAUUCGACCCGUCUCCUCCCCUCCUAGGUUUGAGUUUGACGCGUCUUGGCUCCUUAUUGAUGGCUUUAUCGACCUCCUAGGCUCUAAAAUUAGUGGCUUCCUGUUGGCACCCCAUCGUUCCUUCGGGCCCUUGGAUGACUGGCACAAUUGCUCAGCCCUGCUGCGUAAAUUCCUCCGUGGUUGGUCCCAUAACCAGUCGGCCCAGGACCACAGAGAAAAGGCCCUUCUCCUGGCCCAGAUUGAGGCCCUUGAUUCUCGAGAUGAUGUUUCUGGCCUUUCUGAUUCUGAUUGGACCCUCCGCUUCUCCCUCGAACGCUCUCUGAUGCAGAUACACCGCCUGAAUGAGAUUUAUUGGCGCCAGAGGGGUUCGAUUAAUUGGUUGCUUAAAGUUGAUUCCCCCACUGAGUAUUUUUUUGCUAUUGCGAAUGGGAGGCGGCGCCAAUGUCUUAUUCAUAGCCUGAUUAUAGACGGGGUACGGUCUUCUGACCAAGGCGUCAUCCUCAACCAUGUUGUGGCAUUUUUUUUCUUCUCUCCUCUCUGCCAAACCUGACCAGGGGUUCAAGCUAUCUUCUAAUUUCUGGGACCAAGGGGCUUUGGUCUCCGCGGAUGAAAAUUCGAAUUUGAUGAUCCCUUACUCUGAAGAGGAGAUCUUCUCUUCGAUCACUAAAUCGAACCCUAAUUCUGCCUCGGGCCCGGACGGCUUCUCCAUUCCUUUCUUUAAACAAUUCUGGCCUGUUCUAAAAGAGCUUAUAUGUGUAGUCAUUCAAGGUUAUUGUCUGGGGACAGUAGAUAUAUCCAGGCUCAACUAUGCGGUCAUCUUCCUGAUUCCUAAAAUUAAGGGUGCCGAUCUUAUUUCUCAGUUUAGACCUAUUGUGCUAAUUAAUAACUUCGCCAAAUUCCCUGCCAAAUGUCUGGCUUCUCUCCUUACCCUGGUGGCUCAUCGGACCCUCUCCCUUACUUAGUCAGCUUUUGUCAAGGGUCGUUUCAUUCUCGAUGGGGUCCUUUGCUUGCAUGAGAUUAUUCAUGACAUCCAUAAAUCUGGCAGCAAGGCUGUUAUUCUAAAAUUGGACUUUGAAAAGGCCUAGGAUUCGGUUAGUUGGAGCUUUAUUAAGCAAGUUCUUCUGGCUAAAGGUUUUGAUAGUGGGGUGGUUCACCGUAUUAUGCAGUUGGUCAUGGGGGGCCAUACUGCCAUUAAUGUCAAUGGGAGAGUUAGUAAUUUCUUUAAGAACUCUAGAGGCCUCCGGCAAGGCGACCCAGCCUCGCCCAUUCUCUUUAACUUUGUGGCGGACGCUCUUUCUAAUAUCUUAUCUAGAGCCGCGGAGGCUGGUCAUAUUUCUCCUGUUAGCACCUUCAGUACGCUGACGACACUAUUAUUUUGGUGGAACUGAACGACCACUGCAUUGCCCAUCUCAAAUUUCUGCUCCUUUGCUUCGAAGCUCUCUCGGGUCUCCAGAUCAACUUCUCCAAAAGUGAAGUCAUUGUCACUGGUGUGCCAGAUACAGAGGCCUUACGGGUGGCCCACCUCUUGAACUACUCUCUUGGCUCGUUCCCCAUUAAGUACUUGGGUCUACCCAUCUCCUCUGGCAAGCUCCUUGCCAAAGAUUUUGCUCCUACGGUGGCCAAGGUGGGUAAUCGUGUUAUGCCCUGGAGGGGCAGGUACAACACUCAGGCGGGUAAAGUGGACUUGAUUAAUGCGUGCCUCUCAUCUCUUCCGAUGUUCUUGAUGGGCUUUUACCUUCUUUCUAUGGGAACCCAUGCGGGCUUUGAUAAACAUAGAGGUGCCUUUUAUUGGAACGCGGCUGAUAACAAGCACAAAUAUCGCUUGGUCAAAUGGGACCAUAUUUGUAAGCCAAAAAGCCUUGGGGGGCUGGGCAUUAUUAAUACUCUCGUUAUGAACAAGUGUCUGAUCAUCAAAUGGUGGUGGAAGAUCAUGACCAUCUCCCAGGAUAAGCCCCUCUGGUUCGACAUUCUCAAAGCAAAGUACUUUCCCUCUUCUAGCCCAAUGUUUGCGCUGGCCUCUGGGGCUUCCCAAUUCUGGAUGAAUUUGGUUAAGCUCAGGCCUAUCUUUCAAGCCUUGUCAAAUUCGUUGUUCACAAUGGCAGGUCCACCAGGUUUUGGCUUGAUUGGUGGUGUGGCUCCUCUUCGCUGGCUACUGCUUUUCCUGUUCUUUUUUCGUACUGCCCGGACCCUGAGAUCUCAAUCUUUGAGCUCGCGUCGUCUAAUUGGGACCUGCGUCUGCGUCGUUCCCUCUCUCCCGCAGAGUUGGAAGAUUGGCAGCGUCUUGUUGCUCUCUUCCCUUCGCUCUCGGAGGAGGAAGACACGGUUGUUUGGCCCCACUCCCCCUCUGCGCGCUUCUCGGUUAAAUCCCUCUAUGGUAAGCUCAUUGCUGGGUCCUCCACCUCCAAAUUCAAAUGGAUCUGGAGGGAUCGUAUCCCUCCUAAGGUCAAGGUUUUCCUCUGGCAAGCCUCCCGUGGGCGUCUGCCGACGGGUGACCAAAUUCGCAAGCGUAAUGGCCCGUGAUCUGAUAGGUGUGCUCUAUGUGGUUUGAGAGAAGACUCGUCUCAUAUCUUCUUCAACUGUGUGUUGGCUAAUCUGUUUUGGUGUUGUAUCAGAUCCUGGCUGCAUGUUUCCUGGGCUCCGACCUUCUUUUCUGACUUGCGCAUCUUGGUUAGCUCUUUGGUUGGGGCCCAGAGGCGAUUGUUUUGGGUGGGCUUCGCUGCCAUGUGCUGGUCCCUUUGGACGACGAGGAAUAAAUUUACCAUCGAGCAUGUUUUCCCUGCUAAGCCUUCUGAUUGCUUAUUUAAAACCUGUAUAUUCCUGCAGCAGUGGAGAUCAUUGACUAAGGAGGAAGACAGGGAUGCCCUCGACGCCAUGUUGGCCAAGAUCCGAAGCUCUGCUAUCUCCAUCUCCCCAGUUCAAGCAGGCACCUAGGCGUUGGUGGUCGGCUUUUGUUUUCUUUUAUCUCCGGCCUGCGUGCCGUGUACUGGCCUGGGAGCCAUGUACUUAGACUAUUCUCUCAUGUUUUCUGGGAUGAUACCUGUGCUUACUCUCCUGCUGCUCUCGUGGGUCUGUUUUAACUCUGCCUGGUGGCUUUAUUCAUAAAGUCGGGCUCUGGCCUUUUAUCUAAAAAAAAGCUUGGCGCACACGAAGCCACCACUCCUCCAAGUUGUCCUCCACUCUGGGGAUGCCGACACGCACACGAAGCCGCCACUCCUCCAAGUUGUCCUCCACUGUGGGGAUGCCGACAUGGUCAGCCAGUGUAAUGAAAUAUGUGUGCCACGCCUGUCGUGCAUAAGCACAUUGCAUAAGUAUGUGGGCGAUAGUAUCCUCUUCCUAGCGGCAAUGAAGCAAGGGGCGUAGCGACUUGUAGCCCAUGCCGGAAUCGAUGGUCGGAGGUCCAGACUCGGUAUUAAAUAGCAAGCCAUAUGAAGAUUUUGCAUUUAAGUGGCGGCCAUUUUUGGUAGAUACAGUGAGCAGUGGGCAAACAAAUCAUGCCCUGUCAUAGCAUUUUGUAGGUAGAUUGCGCCGAGUACUGUCCAUUCAAACUCCAUCUCCAUGAGAAAACAUCCUAGCACUAUUUAGCUGUAUGUUAUUGACGGCGGACCAAAUGUUCGAGAAUUGUUGUAGACCUUGCAGACCGGCAUCCUCGUUGAAGAACACUAUUCAAUUUGCAUCUGCUCCGUUUUCAACAGCCCUAUUCAUGAGCAGCCUGUCCAGACAAGCCCGACCCGAAAGCCCGGCAUCCGAUCCAGCCAUGGGCUCAACUUUGUCGUCCGAAGCCCAAACAAAGGCCGAAUGAGUUUUAAAUAAUUGUUUUAAUUUAAAAAUAGGUACAGUACUAUAUUUCAAUAACCUGGAAGUAAUUACUUUAAAUAAGAAGGGUACUGUUCAAAUGUUUCUGGCCGGGCCGGAUCUGGGUUUGAUAUUCUUGCUUCGGGCUUUGUCAAGCCCGGCCCGUCCAAGGGCAUGAUCUGGUUCCAGGAAGCCCAAUGCUUGCUUUCCAGUUCGGGGCUGUGUCCACGUCAGUGAUCCGAGGCACUUACCCCUCCACCAAUCAGCGCUCACCUCUCCUCCCCUAUAAAAUCGAACACCCACCCCGCUCCAUUCCCCACACCAUCUCAGUCCCCACCUUUCCCUUCCAGCAAACUCACGCAACCCCACCCGAAGCUCCCAACCCCACCCGAAGCGGCCGCCAUGGCCCCCAAGGCAGACAAGAAGCCGGCCGCCGAGAACAAGGUGGAGAAGGCGGCGGAGAAGACCCCGGCGGGCAAGAAGCCCAAGGCAGAGAAGCGGCUGCCGGCGGGCAAGACGGCGUCCAAGGAGGCCGGCGGCGAGGCGAAGACGAGGGGCCGGAAGAAGGGCAGCAAGGCCAAGAAGGGCGUGGAGACUUACAAGAUCUACAUCUUCAAGGUGCUGAAGCAGGUCCACCCCGACAUCGGCAUCUCCUCCAAGGCCAUGUCCAUCAUGAACUCCUUCAUCAACGACAUCUUCGAGAAGCUCGCCGGCGAGUCCGCCAAGCUCGCCCGUUACAACAAGAAGCCCACCAUCACCUCCCGGGAGAUCCAGACCUCCGUCCGCCUCGUCCUCCCCGGCGAGCUCGCCAAGCACGCCGUCUCCGAGGGCACCAAGGCCGUGACCAAGUUCACAUCCUCCUAGACUGACCCUGCGUCGCUUGCUGUCACCUGCUUGUGGUCGCUGACUCUGCUUAUGUAUCUGCAAGUAGUGGUAGGAGUGGUCGUCUGUGUGCCAACGCUUUGUUGGCUAGUUGGUUGUGGGAACUGAAGUUGCUGAUCUAUUUGAAUGUUAUUGUUUCAAGUAGUAGUACUUUUGCUGAAUUUCAGGGGAAUCGCUGAAUGCUUGCUGUCGCCUCGUUGGUGUGAGAACUGAAUUUUGUCAUGCCAACUGAGAUUCAGAGAAGUCAGAGAUAGUUAUGCAUUUCUGUAUUGGUAAUUUCGAGUUUUACUAGGUGCUUAAACUAAUCUCUGCCAUGUUUGUGCUUUCAUUUCGUAACG
rnacentral:lncRNA from 1 species